AGCCACUUGACUCAGUUUUCUCUCAUUGAUUAUUUCUUCCAUAUUGUUGCAGCAGGCCACAUUAAACCGCCUCAGGUUUGGAGCGAGAAUUAGCCAUGUUAUGUCCUUCAAUUUUGAACAAGUGGCUAUAAAUACAUUGCGAAGGCUUUGGAAGCAAUGUUUGCCUGCAAUCAGAGAGGUUUGAAUGUGGCUCUGUGUUUUUAUCAUUCUGCCUUCCCCUCCCCCCUCCAUCUCCUCUUCUUCCAAACUUUCACAGUUCCCAAGGUCUAGAGAUUCUAGACUCUUCAUAUUCGCUAAAGAUAAAAUAUUCAAUCGCUUCGAGUCCUUUAACAAUUCAAGCUGAAUAGCUAAAGUGCAGCUGCAUAACCUUUCAGUACGCAAAAGGCUAUCGAGACCCAAAGCACUUGUUAUAUUGACAGUCAACACAUUCAAAUGGUUCAAGCACUUCAAUUCUUCCACCAAACAUUCACUAUUAUCUUCCACUUCCUGGCCCAAAGAAUAAUAACAGUGAGACAUUCUCAACACUUGCAGCUUUAAAAAAGCAGAUAUCAACUGUCUUGGAAUUCUUAUGCGAGAAGAACCACAAAAUUCCAAGUUCAAGCAUUUAAGCUUUUCUAAAGCCUUCAAUUCAAUUGGUAGCUGUCUUAUGCUUGUAUAUGAGAGAUCGAGACAUUCCAGAGACACCAAUUUCGAAAUUCCCACUGGCAAUUCUUCUAGACCACUAUUGCCUGACAAGUUUAGAACUUUUAAGCCACACAUAAAUUGGAAGAAGUCAUUAUUGAUCACCUUCAACUGAUUACCGUUAAGAAACAGAGUUUGGAGAUCACGACAGUUAGGUGCUUCUACUAGAUUUUCAAUCCUGUUCUUCAUCAAUGACAUCCUGCGUAUACUUCCCCAAUUCUGAACUUCUGGUAACUUAGUUAAUUGAUAACCUGCCUGCACAAAAAACCUCCACUUUUCUUCUUCACAUUCACAUGCUAUCCACAAACUCAUGUCACGAAUCACAUCAUGCAUCUUUAUGCAAGAUUCAUUUAUUUCUUCCAAUAAACAUGCAUGAAGAAGAGAACCAUUUUUUUGAGUUGGGAGAGGUAUCCCGACCUUAGAUAGAUCAACUCGCUCCCAUAUAUCAUCUAACAAUAUGACAAAUUUCUUUUCCUUUAAAACCCUGAAGAUGUUUUGAGCUUUUUCCUCUGGAGUUUUGUCCUGCCAUGUUCCAUCAGCUAUUCCCACCCUUUUAGCAAUGUCAUCUUGGACCUUUCCGAUGUAAAACCCUUUAGAUACUACAAUCCAAAUAACUACAUCAAAUCGAUUUGGGGGUUCACAGAACUUGUUGUUGAUUUUGUUCAGGAGGGUUGUCUUGCCAACCCCUCCCAUGCCAUACAGGCCAACAAUUCCCACUUGUUCAGCUUCAAGGAUGCUGCAAGCCUUAUCGAAUGUGGAUUCCAAACCAACAGUAUGCUCAGUAGGUCGUUCAGUUACUAGAGGCGUUGGUUCCUCCUCAGCCACCUUGUCAAAAACUCCCUUGCUCUUAUGAUCUACAACAUCUCGGAGCAUUUUGGUAAUUUGCUUCCCAAACUUCAGGUUGGACUUGGGACUCAUAGAAAAACAACCUCCUACACAUAAUUUCUUAAUUUCCUGAGGACUUUGCUCAAUCAACAAAUGAGCUCCAUUAAUCAAAGUUUCUGCCCUCGCAAGCCAGCCUUGAACUUGGUCUAGCCGCUUCAGCUGUUGUUGAUCUUCAGCUAUUUUCACUCUUCUGAUCACAUCAUUCCUUAGAUCCGUCAAUUCUGCUAGUGCAAUUUUUAAAGCUUCUACGUUUUCUUCAAGCUUGCAUACAAACUGUGCUUGUCCGGCAACACAAUCACAGCAGCGGGUAAUGACAGUGUCGCAUGAAGCUGAGAUCGAGAAGAUGUUACCCAUAGUUAGGCUUUGGUUUUAAAGGGGGAGUUGAACAAUUUCUGGAAAGGAGAAAAAUGAACGAAAUCAAAGAUGCUUUUUGGAAUAUCAAGCCAAAGGGUGAAAAAAUGAAAGAAAGAUAUGCAGAAGUGCACAGAAGGCAGAGAAUAUCUCCUGGAAGUUUUUUUUUUGUUUGCUAAUUCUAACUUAACCAAGGGUGUUGGGAGUAGUUGCUGCGGGAUUACUACUAUUUGCCACUUUCUACUUGUUUACUCCAUUAAAAAUAUUCUGUUUGCUAACCGAUUUAACUGGUAAUUAUACCACAACCUACAGAGAAAAACACAUCAGACAAUUUACAUGUAAUGAUAUGAUUUUUUUUUAAAAAAUUUUUGGUAGGAUCAAAUACUAAUUAUGUUAAAUUGGUUCUUGUAACAAUCAUGCAUGUAUUUUUUCCGAGCGAAAGAUGGCCUUGGGGCCGGGGUGGCUUUUGGCAUCUACCUUUCGGCAGGGGCAGUCAAGAGGAAGUUGCACAUCAAAACAAUGGAUUAUACUUAGUGACAAAUUAGUCAAUAAUGACUUUAAAAAAUUAAUUUAGUGGGGUGGGUUUUCUGUUGUGUGGAAUAUGCACAAACUUGGUCCAAUUUGGCGUGCACAUCGACGACUAAAUAAACCAAAUCACUUUCCUUUAAGAACAUUGGUUAAAAUUUUUACCUUUUUCACUGGACCUAAAGAAGAAUAAUUAGACAUAAUUGAAAUAUCAUAUGUGGAAAAAUAGUCAGUCAUUUCGAAGAAGAAAAAUAGAAAGAAUGAGUUUUUAAAAUCUUAAAGUUUCAAAUCUAAGUUUUAUUGUAUUUGAAUUUAGUUUAUUUUAUGUUAAUUUAUUUAUUUAAUAAUUUUCUUAUAAACGUAUGAAAUAUGUGAUUUUUGAAAUUAUUUGAUUAUAAUUGAAAAUUUUAAUUGUAAUUACAUUCAAUAAAAAAAGAUGGUUCCUCCGAAUACUAAAUUUAUCAACCUUGGUUAUGGAAACUUUGUUUUGAUAAUUGAAGCAUAGUAAGGGUAUUUUGAUCCAUGUGCACAUAAUUAAUCUCUCAUAGAGAGAUAAAAUUGGCCCAAUAAUCCUUUGAUUUGGGAAAACAUUUUUGACAUGUUCUUUCUUUUUUUCCUACAUUUUUCUUGAUAAUUAAUUCCUAAAGCUUCAUUGACAUAUUCACCCUUUUAGAUAGCAAUAGUGUGUUCUAUUAAGCGGUUGGGGUGUAUUCUAUGUGUAAUUUUUAUUUUUUUAUCUAAAUAUGGAUUUUACAUAUAUUAAAACGGUGUACAAUCCAUUAAAAUAAUAAUAAAUUUCAUAUUUAUAAGUAAUAAAUGUUAUGUAAUUUUUUAUUAAGAUUAGAAUAAUUAUAAAAUUAUAUAAAUAAAAAUAUUAUAGAUAAAAUGUUCUCUAUGUUUUGAUUAACUCUAUAUAAUUUAAAAUUAUAAUUAAUUAAUUAUCAAUAUAGUCGUAAAGCAGAGGAUAAAGAAAACCUUCAUUUUGGAAAAUUUGUCAACGUCGAGCUUUAACUUUGCAAUUGCCCUCUUCCUUGUAAAGGAUUCUUAAACAAAAGGUUGUUUACUCCAUUAAAAAUAUUCCUUUGGCCGACCAAUUUAACUGGUAAUUAGACCACAACCUACAGAGAGAAACACAUUAGACAAUUUACACGUAAUGAUAAGAUUAUGAUAUUUAUUUUUUUAAGGAUCAAAUAAUAACUAUAUUAAAUUAGUUUCUUGUAACAAUCAUGCAUGCAUUUUCUGAGCAAAAGAUGCCUUUGGGGCCGGGGUGGCUUUUGGCAUCUACCUUUUUGCAGAGGCAGUCGAGAGGAAGUUGCACAUCAUGCAUUAUACUUUCACCGACAAAUUGGUCAAUAAUGACUAAAAAAACUUAAUUUUGUGGGAUAGGUUUUCUGUUGCGUGGAAGAAGCCUUAUACUUUCAUUAACCAGUGUUUGGCAUCAACUAAUAAAUAAUUAGCUUAAAAAAUUAAUAACGUGGGGUCGGCUUUUCUGUUGUGGUCCAAUUUGAGGUGCACAUCCCCGACUAAUUAAACUAAAUCACUUUCCUAUAAGGACAUUGGUUAAAACUUUUUCUUUUCUGAAUGAACCUAAGGAAAACUAAUUAGACGUAAAUUACAAUAUCUUAUACGGAAAAAUAGUCAGUCAUUUUUAAGAAGAUAAAUAGUAAGAAUAAGCUUUUUAAAUUUUAACUUUUAAAUUUAAGUUUUUUUUUUUUUUUUUGCAUUGGAAUUUAGUUUAAUUUUAUUUUGAUUUAUUUAAUUAAUUUUUUAUUAUUAUUUUUUAUAAAUGUAUGAAAUAUGUUAUUUUUUAAAUUAUUUGAUUAUAAAGAAAAUUUUAAAUUUUAAAUUUAUCAAACCUUUGUUAUGAAAACUUUGUUUUGAUAAUUGAAUUUAAGGAUAGCAAUGAUAUUUUGAUUUGUGUGCAUAUGAUUAAUCUUUCGCAGAGAUAUAAAAUUAGUCCAAUAAUCAUUUGAUUUGGGAAAAAAUUUCACAUAUUCUACAUUUCUUGUAUGAAGGAAAAGAAUUCACGUGAGAAGAGGCUUCGAGAUCUUUGCCAUUAAUUGGAUGUUGAGGCUGCCAUUAAAGCAUCUCUCAAAAUCUUCAUUUUGUAGUUUCAAAACAUACAUUAUAUGUGUAAAAGGUGCAAAUGAAAUUAAAUUUGGCAUGCACAUCUAUGACUAAGUCACUUUUAAAUCUUGUUUGAUGCAUAAGAUUAUUCAUAGGAUAAGAUAAUAAUUAUUUUAUAUUAUGUUUGAUUUGUAUCGAAAGAAAAUGAUUCAAUUUUUUUAAAAUGGAGAUAAUUAUUUUUAAUUCAUAAGAUUAAACUUAAAUAUCUAAUUAUACCUUUAAAAAUUAUAUCAAUAAUUUAAAUUGUAAAAACUUUAAGAAAAGAUAAUUUUGAUAAAUAAAUAAAUUAUUCUAUUCUAAUUUUUGCAUACAUCAAAAAUAAAAUAAAAUGAUAUUAUUUAAUCUAAUCUUAUGCAUAAUAUCAUUAUAUCUUAUUUUAUCAUAAUCUUAUGUAUCAAAUAUAAUUUUAAUUUCCUAUAAAAAAUAUUUAAAUCUUUUUGUUUUAAAGUCUAAUAAAUUGUCAAUUGCAAUAUUUUUUUAUUGAAAAAUGGUCAAUCAUUCUCCGACCAAUCAAACCUUAUCUCAAUACUAAAGCUCCAUUUGGAAUCAAAUAGUGGUCCAGCGAAGAUACCUUUUGCAUGAAAAAUUGUGCCAAAUGCAUCAUGCAUGCAUUUGUUAAACAAUAUCAAUGCAAUUGGAGUUGAAUUUCAACGCGCCAUAUCCCUUUUUUCUCGUUGGCCACCCCCUCUCCAAUGAAAAGUUCCCCUCCCCAACGCAACAUCCUUUGUUAUAAUGUCUUCACUUUUUUUUUUUUUAAUCUUUUUUAUCUCUCAAACAAUAAUGAAGGAACAAAAGUGUCCCUUAGCUUUUAGGGUUGUUUUUUUUAUUAUUAUUUGUUAUUUUGAACAAAAAUAAUAUAUACAAAAAAAUAAUUUUUAAAUAUAUAAUAACAAAUUAUUAUUUGAUAUAAAAAUAAUUUUAAUAUUUUUCAGUUUAUUAAUAAAAGUAUUAUUUGAUAUAAAAUAAUUUUAAUAAUUUUUAAUUAUUUAUUAAUAUCACAAAUAUCAAAUAUAUUUUAUAAAUUUUAUUAUAUGUAAUUUUAAUUUAAUAUCUUUAAUGAUUAUUUUAUCUUUUCAUUAUAAUCUACCUCACUACUACUGCUGCAUUUUCAUCAAACAUAUAUUUUACCACUGAUUUUAAUCUUACCGUUAUAGUAAUCAAACUUACUGUUAGAGUAACAAAUCUCAUCUUUAUCAUUAUUUUUAAUCUUACCAAAAUCAAUCUCAUCAUUCAUCUAAAUGGACCUUAAGAAUGAGCUUUUAAAAUCUUUAAGUUUCAAAUUAAAGUCUUAUUGCAGGUGAAUUUAAUUUAAUUUUGUAUUGAUUUAUUUAAUUAAUUUGUUGUUUUUAUAAAUGUAUGUGUGUAAUAUAUGAUAUAUGAAAUUAUUUCAUUAUGACAAAUUUUUAAUUGUAAGUACAAUCAAUAAAAAAAUUGAUUCUAAUAAAUUCAUCAACUACAUGAAAAUUUUGUUUUGAUCAGGUUAUUUAUGUUUUUAAAAUAUAAAAGAUAAUGAGAACAAAACCAAUGAAUUUACAUAGAGUAUAUCUAUAUCGUAUUUUUAUCAUGUCAAAUAUAUGUAUAACAUAAAUAAUUGUAGUAUCAAAUUCGUAUCAGCACACAACAUAAAACAUUUUUUUAUCAAAUCUAUAUAUAAUUUUUACCAAAUUUUUAAAUUGUAUCGCCUUUAUAUUUUUUUCAUAACAUUUUUAUUUCGUGUUUAAAAUUAUCAAAUCUAAAUUUAAGCUUAGCAACAAUGUUUUGAUUGGUUUGAACAUGAUUAAGCUCUUGCAAAGAGAUACCAUCGAAAAACAUAGCAGUCAAGCAUAUAAACAUUUCUAUUUUCUAAAUAUGAGAAUUAACCCAAAUGAUUCACUCUUCUUAAACAAGAUAAGAUCAUAAGGUAAAAAUAUUAAUGAUAUUAUAUCAUGAUUAAAAUAAAAUUUCAGACAAAAAGAAGUUAUUCUCAUGAAUUAUGAAAGAAAUAAAACCAAAUCUAAAUUAUCUAAAGGUUUGGGAACAUGAAGCAAUAGUAAAAGUUUGCAAAAUGAAGAAAUUAAAGAUGAAUUAAGUGCAUUGGCUAUGCAUAAUUAUGUACAAUAAAGUAUGUAGAUUAAUAUCAUAUCGAAAGAAUAUAUAUUCAAGGUAAUUCAUCAAGUUACUAAAAAAAAUUCAUAUGAACUUGAAACAGAAUUCUUCUAAAUCGAAGAAUAUAAAGACCUUGUACAUUUUAAAAUAAAUAGUUAAAAUAGUAAAGUUAUGAUUUAAGUUUUUUAUUAAAAUAAUUAGAAUUAUAUGACUUGUAUUUUUUAAUGAUACUUGUUUAAAGAACAAGUUGCAUAUAAACCUAUAUAAUAAGGUUUGUUAUGAAAUCCAAUUUUAACGCUUUGUGGAAACAAAUGAAAUUCAAGGAAUAGCAUUCUCGAAAGAAAUUAUAAAUGAUUAAUUGUUUUACAAUUAUGGUUAAUAAUAAUAAUAGUAAUAUAUGUGUGUGUGUGUGUUAAUGGUUUAAUUUUUUUGUUGCAAACUAAUAAAUUAUAAAAGAAACUUAAUAGAAAAAAAAAGUUGAUAUAAUUCUAGACAAACACUGAAGCCAAGUAUUGUUUAGAGAAUUUACACAUAUAUAAAAUGAUUAUUUUUAUAUAUUUACAUAGCAAAAAGAAUUAAUUACUACAAAAAAAAAAAAACUUAUUGCAUUGAUGUUAAUUCAGCAAAGGAAAUGAAAUUCACAUGUUUAUAAAAUGAUGAAUUAGAUAAAAGGAUGUGUAUGGAAUAACUUUUUUCAAGAUAAGAUUAUAAAAGCAUGUAAAUUAGUUAAGUUCUUAAUUAAACUUAAUAAAUUCCUAAAAAAUUUAAAAUUUGAUGAGUUAAUUUUGACUUAUAAUAUCAUAUAAUAAAUUAUACAAUUAAAUGUAUUUAUAAUAAGUUAAAAAAAUCAUCAUCAUUUGACUAUAUAAAGAUGAUAUAUUUAGUACGGAUCAAGAAUAAGUUAAAAAUAUAAAAUUCUUGUUUAAUAAUUUUUUACUAUGAAAAAUAAAGUACUGUAAAAGUAAUUCUAAAAAUAAAAGUUUAUAUAAAAAUGACAAGUGACAAUUUCCAAUUUUACUUUAUUAGAAAAAUUCUAAAAGAAACUAUAAUUAUACAAUGAUACAACAUUAUCUGAUAAAGAAAUAUUGAUUGCACAAUCAAAUAUGCAACAGCAAAUGAAUGUGUGAUGUAUAUUAAGACAUACAUAAAAUGAAACAUUACUUUUGUGAUAAAUAAAAGUUAGUAGAUAUACGAAACGAAAUAAAUUGUGUUCAGAUAUAUUAUACACAUCUAGUAAUUGUACUCGUAAAAAAAUACAUUAAACAAUUACAAGUAAUCACAAUAUUAUGUUUUCUUUAAAAAAAAAUUUAUAGGAUCAAAUAAUAAUCAAGCCAAAGUUGGUUUUUUGUCACAAUCAUACACGAAAUUUUGUGGGCAAAAGAUGCCUUCGGGGCUGGGGACCUUUCGGCAUUUUAUGUUGGCCCUAGGCAGUAAAGAGGAAGGUGCUCAAUAAAGCAAUGCAUUACCUUUCACUGACACAUUUUGGGCAUCAAUUGGUCAAUAUUUAAUUUUGUGGGGUCGGCUUUUCUGUUGUGUGGAAGAAGCACAAGCUUGAUCCAAUUUGGCGUGCACUUCUACAGCUAGUUAAACCAAGUCACUUCUAGUUUCUUACAACAACAUUGUUUAAAUCUUAUUUUUUAAGAACACUAAUUAGACGUCAAUCGCAAUAUUUUAUGUAAAAAAAUGUUCAUUUUCUAGCCGAUCAAAUCUUAUCUUAGUACUGAAGAAUGAGCUUUUAAAAUCUUCAAGUCUCAAAUUUUAGGCUUGUUGAAUGUGAAUUAUUUAUUUAAUUAAUAUUUAUUAAUUUUUUUCAUAAAUGAUUGUAUGUAAUAUGUGAUGCAUAAAAUUAUUCGAUUAUAAUAAUAAUUUUAAUUAUAAUUAUAACCAAUAAAAAAAUAAUUUUUAUAACUAUUAAAUUCAUCGAUCACAUAAAAAUUUUAUUUUGAUUGAGCUAUUUAUUUAUUUAUUUUUAAAUAAGUCCUCCUGUACCACUGGAGGAAUGCUAGAGCUAGCUAGAGGCUUGUGGUAUUGAUUCUAUUAAAAGCUUACAUCUGUGACAAACUAUUAAGCACCAUGAUGGGAUAGCAAUCAAAUUAACUAAAUCAUCUACUGGAGCUUCUUUAUCCCCGGAAAAGAAGGGAGAAGUGCGAAGAGAGCAUCACCAUGUCCAACGGGAUCUGUCAUGUAAGCAUAACAUGUAAGAAUAGAUGACGAGGUGAGACUAAAAUGCACUGAAAAGUGACAACACGUUCGACUGGUUAAAGAAUGAUCAGAAUUAGAAACAAAACCCAGAUUCAUUGAUCAUAUAAACAUAAGCAUGCAUGAAAAGUAAGUAGCAAGACACGUAGGGUGAAAUCAACCCCUCAUUUCCAUCAGUCAACAUACAAAAGUAAACACACGGUAAUUCCCAUCAAGUCAAUAUUUAAACCUCGGUUGGAAUUUCACCACCUAGUUGUUCAAUGUAGCAAAGCACCUGGCCCUUCUUCACUAUUUGCCCCUGUUGCAGAAACAAACUCAGAAUUUCUCAAUAGAACCUCUAACAUAUGGAAACGAAAGCAACACUUGAGAGUACACUUGAGAGUACAAGUGAACCAAUGAUGGCUCCCAAAUAAAUGGUUUCAUUUAUGUUUUGUCUCUUGAAGACAACACGUUGGAAAAUAAAAGGAUGAAAAACAGUAAAACCAUUUUGAAUGCUAUGGCCAAAUGAGAAAAAACAUUAUCUCUUUCUGCUAAUGUGAUCAAAGCAAUCUAUUGUUUGGGCCCCUAAAAUAAACAAAUACUCUUACCAAAAUCCAUUGAAGUAUUACCUCUUUACACGAUGGUGGAGCACGCUUCCCCUUUAUGGUUCGUGAUCUCCUGAAGAAACCUACCUGCACAAUUUAUCAUCUUACUUCUACGAGUUCAAAGCAAGUGAAGAAUUUAAAUUUCAUAUUCUCACCUUCGGAGACUGAAGUAUCACCAAGGCUUCAUCUGCAGCUUUAUCAAGUAAGGAUUGGAUUCUCCCUGAAGAAGAUAGGGGUUUGGUGACAGCUAAAGAAGGUGAAGAAAAGCCCCGUUUGAGUCAGGUGGUUCAACAGUUCUAUUGGUGCUGACGCUGACAGGAGGAGGAUUUGGGAUCGCAGGUGGAUGUUCACUUUUUCCCGCCAAGUCCCUCACUAUGUAUAGCCGAAAUCCACCAAGCUAACAAAUGGAGACAGAACAGAAAGCCACUCAAAACCACAAUAUCUGUAAUUGUUUUGGAUACGAAACAGAAACAAUUCAAGUAGAAAAGCCAUUAACAUUAUCAAGCUAUUUGCGGCACAAGAAAUUAAAACCUGCUUACUUUUAGUUCAAACUCUGCGAUUGAAGUUUUAUUUCAUAUAUCUCUGACCAGAGAUUCCACCCGCAGUUAGAAAUUGUAAACUGCAAACUUCUAAAAUAUAAGCUAAAGGUAAGAUUUUUCAUUCAUUUUUGAAAGAAGUCCCUAAGCAGGCAAUAUUCACAUAUUUAUUCCCAAUUUCUAACGUUUGAGUACAUUAAGAAAAAAAAAAAGAGAAAUCAAUUACUUCAUUUUCUCCAAAUCCCACAUAUUGUUUCUUUACAGCGGCUUAAAACAGAGUUGAAACUUGAAACAGCUAAGCAUAGUUCACUAAUUACCCAGUAAACUUAAACGGUCUACUAGAUAAAAUAUUUUUAAUUUAAAGGUGAAAAAAAGAAUGGCAAUAAUGAUGUGGCAUAACAUACAUGCUUGCAUUAAUGAUUUACAAAAAAACAAUUAUGAACUCACCCCAGAUGAAUUUGGAAUAAGCUGGCUGGUCAAACCAGACAUUUUAGUCUCUUCAGAAUCAUCUGCUAAAUUUGUAGUAGCUGCAAGUCAGCAACCAAAAUGAUGCAGACAUUACAACAAAUCAUGUAGUUUAGAAAGCUUAAAAAGCAAAAAACAGAGAUGAUGGCAAAACUUCAAAAUAUUCAAAUUUACACACUUUAAUCAGUGAAGUACUUCAUUUCUAUUUUGACAGUGGUUAAUCUGAGAUAAGACGGCAAAAAAAGUGACAAAUGACCAGAAACAAUCGGGUACAAGAUUUUUUUUCCCAAUGAGUAGCAUGUACAUCAACCUUAAAUGCAAUAGGAUUGAGCAGUUGAGACACAAAUAUCUGGAUAUUUCACGAACAAGAUAUUUCAUGAAAUUAUUACAGAUCCAAACAAGCUUCAAUAGUUACAGCAGUUCUUUUCUUUUCCUCCUUACCUCACCAUGUAUUUUUUUUUUCGUUCUUUUUUCUCUGAAAGCCUUACAGCAUACUGACAGAUUAGAGAUUUUUGUAACCUGUAUAAUGAAGUGAGAAUGACUUUAAAUUGCAGAAACAUUAUAGACUAUCCCUAUUUCUACAAAUUUGAGUGGACAGUAGAACCAGAAAGAGAGAUGAAUUGAAUAUUAUCAACUUGCACCAUAGGCACUGUCAUUGAAUCACAUUACUCACCUCCAAAAUAAAUAAACUAAAAACUACUUCUCUAUUCAUUUGUUAUACACGUGCACAACUACUGUGCAUAAAUAGACGUAUACAGGAGUUAUCUGCCAAAAACUUACCAAAGACUUUAAGGAAAGGUUAGUCAGUAAAGCAAUUCAAGGGUAAAAUUUUACUAAAUCUGAAACAAGCAGAAGGAAAUAGAAUAUAUGUCUUCAUGAGACUGCUACAAUGUGAAAUGUAUUUCUUCAAGAAUCAGAACUAUUAUUGAGAGCACAAAAGUUCAUUGUGUCAACUCUUUAUAUCGACAUAACUUACAGCACAAUUUUAUUUUUUAAUACACUAAUUUAAUAAAAAUACUUCAUUUAUAUAAAAUUAAAAUGUUAUUUAUAUUUAAAAAUGAUAUUUUUAUAAAAAUUAUACUCAAUUAAAAUUAUUAAAUUAACUUCGGUCAAGUCAAGUCAAAUGCAUACUGAAUGCAUAUAGUUAGGAUCGAAGUCAAGUAUAUUUGAAAAAUUGGAUAGAAUUAUUAAAGAGUCAAGUUGAUCAAAGGAUGAAUUUUAACUCAUCCCAACUAUAUCCGUUAUCAUAUUUAAAUGGAGUUGUUUAUGUGACACCUCAAUUUGGCUUUCUUUUAUUUUUCAUUUUUGCCCUUUAAUUUUUUUUUUAGAUUUUAUUUAUUUCUAGAUAAAUUUUAUCAAAAAAGGGUCACUAGUUAUAUGAAUGACAAAAUAACCAGUAUCUAACAAAUUCUAACUUGACUUCAUCCAAUGGGGGAGAUUUUUUCUUUUCAAAAUUGGGAUCAAGUUGGGCUAGGAUGGUUUUCUAUUUUUUAAAUUAGGAUCAAAUCAGAGGCAAGUUCAAGGUGCUUCAUGACGAUCUCUUCAAGAUAUAUAAAAAAUACAUAUUCUAUUAUUUAUUUAAUUUUAUAUUUGUAUAUGUAUUAUAUUAAUAUAAUUAUUAUUUAAUAACUUAAUUAAAUAAAAAUACUACAUUUGUAUAUAAUUUAAAUACAAUUUAUAUUAAAAAUAAUAUUUUAAUAAAGAUUAUACUAAAUUAAAUUUAUUGAAUUCAUCUCCGAUUAAAUUAAAUCAGAUGUGAUUAUACAUAUAUGUGCUUAGUUGAGAUUUGAUAGAAAAAUAGUAACCCGAUGUCGGGUCUAAAUUGGAUUCAGAUUGAAUAAUUAAAAAGUUGGAUCAGAGCCAAUGCUAGAAAAUCUGCCUUUACCUGACUUCUUGUCAUCCUAAGUGAAUGUAUCCACGUUACAUCUCAAUUUAGUUCUCUUUUCCUUUUUUUUAUCUUAGGCCAUUUUCUUUUAUUUUGUUUUUUAAAUUGUCUAUUUUAUUUUUUCUUAAUUAUGUUUGAAAAGAUAAAUUUAAAAAAAUGAAUUUUGAUUUUAUUUGUUACAUAAGAUGUCAAAAUAAAAAACACAUAUUAUGCAUAAAUUAAUUGAUAAAUUUUUGCUAAUCAUUACAUUUAUUAAAAAUAUUAUAAAUGAAACUAUACUCAUUGAUUUAUUAAAUUUAUCUUGAACAUUGUUUAUUACAAAUAAAAAAAAAUUGAACCAAUGAUAAAGUGCAAGACUAUUUCUAGUUCAUGUUAAAGAAACAAAAGUUCAUUUAUUUACCCUGAGAUCAUGCCCUAUUGCUAUGGACCAUUAUUGCAAGCAUUAAACAAGAAAAUUAGUGAGAAAGAUUCAAACAGAAUAAAAAUUUCAUACACUUAGUUAUAUAUUGUCGCCCUGAAGUUUAGUUUGCCUGAUCCCUCAUUAUAAAUCUUUUGGUAGUUUUUCACUCCCUUAUCAUAAUUUUUGGUUCCUUUUAACUAUUUAAGUGGAAGUUUUACCAUAGUGAAAAUAAAAUUAAAUUAGCCUUACAAAAAUAAGAGAAGUUGAGAAAGCUAUAUUUCCUCAUAACAGCUUCCAAAGUGUGUUUGCCACAAAAAUUAAUAGAUUGUAUCAAUAUAUAUUAACUUAAUAUAAACUAUUGGUUUCUGAAAUAUGUGAAGGAAGCCAUUAAAUUUCAACAAUUUCAGAAUGUAACUAUUAAAAAAUCAUAGAAAAAAAUUAUUUCCCUUACCUUUUCUUCUUCUUUGUUCUUUUGUUUUAAUUCCCUUCAACAUCGAUCGGUGAGAUAGCUUACCUCCAUCAUCCAGCUUGGGUGAGUGAAGUUCAAUUUGGUGACAGUCAAAUGACUUUUUCCUUUCUCGCUCUUCUUCCUCUUUCAUUUUCCAAUUCUUUCUCUAAAGGAAAGGCCAUGGCUUGACCUCCCUUCCAACUUUCUCUUUUUUUUUUUCCUUUGUUUUACCCCUUCAGCUCCCUCCAGAGAAUCUCUUUUAGCUUUAUCUUCAUUGUUUCUCGUCUCAUCCAAGAGCCUUUCAAGCUUCUCUCUUCCUUUGGGGCUUUCUAAAUACACCACAAAAUUUUUUUUAUACACCCUCAAAAUUUCUUUCAAAAAUACCCAUAUAACAAAUACAAAUUUUAACCUUUAAUAAAUAAUAAAAAUAACCUCAAUAACUUAUACAUCCCAAAAUCAACUUUGUACAUCUUGGAAAUCCAUUCUGAGAAUUAUAUUACUUUCUCAAAAAUGGAUUUUUGAGAAUCUUGUUUUCUUAUAAAUCCGUUUCCAAAAAUACAUAAUUUUUUGUUUAAAUAUAUAUUUAAUUAUAAACUCUUGAUAACAUUUAAUUUUAAUUUAAAUCAAAUAAAUACAUUUAAUCUUAAAAUAAAUAAUACUAAAAUAAAUCAAUCUCUUUAUCAAUGUCUAACAUGAAAAAUCAGAUGUGCUGGAAUCUUUAAAUGUCUCUAAUGAUUUCUUUGAGGCAUGACUCAAUUCUAGCAAUAAAGACCUCUAAUCUUUAGGCCACUAACAAUGUCAUCAGCACAUUGACAAAUCCAACAAUAAAAAUUGGUGGUUGAAAGAGUAGAGUUCUUUAUUGCCAUAUUUAUCAAUCAGUCUACUAAUGACAUGGUCAAUGUUCUAUAGGGUGUUCAAUCUCAAACUAGCAUGCAUGCAAACACAUGAGUCAUUGAUGUGCCCAUUCUUAUGUGAUCAUAUGUAUGAAUAGAAGAGACAUGUUAGUUCUUAAGCAUUCAUAGGCAUAAAAGUGUUGUUGUUUGGAGACCAGAAAACCAAGAACACACUUUGGCCCAUGCAAAACCAGAAAACUAGAAAAAGGUUUUCUUGAUUUUCUAGAGUAUCAAGAGAAAGAACAAGUUUAUGCCAUGUAUGUUGAGAAUAUUGAUUUUAGUUUCAAUCAUACACAAGUAAAUGGGUUUAUAAGAUAAUGAAGAACACCCUUUGGCCCAUGCAAAACCAGAAAACUAGAAAAAGGAUUUCUUCAUUUUCUAGAGUAUCAAGAGAAAGAACAAGUUUAUGCCAUGUAUGUUGAGAAUAUCGAUUUUAGUUUCAAUCACACACAAGUAAAUGGGUUUAUAAGAUAAGGAUUUAAGGUUUUCAAUGAUUAAAGUGAAUUCGAGAUUCUAAGAAAUAGAUAUCCAAGAAUACUUAAAGAUUCUCGAAUAUUCAUUUUUAAGAAUACCAAGAACACCCUUUGGCCCAUGCAAAAGCAAAAAACUAGAAAAUGGUUUUCUUGAUUUUCUAGAGUAUCAAGAGAAAGAACAAGUUUAUGCCAUGUAUGUUGAGAAUAUUGAUUUUAGUUUCAAUCAUACACAAGUAAAUGGGCUUAUAAGAUAAUGAUUUAAGGUUUUCAGUGAUUAAAGUGAAUUCGAGAUUCUAAGAAAUAGAUAUCCAAGAAUACUUAAAGAUUCUCAAAUAUUCAUUUUUGAGAAUACUCAAAACUUCUCGAAAAUGGAUAUCUAAAAAGCUUUCAAUGUUCUUAUAAAUGAAUACCUGAGAACCUUUGAGGCUUCUCAAAAAUAGAUAUCCAAGAAUCCUUAAAGCUUCUCAGAUGUCCAUUUUUGAAAAGCUUCAAAGUUUCUCGAACAUUUAUGUUCGAGAAACUUGAUUUCAAAAAAUAAAGAGAGAAGAACAAAGAAAAGGUAGUAAUGGAAAAUAGAAAGUGAGAGGUUAGGUGUAUUUAGUUAAAAUAGAAAAUUGAGUUUUAAAUUUGGAUAUAUUUAGAAGUGGGGUGCAUAGAGUAAUAAAUAGGCUGUAAAUAGAAUUCCCCUCUUCCUUUUACCUUAUUAUAAAUAUUAUAAAGUCUUUUUUAACCCUAUAAUUAUUUUAAAUGUCAAAUCUAAGUUGGCUUUAAGGGACAGUUUUUAUUUAUUGUUGUUUCUCAUCUCAUCUAGAAGCUUUUCAAGCUUCUCUCUUUCUUUUACUUCUUUAUAAAUAUUAUAAAGACAUUUUUAACGCUAAAGUCAUUUUAAAUGUCACAUAUAAUUUGGCUCUAAAUUAGAAUAGUGGGGACAAUUUUUUUUUAUAGAUUAAAAAUUUCUAUGUAAAUUAUAUAAAUUGGAAUUUCUAGUAUCUUAUGCUCAUAUAAAUUACAAUGCCCUCAGUAUACUAAUUUUUGGCACUUAUUUGAUGUAUGUAUAAUUUUUAUUUCUAAAUUGAAUUUAAUAAAUAAUUUUUCAGCAAAAAUGAAGGGAAAUGAAUGUAGACAUCAAAUUUAUCUGGAUUUUAAUUGAGUCUUAGUUUAAAAUUUGUCGGGUAUAUUAGGUUAUUAGGGUGAGGCCUAAAUUUAAUUCAACUAGGCCCAAAGUUUGAUUUUAAUUGGGUCUUAAGCCCAUUUCAUUCUUUAGGCCUAUCCUAUUUUUUAUUUUAUUUUUAUUUUAUUUUAUUUUUUUGUUAAAUUAAACAAAAUACCAAAAAAAGGAAAAAAAAAACAAAAAAAAAGAAACAACCAGAAGGAUACAAGAAAAGGAAAAAACAAAGGAGGCAGGGGGUGUUUGGUGUCGUGCAUAGCACCACUAGCACCACCAACCCCUGCAAGGCCCUGUGCCACCCAUUUAGGCAUAGGGCCAAGACUGGACAAAUAAAAAAAAAAAAAAGGAGUAAAGAGGAGGCUGAUGCUUAGGGUGCCAUAUACAACACACCUAUUUGCGAAGUCCUGUGCCACUUACCUAGGCAUAGGGCAUAGCCGGAGCUCUAUUAAUAGAUCUCUGUGGUUGACCCCUAAAAAAAGAAAGAGGAGACCCUACCAAAAAAAAAAGCAUUUUGCCAAAGAAAAACAAAAAAAAAUCAAACAAAAACUUAGUCCCUUGGGAACAGGGAGCCCAAUGUCAAGAGUCCCUACAAAAAGAGAAAACAAAAUCAGUCUCAAAAAACAAAAAAAAAAACAAGUUAGAAUACUGUAAAAAAGAGUUUGGUCGAAACUUUGAAGGUCGAUUCAGGUUGUUUGGGACCUUUUUUGGUGAAAAGGAGUUUGGAUCUGUGCUUAGGAAGGCGAGAGGAAUUUUUUGAAAACUUUUUGGAUUUUUCGACAAUCGGUCGACAACCAUCUAUGACGGUUGACACGACAAAUGAUGAAUGACAAAUUUGGAUAAAGAGAGGGGGUCUGAGAGACAAAGAGGUAGAGAAAAAAAGAGAAGAGAAAACUAAGCUAAAAAUAUUUGAGGUUUUCAUAUAAAGUUGAGAGCCAAAAUGACAUCGUUUCAAUUAAAAGACCAAAAUGAUAUCAUUUUAAGCCUAGGAUCCACACGUCAACCCGUUGACCCGACCCAAGGUCCAUGCACUUGACUCGACAACCCGUCGACCCGACCCAGGGUCAAUGCACUCGACUCGACAACCCGUCUUCCAAUUGACUUUUUCUGGUCUAGCUAAACUGACCUAGAACAAAGCAAACCGGCAUUGAAUCAUCGAACCAACCAGACCGAGUCGUCGAAUCGAUCAGACCCGCAUUGACCUAAUCGUUAACCAAUCUAGUUCAAGCAAAAAAAUUUUUUUGAAUUUUUUAUAUAUUAUUCUAAUAACAUUUAUGCAUAUUAAAAUAUUUAUUUUUGUUAGAAUAAUUUAUUUUUGUGAUAAAUAAUUCAUUAGUAAAAAAAAUAAAUGAUGAAAUAUGUAGUUAAAAUUUUUAUAAUUUUUUAAUUUUAAAAUAAACUUUAAAAAAUAAAAAUAAACUUUAUAAUAAUAAUAAUAUAAAGUAAUAAAAAAUGUAAGAAAAGGAAAUUUUUAUCUGACAAUGAGAUUCAAAAGUAUUCUGAGUAGUGAUACCUACGAAAUCUCUAGGUGAGAAGAUUUUUUAAAAUAUUACCAAUAUAUUGAAAUAUUUAUAAAAAUUUUUCAAUACAAUAAAAAUUUUCUUUUUUUGUUAUAAAAUAGUAAAUAAAAAUUAACUAAUAAAUUAAGAAAAAGUGUUAAAAAAUGAGAAAAAUAAAAAUUUUAUCUAAUGAUGGGAUUCUAAAAGUAUUCCGAGUAAAGAUGCUUUAAGAAAUCCCUAGGUGAGAAGAUUUUUUUUUAAAUAUUAUCAAUGUAUUGGAAUAUUUAUAAAAAAUCUUCAAUAUAAUAAAAAUUCUUCUUUUCUUCAAAAACUUAAAUGAUAAUUAAAAAAUAAUAAUAAUCAAUAAAAUUUUCAAAAAGUAAAAUAAAAUGUAUGCAUUAACAUGUUAGCAUUUACAUUGCAUGAUAUAAUAUUUUUACGAAAAGUAAAUCUAAACCUUUGAAGAUGAGAUUCUAAGAUAUUCCAAAAAACGAUGCCUAAGAAAUCUUUAAAUGAGAAAGAGUUCUUUCAAUGUUACCAACAUACUGGAAUAUUUUAAGAAUUAUUUCAAUAAAAAAGUUAUAACUUAUUUUUCCCAAAUAAAAUUUGAAUAAUAAAUUUUUAAUAAAAAAAAAAGAAAACUCAAAUUCCAAUAAAUGAAAAAUCAAGGUGUUAGCUUUUUAGGUGAAAUUAUUUUUUGAAAUCCUGAAAAUAAGACUAUUUUUAUCAAAAUCAAUGGGUAACGCGUAGUUAAUUGGUACCAUUUUUAAACAUGUGCUAGGGGUUGCUAAUCAUUCCCCACACGUUAUUGACUCCCGGACCUAAACUAUUUCGUAGACCCUAAAAUUAUUUUUUUUAAUAAAUUUUAAUUAAAUUUAAAAUUUCAUUAAAUAGAUAUGUUUUAAUAAGUGACCAAUCGCACCUAACUAAAAAAAAAUUGAUGGCAACUCUAUUUUUUAUUUUUUAUUUUCGUCUCCAAAUUCGUCAAGCGACCUUAAAACCGUUACGAAAAUGAACAAAAAAAAGUGAGAAGACAACAAAAAAAAAAUGUUGGGUUUUCUUUUUUCUAUUUGACAUGAGGAAGGAAAAAUAAACAAAAAAUAAAAAUAAAAUUGUAAAUAAAAUGAUUAUUGCGUUUUUUUUUUCACUUACUUUUUGAAAGAUUGAAUUUAGAAAGACAUAAAAUCUAUAAAUGAAUCCAAUCAUUUUUUUUCCUUUAAUCUAAGAAAAAAAUUUUAAAUUUUUUUUCCUUUCUUUUUUUCAUCCCACCAAACACAACGUAGAGUCAUGACAAAUUGAGAGUACACAUAAAUGUUAUUUUUAUAAACUAUGAGUAAUUCAAUUCCCAUCACCCUAAUUUGAAUGUCCAAUUAUAUAAAAUAUUUAUCACAAUUUGUACUUCAAUUUGAUUGAAAGGCUGAAUACUAGCUCUCCACUUAAAUUUGAUGCGUACACGAUUUUCAUAUUUGACUUUUGGGUCCUUCGGCUUGUCCAUCUAUCAUGGUAACAAUUCUUGUGAAUAUCAAUAAUGGACCUUGAAAGUAAUAAAGCAAAAAAAAAAACUUGCCAAUUAAACUUUGAUUCAAUGGCACGAAUAUUUUAAAAUUUGAGAUUUUAAAUUGAAUUUUAUUAUAUGAAUUUGUUUUAGUUUUAUAUUAAAUUUAUUUAAUUAUAUUUAAAUUUGGUCGAUAAUUUUUAUACACAUGAAUAUAAUAUUUAUUAUGAUUGUGAUUUUUUUUUAUAAUUGUAAUUUUAUAAAAAAUAUAGUCAAUUACUUGUAAUUAUAAUAGUUAAUUAUUAUUAACUAGAUAUAUCCAAAUUCAAUGACAACUCUAAAAAUCCUCCUAUUGCAUUUUUUUUUAAAAAAUUUUAACUUUUUCAUUUUCACUUAAUAACAAUUUUUUUUAAAAGUGUCCGCACGUUUUAUCUAGAAGAGCAAGAUAUCUAUCUAUUAUUAAAAAGGAUUUAAAUUCUUUUUUAAAUAAAAAAGUUCACCAAAAAUAAAUUCACAUCAAUAGAUUAGGUUCUUUCACAUAAAAGAAUUAUAUACAGUUUUACAUAUCAAAUUAUAUAAUUAUUUUUAAAUAUGAUAAUUAAUAGAUUUGAAUUUAACUCAUAACAUUUGUAAUUUUUUUUAGAUUAUGAUUUUUUUAUUAAAUAAUUAUAUAAAAUAUUCUUUUUUUAUCCUUUUUUUAAGAGCAAUCAUGUUCGAAUAUUAGUUGGUGGGGAGGAAAAACCUAAUUAGAAACACUUAAAUAGCUCAGUGUAUGCAUGGCCCUCUCGUUUAUUAAUUUUUUUAUGAUGAUGCAAUUGACAAGAAGAUGAAUCAAUUAUAAAUUGAUGAGGAACCCUGGUAACUAUAGAUUUGCAGCUUAGGUAAUUAAUUUACUAAUUGUAUUCCCAUGUUUAGUGUGAGAGCAUGGGGACAGUGGAGAAGAAGCUGAAAGGAAAUGGAUUUGGAAUACGUGCGGGCAAUAGUGGAAGAAGGCGGGAUCUAUGUUCAACAACUGUUCUUCCGUGACCCAAAUGGGUUCAUGAUUGAGAUAUGCAACUGUGAUAACCUACCUACCAGUGAUCCCACUGGUAGGUGAGAUGGCUCGAUCAUGCUCCAGAGUGAAUGUGCAACUGCUGCCGUGUCAGUAGAUACAGCAAGUGGUUCAGCAGUAAGAGCAGCUGCAGGAGCAGAGCUGAGUCAUUUGAUUUAGGUUCAUGUUAAUAAAAAUCAUGAAAAAAAAGGCACCCUAUCUGCUUUGUUUUUUUCAUGUUCUUGUCUAACUAUUGUAUGGACAAGUCCUUAUUUUUCUUCACUUGGUUUAGUAGUUUGUUCAAUAUUAUUUAUUUUGUAAUUAAUAAAGACAAGGCCUAGAUGUGAUCCCAAGGGAAGUGAUCAUUUUAUGAGCUUAUUUUAAUUAAUUAAAAAUGGACUAUUCUCUAAAGUUUUUCUAGUACUCAAAAUUAUAUAAGGCCCCCUUCUCUUGUUGUGAAUGUUUUGGGGUUUCAAAUUCUACUAAUUUAAUGCACAAGUUGGAACUACUUUUGAUUGAUAUACAGUCUGAAAUGCCAUUCACAUGAAAGAGUUUGUUGGAAAUCAUGUUAUGAGCACAUAGUCUUAUCCUAAUUUAUUUAUCAUAGAAUGAAAAAUAAAAAUUUCAUAAAAAAUCAGAAUUUGAAUAGGAUUUUUCUAUCUAUCCUUUCAUAAAUUUCAAAUAAUACUAGGAUAUAUAGCUAUCAUUCACACCUCAUUUACGUAUUUAGAUUUGUUUCAAUUUUAGGGUUAUGGUCUAUCACUAGGUUACCUUUACAACAGGUCAUGUUAUAAUGUCAAUCUAAUUUCCAAAUUGGACAAAUUCAUCUCGUAUUAAUUAGAUUCAAGUUUCUAUCCCGAAUUACAAUUUCAUCUACAAUCUAUCAUACAAAUGUAAUGCUGAAAAAUCAAAUGAAUAACCGAUAAAGAAUCGAAAAUUAUGAUUGCACCUGUCCAAUGGAAGUUCAUUUUGGAGGCAGAGGAGAGUUAAGAAAACAAAAAAUAAAAAAAAAUAAAAGAUUGCAGAGAGUUGAGUAGUUUUAUAUAUGUUUAUGUAUCUUAGAGAUAUUUAAGCGUAGUUGAUAGGAUUCUGAAGCCCACAAAAUCUAAAUCCCAACCAAUCUUGAGUCCUGGAUUGGGACGGAAGUUGGCAAAAAGGUUCCCUCCAAAGCUGAAACCUGCGAUUUCUUCCUCUUUUAAGACAUUGCCAUGCUCUUAAAAUUGAUCAUUGAUUUGGCAUUCAUUUUGGCUUUGGAUUUACGUUUCAUCCCUUCUGUAUCUCUCAUUUCAUACUAUUACUAUUUCUUAACAACAAAGAUGCUUUAGUUAAACAUAAUCUCUAUUGGUGAUCAUAAUUUCAUCUUUUUUAAUAUUAUAAAAUAAUUAUUUUACCUUUAAAUAAAUUGGCCAUUCCUUCAUAGGUCUUAGAAUUGGUAAAGGGUUUCUUGUCUUGCCUCUGCCUGUUUGUGGCUAUUUGGAGGCAACCAGACGAACGAAAGAGAGUUCUUGGUUGAGUUGCUUCUUCGAUUUUUUGUUCAUGAAUAAGCGAUCCAAAGAAAAUUUGAAAUUAAAAUGAGAGAAACCGCUUGUCUCAACCCAAAAUUCUCAACCUACACAAGGCCAUAUUCAUUCGUUUUGUUUGGAUGCUAGGACUUCUGUCUCCCCCUUACCGAAAUGCGAUCUUGUAUUUUACUUUUUUCGAUUGGCGGCUGAUUUCUAUGCUUUUUAUUGGAAUUUUCUUGUCUUCUUGCAGCACUGUGUUUCAUCAUUUAUGAAUUUGAAAAUGAAAUUUCUCUCUUGGUGAUGUAUGGAAAAUAGAUGGAAAAUGGGUCCCGUGUGUUUUCUAUAUUCAGGAAGCAGAUAAUUGCGAAAAAUACAAUUAAAAUGUUAACAAUAAAAGUUAAAAAUAUAUUAAAAUAAUUUUUAAAUAGAUUAUAUUUUAUCAUCUGUCUAAUAUUAUAAAAUGAUCAUUUUACCCUUUAAUGAAAAUAAAAUAACUUAAAAUGUUAAUAAUAAAAUUUUAAAAAUAUAUUAAAAGAAUUUUCAAAGAAGAUAUAUUUUGACACAUUAAUCAAAAUAAAAUAAUUUAAAAUAUAAUUAACAAAGAAAUUAAAAAUAUAUUAAAAGAUUCCCAAAAAGUUAUAUUUAGACAUCUUUCCAACAUUAUAAAAUGACUAUUUACCUUUCUCAAAAUUAUAAAAUGAUUAAUUUACCUUUUUUAACAUUCUAGAAUAACUAUUUUAUUUUUUAAUGAAAAUAAAAUAACUUAAAAUAUAAAUAAUUUAAAAAAUAAAAAUUAUAAAAUUCGAAAAAAAAAAGAUCUAUAAAUUUUUUGUAUAUUAAAAAUUUAUAUAUGAAUUCAACAAUUUAAAAAAGCACCAAACGAUGCAUUUAAUAAAAAAAAAAAUUCUUAUCCUUCUAGAAAACGCCGGGGUUAAUACUAGCAACUGAAAUUAAGGACCCGUUUGAUUCCAUCACAUCGAAGCAAUGGAAUGCAAUGGGAUUUUGACCUCCAAUGCACCGUGGUUCGUGAGAUGCAUUUAGAUAGCGAUGAUGCAGUUGGGAGCUUCUGCACUGCUUUUUAGAUUUUUAUUUAAAGGAAAGGAUCCGGUGAUUUACUAAUCUCAACGGCAGUCAAAUGCUUUAAUGUAUUCGGUUUAAUGUAAAAUUAAAAAAGAAAAGGAUUUUCAAUUAUAAAAUAACUGCUUUUAAAGUAGGGAUAUUCUUCUUAUUGCAAGAUUAUCAGAUGUGGAAAACAGAGAUGGAGAUUACAGGGGAAAAACAGACGAGCAUUCAUCAUGAAAAUAUAGUUCAAAUUAUACAAAAAAAAAAAGCUUGUAUUAAUUUAAUUAUAUAAUAUAUGAAGGAUUGUUCUUUUACAUAUUUUCAACCUUCCAUAUCAUCUGUAUACAUUCAUCCAUAAUUGAUAAAAUACAAGCUAAAAAACAGAUUAAUGAGGCAAUUGGAAGAAGCUAGCACAGAAUACCAGUGCAAACUCUUAAAGAUAAAUGAAAGGGCAAUCGAUCGGAGUCCUCUAGCCAACAUUUUCUCGUAAUUCUCAAUGGAUUCCAGCCUCUGGAGCAAAAGUUGGUGCCUGAAUUUCUGGAUGAAUGCCUCGGCACUUUCGUUUAUGUCGACGAAUGGCUUUUUCCCUCUGACAUUGGACCUCAUGGCUCUAUGAUCUUUGAAGUUAUGGACAUUUGGUUCUGGAAUUUUGGAGUUGUGGUAUGAAUGAGGCAUGGAGCUGUUCUUCAUUGUAAUUGCAAGAUAGCUUUCUCUAAUUCUUUCUUCCUUGCACAACUCUCUUUGUUGAUAAGAUGAUGGUUUGGUUUCCCAUAUUUAUAGCUAAGAAGUCAAAUAAAAAAUGGGUUAUUUUAAUAGGCUGUGAUUCCAUUUCACAUUUUUUAUGUAGGAGCACGCCUUGCUAGAAUUUUCAAGUAAAAGAUAUCAACAAGUUCAAGUUAUAGAUGGAAAACAUCGUGGGAGGAUAUGCCAUGGUGCUUCUUUUCUUUUUUUUUUUGUAAAUUUUAUAACUUGUGCAAAGAUCUUCCUAAAUCCUAAUAGUCAUGCUUAGUAAAAUGAUGUAUUUUCAACAAUUCAGACUUAAUCUAAUGAUUUAAAAAGAUUGAGUUCCGCAAUUUGAAUCUUGAUAUAUACUAAAAAGAGUUAUAUGCACUUUUCUAUUAAUUUGAUUAAAAACUUUUGAUAAUGUUAAAAUGUUAGACCACUUACAUAUAAUUGAUAAUGGGUUGGUUUAGCUUAACAUUUCCCAUGUUAGGGCAAACAAGGUCCCUUAUUCACACUUACUACCCAUAUAUAGAAUUAGAGAUAUUAUUAUGUCUCAAGAUAUAGUAUGGACAUUAUGUUUUAUUCACAUGAUAUUAUAUAAAUUAAUACCGUAAAACGUUAAUAAAAUUUUAAAUUGCUCAAAAUUUUUAGUAAAAUUAUCGAGAAUCAUAUAUAAUAAUAAUAAUAAUAAUAAUAUAUCUUAUUCUAAAGAGAAAACUACAAGUGACUAAUUCUAGCAAUUAAGGGUUGGGAUAACAGACUGGGGAGUAUUACUGCCUACUCUGACCAUCUUUUUACUAUGAAGAAAGACCUAAGUUGUAAUUUUCCCACACGUAUUCAGGUAGUCAAAUUCAAAUGAAAAUUACGGCUUAAGCAAUGACCCAGCGGGUUGAGGCCCCAAGGUGCCCUUUCGAGGCACCAUUGUUGGGGAUCUAAGGACAAAAUAUGAACUUGCGUUUCUAUAGAUUUACAUAUAAUAAUUGUUAGAUAUCAUACCUGUUUUAGCAAAAGAAAUAGUAUAAAAUUGAAAGGUAGAUGCGUAGUUAAAAUAUUAUAAUAUUCUAAUCAUCCUAAUUAAUUUGCCUUAACUUUCCAUCCUAACUCUUCCUAGCCAUGAUACUCGAGCGAGUCCCAGCUGUCAUACUUUUGUUUGUGAAAUGGCACCACCAUGUUCCCUCCUUGGGCUUACAUCAAUGGUGGAUACACUUACAUAGUCAUAUUCAUCUUCAAUUCAGAAUUUUGUUUUAAAUUAUCUGUGGUUACACAGAUUUAAAUUAUCUGUGGUUGUAAUCUCUUAUCGUUACUGUCAUCUUGCAGUAUCAUGGAUUCAGAGCAGUUGUGGAAAGACAUCUGGUUUGGAUCGUGAUGGCCAGCCUAUCAAAGUAGAUGCUUCAGGGUGGCAGGCACGCAUUUUGCAGCAUGAUCAGUGUGCUCAUUUGGGUGGAACAUGCUAAGAUGGUUCCUAUAACUUUCAAAACUGUUCAAAACUUGGAGAUGCCUCUUGCUGAAGCUUGGUGCCCGCUAUCUCAUAUUUUUACAGACAAAUCCAGUCGGAGGAUGAUGCAAAACAAAUGAGGCAUAUAUAAAAGCUAGUCUAUGAAGCUUCAAAGUAAUAGAUUUGUUAUUUGGGAAGAUCUCUGGUUCGAGUUGAAAGCAUUGGAGUUCUUUGAAUGGAAUGCAAAGUCCAUUCAUUUCACGGUAUUCUAAACAGUUUGGUUUGAGUUGUUCACUCACUGCGGCUAGCGGUUGAAUGCUCUUACCCCUAAAUUCAUGGUUUGUACUUUUGUAUGUAAAGUUUAUUGAAAAUACACUUUCCGUAAUGUAACUUGAUCAUAUUUUCACAUUAUGCGGAACUAAUUAUAUUCUUAAUUAAAAGUACUAGAGCCAUUGACUUUUGUUCAUUGCCGGCGUGAUAGGCUAAAUAUACAUGGCUGCAAAGACAUUUAUCGUUGCCAUUAUCUUCUUCGGUACAAGGACAAUAUCUUUUAAUUAAGAUUGAUAAAAUUACAGUAGUUGAAAUUUGAGUUUUGCUUUUGUUAUAUAUUAUUUUUUGAAAGUGAUUAUAUAUGUCAAUUAAAUUGAUGGGUUAAUUAUGAUUAUUUCAUUUCAAACAACUUAAGAUCUUUAUUAAAAUCCCAUUUCAUUUCUUUUACCACUUGAUUUCGCACAAGUGCAUGGCCACUAUUGCAAUCAUCUAUCAUUAUCAUAGAAUGAAAGUUAGCAACUUAAGUGGUGUAGUGGUGACAUAUGUUGACAAAGACACAGAAUUUAUCAAUAUUUAAGAGUAGUAUUGCGAGAAAUAUUGAGAACUAAAUUUUGGGACCAUUUUUGGAUGUUUAAUGAUUUCUUUUUGAACUUUGUGUUUGGGUUUUCGUUAUUUUUUUUCUUCUUAUUUUGAAUAGAAUUUUAUACUCUAUAAUUUUUUGUUUAUUUAAUGUGUUAAUUUUAAUUUUUUUAUAAUUUAAUUUAUCUUCAUAUUAUUUUUAUUUAAUUGACUCAUUCCAAAAAUGAUGAUUUUUCACCUAAAAUAUGUUGAUUCAUGAAGAGAUAUUUUAAAUAUUAUUUGCAGUUUAUAAAUAUUUUUAUUAACAUUCAUUUAACAUAAUUUUACAUCUUAUCUCUUAAAAUUUAAAUCAUUAUCUCUCGUAUAUAUUCCUGUGUGUUUAUGUGAUUCAUGUUUAAAAAAUUCUUGAAAUGUAAUGCCGAAUUUCUUUAACUAAGCACUAUGUCAUUGGAAUAACGAUUUUAAUAGUCAAUUUGUAUUAUAGUGAGAAAACUAUUAUCCUUGAUAAAAUUUCUGAGAAGUGUCUUUCCUAAAUCUCUUCCUUCCUUGUUCCUAUGGGUUGCAUUAGUAGCAAACCAUCACUUACAACAUUAUCCCUAGUCAUUGUUUCUGCUUAUUUUUUUUUCCCUACGAUUUUGAAGGUACACUCAUCUUCAUGGACAUGAUGCAUUUAAAAUUAUACUUUUUUUUUUGGUGUUGUUAUGAUUAGAUGAAUUUGAUUGAAAGAAAAGCAGGUGUAAAGUAAGUUACAAAUAAAUAUGUUACGGUAUUAAGGUUGUAAUAAAAAUGUUUUGAAAAAACUAAUUACAAACUCCAAUGAUAAUACCAUUUGACAUUUAGCAUUUAGCAUCUGUCGGGGACAUAUAUGGCUAAGAAUUUAUCAGUUAUGCAUAUUUAGGAUAGAGUAGGAUUGGCCGGAUUGUCUUUUUCCUUCAAUUUGGAGAACAAUGGUUGCCUACUUGCUUUCAGCACACGUGAGAGAGGAGGCAACUCUUUUCUCUUUGUUGCUUUUGUUUUAUCAAUUCAAUUAUUAGAGGUGGACAUCAUGUCAAAAUGAAAAAGCAAAUAUCCCCUCAAUAAUGCAAAGUAUUGUUAUAAAUGUUGCUAUAAUAGAGAUUGGUAUAUGGGCAUAAAAAGAAAAAAAAAACACAAAUAAUUCUAGAUAAAGUGAUCGUAUUUAAAUAAAGCAUUAGAUCUUAUGAGGUUUUGGCUUAGUGAGUUAAUGGCAAAAAUGAGGUUUUAGAAUCCUGAAGUCCUUCAAGUUUCAUUAUAUGUAAGUUUUGUUCAAUUUUAUAUUGAAUUUGUUUAAUAAUAUUCUAAUUUAUUAGUUGAUUAUUUAUUAUUUUUUAUAUAUAAAUGUAAUAUUGAAUUAUAAUUAUAAAUUUUCUUCCAUUGAUUAAUUUUCAUUGAAAAAAUAAAGCAUUAGAAAUUAAAAAAGUCUAUGUAUAUAAAAAUAAAAAAGUUGAUAGUGCUUCUCUAUCCAUUUGUCAUAAUGCUUGACUUGAACCCUAAAUUUGCAACUUACUCAUUGCCUGAAAUAAACAUAUUAUUGUAGUAAUAAUUUCCACCUAAGAAAACUAGACUAUGAACAUCUUUCCAACAGAAGACUCGAAAACAUUUUUUUCCCUUUAGGAUGUGCUAUGUGAACAAAAGGUAUUGGGUGGAUUAAAGUUUCACUUUGAUAAAGUAAAGUACCGCUGAGAUUAGUUUCAUUCGAACAGAAUAAAUUUGAAAUUAAUUUCAGAGCUAGCUUUUUAUAAAUUAACAGAAAAUUUUUUAAUUCUAAAACGAGAUUAAGAGACUAGCAUUAGUGUUUUUUUAAUAUAUCCUAUAAACUGAGCUUUAGAUCAAUUGAUAUGUCAAUAGAACUGAUGUUUAUUGUGGGUUCAAAAAUGUUUAUGCGCAAAAAUUUUUUUAACCAAGUAAAUAUUAUAGUAAAGAAAAUUUACAGAUAGAUUAGGGAUCUCAAAAAAUAUUAAUAUAUCCUAAAAUAUAUAUCAUAUUGUUAACCCCAUUUAUAAAAUUUAAAAACUUCACUUACAAUGGAUGAAAUAAUUUCUUCUAGUUUCAAGAGUUCUUCGAACUUUUGUAUGAAUUGCUUUAACCAGUUUUUAGUUAAUUAUAGGAUUGAAGAUUGGAGUUUUUAUGGCAAAACUUGUUAGGUAGUUAAGUUGGGUUCUACAAACUCCUUAGUUAAAAAAAAAAAAAAUUUUAAAUGAAUUCACAAUUUCUUCAGCUUUGGAAGAAACAAUAUAAAGAAAAGAAGGCAUUCAAUAAUUCAUAGAUUAUUCUAUCAAAAAAAAAUUCAUAGAUUAACCUAACCAUAAUCUUCUUUUCUUAUGGCUCGAAAAUACCCUUAAUCCCCUUCCUAACCAGUGGCCAGUGGACCUUCAAGGACAUCUCUGAGAUGCUAGGAAGUAACUUUAAUGCAUGUAAAAGAAUUAAGAGCAAAUUGGGGGCAAGGGUCCAUUCCCCCCUAUUUGAAGAUCCCCUGAAUUCCUGANNNNNNNNNNNNNNNNNNNNNNNNNNNNNNNNNNNNNNNNNNNNNNNNNNNNNNNNNNNNNNNNNNNNNNNNNNNNNNNNNNNNNNNNNNNNNNNNNNNNNNNNNNNNNNNNNNNNNNNNNNNNNNNNNNNNNNNNNNNNNNNNNNNNNNNNNNNNNNNNNNNNNNNNNNNNNNNNNNNNNNNNNNNNNNNNNNNNNNNNNNNNNNNNNNNNNNNNNNNNNNNNNNNNNNNNNNNNNNNNNNNNNNNNNNNNNNNNNNNNNNNNNNNNNNNNNNNNNNNNNNNNNNNNNNNNNNNNNNNNNNNNNNNNNNNNNNNNNNNNNNNNNNNNNNNNNNNNNNNNNNNNNNNNNNNNNNNNNNNNNNNNNNNNNNNNNNNNNNNNNNNNNNNNNNNNNNNNNNNNNNNNNNNNNNNNNNNNNNNNNNNNNNNNNNNNNNNNNNNNNNNNNNNNNNNNNNNNNNNNNNNNNNNNNNNNNNNNNNNNNNNNNNNNNNNNNNNNNNNNNNNNNNNNNNNNNNNNNNNNNNNNNNNNNNNNNNNNNNNNNNNNNNNNNNNNNNNNNNNNNNNNNNNNNNNNNNNNNNNNNNNNNNNNNNNNNNNNNNNNNNNNNNNNNNNNNNNNNNNNNNNNNNNNNNNNNNNNNNNNNNNNNNNNNNNNNNNNNNNNNNNNNNNNNNNNNNNNNNNNNNNNNNNNNNNNNNNNNNNNNNNNNNNNNNNNNNNNNNNNNNNNNNNNNNNNNNNNNNNNNNNNNNNNNNNNNNNNNNNNNNNNNNNNNNNNNNNNNNNNNNNNNNNNNNNNNNNNNNNNNNNNNNNNNNNNNNNNNNNNNNNNNNNNNNNNNNNNNNNNNNNNNNNNNNNNNNNNNNNNNNNNNNNNNNNNNNNNNNNNNNNNNNNNNNNNNNNNNNNNNNNNNNNNNNNNNNNNNNNNNNNNNNNNNNNNNNNNNNNNNNNNNNNNNNNNNNNNNNNNNNNNNNNNNNNNNNNNNNNNNNNNNNNNNNNNNNNNNNNNCACAGCCUAACAUUCUCAAUACUUGCAGCGUUGAAAAAGCAGAUAUCAACUGUCUUGGAAUUCGUAUGGCAGGACUAAAGCAUUCCAAGUUCAAGCAUUUAAGCUUUUCUAAAGCCUUCAAUUCAAUUGGUAGCUCUCUUAUCCCUGUAUAGGAGAGAUCGAGACAUUCCAGAGACACCAAUUUCGAAAUUCCCACUGGAAAUUCUUUUAUAUAUCUAUUGUCUGACAAGUUUAGAACUUUUAAGCCACACGUAAAUUGGAAGAAGUCAUUAUUGAUCACCUGCAACUGAUUAUCGUUAAGAAACAGAGUUUGGAGUCAGGACAGUUAGGUGCUUCUACUAGAUUUUCAAUCCUAUUCUUCAACAAUGACAUCCUGCGUAUACUUCCCCAAUUCUGAACUUCUGGUAACUUAGUUAAUUGAUAACCUGCCUCCACAAAAAACCUCCACUUUUCUUCUUCACACUUACAUGUGUUGGGAUUUGCCUUGAAUCUCGUAAUCCCACAUCGAAAUUUAUAAGAGUUUUCAAUUUAUUUUUUAUCUCAUAUCGAGAGUUUAUUAAAGGUAUAAGGGGUUUUACUCUUAUAAAUAAUAUGUUUUAGGUUUAGUUUAAUAAUCUCAUAUGAUUAGAUACGAAAAUCUCAUAUAUUUAAUCACCAAGAGAACAACUAGGUAAGUAGGUUAUAAAAGAGUAUAAUUGGGUUUUGAGUUAAAUUUUGAAUAAAGAGUUUUUUGUGAUUUUUCUUAUUUUAAAAGUCUUUCAAUUGUAAAGAUUUAUUUGAUAGUGAAUUAGGUUCGGAGUAAAUCAUUUUAAGUUUGACCAAAACAAAUAUAUUUGUAUGUUGUUAUUCUUAAUUUGAAUUUACUAUUUUAUGUCUAGGUGCUGUGGUUGAUUUCCCAACAACAUGCUAUCCACAAACUCAUGUCAAGAAACAUGUCAUGCAUCUUUAUGCAAAAUUCAUUUAUUUCUUCCAAUAAACAUACAUGAAGAAGACAAACAAUGAUGUGGUGGCCUUGGUUUUGAGCUAAACUUGUAUUGCCACGUCCAUCCAAAAACCCCGCCCCUAUCCAGAAAUCUAUAAGCAUAUCUUUUCUAAUUUGGUAAUCCUUCGAGAACAAACUACAGUAUAAGAGGCAAGUUCGAAUCAUGUCAUUGGGAAGAGAAUCAAAACUGAAUUUUAGAAGCGGAUAUACCUCUUCAUCCACGUCUAGUAAAAUAGAGGCAGAUGAUCUCCGACACACUUCAAUUGCAUAUUUCCAUUCUUCAACUGUGUUCUUCCAAGCCAUGGCACGAGCAAUGGUGACGAGUGCGAGAGGCAGUCCUCCACACUCUUUGGCAAAUUCAUGAGCCAACUCACGAAUACAUGGAUUACUUUCAAGUGUUUCUUCACCAACUUUCUUUGAAAUAACUCCCAAGCUUUUUCUUCAGGCAAACACCGCACUCCAAUCUUCUUAUGAGCUUCCAUUUGGCCACACACCUUCAUAGAACAAGCUGUGAAAACUAGUUUGGAACCAUUUUCUUGAGUGGGGAGAGGUAUCCGAACCUUAGAUAGAUCAACUCGCUCCCACAUAUCAUCUAAUAACAUAACAAAUUUCUUUUCCUUUAAAACCCUAAAGAUGUUUUGAGCUUUUUCCUCUGGACUUUUGUUCUGCCAUGUUCCACCAGCUAUUCCCACCCUUUCAGCAAUGCCAUCUUGGACCUUUCCGAUAUAAAACCCUUUAGAUACUACUAUCCAAAUAACUACAUCAAAUCGAUUUGGGGGUUCAUAAAACUUGUUGUGGAUUUUGUUCAGGAGGCAUCCCAUGCCAUGCAGGCCAACAAUUCCCACUUGUUCAGCUUCAAGGAUGCUCCAAGCCUUGUCGAAUUUGGAUUCCAAACCAACAGUAUGUUCAGGAGGUCAUUCAGUCACUAGAGGUGUUGGUUCUUCCUCAGCCACCUUGUCAAAAACUCCCUUGCUCUUAUGAUCCACAACAUUUCGGAGCAUUUUGGCAAUUUGCUUCCCAAACUUCAGGUUGGACUUGGGACUCAUAGAACAACAACCUCCUAUACAUAAUUUCUUAAUUUCCUGAGGACUUUCCACAAUCAACAAUGAGCUCCCUUAAUCAAAGUUUCUGCCCUCGAAAGCCAUCAUUGAACUUGGUCUAGCCGCUUCAGCUGUUGCUGAUCUUCGGCUAUUUUCACACUUCUGAUAACAUCAUCCCUUAGACCAGUUCAAAUAUUUCAGCCUUUGUUGGGACUUGAGCUCAGUUGGCAACUGUCUUAUACUUGUCUUGGAUAGUUGAGAUAUUGCAAGGAAACAAGUUUUGAAAUUCCCUGGGUCAAUUCAGUUAUGCCACUAUUGCAGGACAGGUCUAACACUUUUAGAUUAGGCAUAGAUUGGAAGAAGUCAUUGCUGAUUGUCUUCUAUGUGUUUUCAUUGAGAAACAAGGUUAGUAGGUUGGGACAUGAAGGUGUUUCGAUUGGAUUCUGAAGGCAAUUUGCCAUUAGUGAUAUCCUUUUUACUGCUUCCCAUUUUUUGAUCUCUGGUGCUUCAAUUAAUCGAACACCUGCUUGCACUAAAAUACUUUCCUAAAAAAUAUUGCACCCAUUAGCUAUCCACAGAGCCAUAUCACGAAUCACAUCGUGCAUUUUCACAUCAUAACCUUCUCCUUCCAACACACAUGCAAAUACAAUUGUCCCAAUAAAGUCAUACCCUUGAUUUUGAGCUCCAUUUCUGCCAUUACAUUCAUCUAAAAGUCCUUCACAAAUCCAAUAAUAAAUUAAAUCAGUUUUGUGAAUGACAAAGUCUUUUGGAAAUAAAGUACAAUAUAAGAAGCAAGAUCUCACUUUCCAAUUAGGUAAAUGAUCAAAGAACUUCAUAAGAGGAAAGACCUUAUCCUCCAUACCUCAAAAUUCUGAGGCACAUUUUCUCAAAACCUCAAUUGCACGAAUCCAUUCUUGUGGUGUCUUCUUGCAGGCCAUGGCUCGACCGAUGGUGAUAAUUGCUAGUGGCAUACCAGCGCACUCUUUGGCCAUAAUUUCCGACAGCAUAGGAAUGUCUGGAUGCAAGUUGAAAGUAUCAUUUACCUGUCAGCUUGUGUUGGAAAGAGAAUAAGCGAACAAAAAGGAUUGUAAGUUUGAAAAUUCUAAUCAGCAAUCUGGAAUGUUUGUAAUUUAGCGUAGCAACACAAUGAGAACCAUCAUUCAAUAUUUUCCGAUUGAAGUAUUGAUUUCAUCACUGCUUCCAAGCUCCAGCCACUUCCGAUAAGAAAAAUGGGCAUGAGCAUCAAAGUAGUUUUCAGAUUUCACAAUAACGAAACGAAACAAUAUAUAUAUAUAUAUAUAUAUAAUAAAAUUGAGUUAGAUUAAUGUUUUAUAAAGCUGAUUAAUGUAACUACCUUAAUGAAUUAAGCAAAAUAUAUUAACUUUCUAUAUUAUCAAUUUGGUGGAUAGUUGGAUCAUAUUGAAACAAGCAGCUUCAAUUUUUUCUUGAACAAAAUGUCAGAACAAAAUCCACACAUUACACAAAAAUUAAUUUAUAGAUUUUCACCGAUCAUUGCAUUUAUUAAAAAUAUUAUAAAUGAAACCUACUCGCUGAUCUAGUAAAUUUAUCUUGAACAUUGUUUAUUACAAAUAAAAAAAUUUUACGUGCGGUAACGUACGAGACUAUUUCUAGUUCAUGUUAAUAAAGCAACAGUUCCAUUCAUUUACCCUGAGAUCAUGCAUAUAUUGUUGCUAUGGACCAUUGAAUAUUCUUUGUUGCCCAGAAGUAUGGUUUGCCUGAUCCCUCGUUAUAAAUGUUUACAUCCUCUUUCACUCCCCAUAUCAUAAUUUUUGGACUUUUUAACUGUUUAAGUGGAAGUUUUAACACCACGAAAUAAAAAUAAAUUAGCCUAACAAAAAAGAGAGAAGUUGAGAAAGCUCAUAACAGCUUCCAAAGAGCAUUUGCAACCACAAUAAUUAGAUUGUAUCAAUACUAACUUAAUAGAAAUUAGAAACUUCUGAGUAAAUGAUAUAAAUUUGAAAUUUUUAGUAUCUUCUACUCGUAUAAAUUACAAUACCUAUAGUGUAUUAAUUUUUGACAUAUGCGUAAUGUACAUGUCAUUUUUAUAUUUAAAAAAUUCAAUUAAAUAAUUUUUUUUUGUUUCUAUAUAAUAAUGAUAAAUACGAACAAUUUAAUUUUAAUUUUGAUAAUUUUUUAUAUAUUUUGAUAACAUUUGUUAGAAGUUUGAUCACUGUUCAUAAAUUUUUGGUAUCUUCUAUACAAUUUUGUUAACUUUCAAUAUUUAAUGACUUAUUAUAUAAUUUUGGUAACAAUUGAUAUAAUUUUGAUACUUUUUUAUAAAAUUUUGAUAACCGCUUGAUGUAAUUUUGAUAAGCUUUAUGAUAUACGUUGACUAAAUAUUUAAUUUGAGAGAUGAAACAUUUAUAUGAUUAUUCAAUUUAGAACUAAACAUUUUAUUUUAUAUGAAUAAAAAUUAAAUGCUAUGGAAUGUUUAUAAUUAAAUAUAUAUUUAGAUGAAAAUUUGUGAGUGUUUCACACACACUAUUAACUCUAAAAAAUAACAAUUAAAUGAAAAAAUCAAUCAUCUAUAAUUUUGUUAGUGGUUAAGUAUUAUUUUAAAUAAAAAAAUUAAAAAUAAUCCUAAAAUAGAGAUCUAUUUUUUAGGAAAAAAUUAGAAAAAAAAAACAUUUCAUUUUUUCUUACUAUUUUAAAUACAGUUUAAAAACAAAAAGUAAGAAAAUAAAAAUUAAAAGUUCUAGUAUUUUUUUCACAAUCAUUAAAUUUUCAAUUAUUCAACAUUAAUCUACAAAAAAAAAAAAUCACCACUCCAUACUAUAAUACUCAUGAAAUUCAAAACCCAAAACUAAACCCUAUAAAUAAAAAACAUUUCAUUUUUUUUUUAUAUUUUAGGAAAAAAUUAAAAAAAAACAUUUCAUUUUUUCCUACUAUUUUAAAUACAGUUUAAAAAUAAAAAGUAAGAAAAUAAAAAUUAAAAGUUCUAGUAUUUUUUUCGCAAUCAUUAAAUUUUCAAUUAUUCAAUAUUAAUCUACAAAAAAAAAAUCACCACUCCAUACUAUAAUACUCAUGAAAUUCAAAACCCAAAACUAAACCCUAUAAAUUUUUGUUUGUCUAAAAAUUUUGAAUUAAAACAUGUAUGAAAAAGACAAAAAACUGAAACCAAUGAUCUAACAUCACCCUAAUUAUAGAGCUCAAGGAUCAUAAACCCCUUCAAAAAUCAUCAAAUCCAAGGAAUAUCCCAUGAUCCGAAGGGUAAUUACCUGAACCCAUUGUCAAAAGAUCUAGAAACAACCCGUCUUUAGGUAAUUCACUGUUCAGCUGUACUGUUUCAUCCAAAAUCAAGCGUGAUGGGGACUCCGCUUGAAACUCAAUGGUGGAUUGCUCCGAAUGGGUCCUGGGAGGCUCUGAGUUUGCAAACUGGGCAACAACUGCCUGGAUUUCGAACACACACUUCCCCCAUUUUCACUUUCGAACACCCUUGAAUUGCAAAUUGCUUUUCUCAGCUGCAGGUUUCUCGCUUAUGUGUUUCACUAUAUUCUUUUCCUUUUCAAAUCUCUGGGAUUGUCUUGGGUUCUCUUUCUCAGUUCUGUCUUUAAGCUUAUUAGGCACACCUCAUAACCCUCACCUCCCCUUGAUUCAUUUCUUCGAGACACCUUUUCCAUCUCCAACUUCUUAAUUAUAAAAUUACAAAAAGAGAUUCAUUGAUUAGGUGUUUGUUAAUCUGGUUUUCUUCCAAAAUUUCAAAAUUGGCAUAGAUUGAGCAUGCACAACCUUUUAACGGCUCAACAAGGCAAGGUUUAAAAUUUCUAGUUUUUUUAUAUUGUAAAUAAAGGAGUUACAGCUAAAGAGAGAAAGUGAACACUAAGAGAAAGUAGUUGAAUGGAGAAAAAAAUUGAAUGAAAAAAAAAAAAAAAAAGAUAGCCCUUUGCAAGAACAGAACAAUGGGAGGCUUUGUAGAGAAACAAGAGUUGAAAGGAGAAAAUUUUGAAGUUAAGAUAAAAGGAAAAAAAUUUGGAAAGAAAGAAGAAAGAAAAGUUGUUGUGUUCUUAUAAAACUGAUGUUUUUAUUAUCUUUUAAUUUUUUUGGGGUUUUAGGGAAUAAAUUAGUAUAAUACACAACUAAACAAUGCAAUUAAACCACAUGGAGAAGACACGCACAAUUUGUCAUCUAAAUAUAUCCUUAAUUGUAAACGUUUAAUAAUGUUUAAUCCUUAUUUAUAUUCUUAAUUGUAAUCGUUUAAUCUUAAAUUGAGUAAUUAUGCAAACAUUUAAUCCUAAAUUGAGUAUUUAACCUAUUUUUUUUUUGUAAUUAUUGAUAAAAUUUGUGCCAUCAUAUAUUAAAUAUUGGAUUCCUACAAUAAAGUGUAGGCUUCAUGUUAGUAUAAGAUAAUUUUCUUUUUUAUAAAGUAACAUUAUUGCUUCAUUUAAAUUUAGAUUUUCUUUACUAAUUUUUUUAUUAAAUAAGCUCAUGGUAGAUUUAUCCUAGCCUCUUAAGAUAAAAGUUCUAGUUUCGUUUUUAAUAGUAACCAAGGUUCAAUACCUGACAACUUUGAAUAUAAAAAAAUUAUCAAAUAUUGAUAAUUAAGUUAUCAUUAUGUUAUCAAUGAUUUACUACUAAGUUAUUAAUAAUUUAUUACUAAAAUAACAUUAAUUUACAACUAAUUUAUAAAUGAUUUAUCACUAAAUUAUAAAUGAUUUAACAUUAAAUUAUUGAUAAUUUAUCACUAAAUUACUAGAAAUUUAUUAUAAAGUUAUAACUGAUUUCUUACUAAGUUACAGAUUAUUUAUUACAAACUUAUCAAUUGUUAACUAAUUUAUUGCUAAAUUAUCUCUAAUUUACAACUAAAUUAUCACUAAUUUAUAACUAUUUUAUUACUGAUUUAUUACUAAAUCCCCAAUGAUUUACUAUUAUACUAUUAUGCAUUUAUUACAUGUUAUCAUUGAUUUAAUACGUAGUUUUCGAUUAUUUACUAUGAAAUUAUUAUAAUUUAUUAUUAAAUUAAUCAUGAUUCACCAUCAAGUUAUCACUUAUUUAUAUUAAAUUAUCCAUGAUUUACUAUAAUAUUACUAGUGGUUAAUUAUUAAGUUAUAGAUUAUUCAAAAAAAAAAAUUAAGUUAUCGAUAAUUUACUACAAGUUAUAUUGAUUUACUUUCAAGUUUUUAAUAAUUAACUACUUAAUUAUUAUUGAUACUAUUAAGUUAUUUAUGAUUUAAUACUAAAUUUAUCAUUGGGAUAAUGUUACAAAUGACUCUUGAAUUAUAGUGAAAUGUUCAAUGUGGUAUUUAAAUUUUAAAAAUCUUUAAUGUGAUACUUAAACUAUGAAUUUGUUAAUUAAUAUGGUACUUAUCCCUAACAUAAUUAGUUUCAAAUGAUGAUACAUGGCAUACAAGCAACUUUUCAAGUACUGCAUUAGUUAAUAAUUUUAUAGUUCAGGUAUCACAUUAUAUAUUUCACUAUAGUUUAAGAGCCAUUUAUAACAUUAACCUUUUAUCAAUUAAUUACUAUUAAAGCAAAAUUGAUUUAUUUUUAAGUUAGCAUUGAUUUAUUGUUAAGAUGUAUAUGAUUAACUACUAAGUUACUAUUUAUUUUUUAUUAACAUAUCCUUGAUUUAUUAAUAUGCUACUAUAUAUUUACAAUUAAUGAAAUAUGGAAUUUAAAAAGUUACUGACAAUAUAUAAGAUAAUUUUAUUUUAUACGAUAAUAUUAUUAUUUAUUCAAAUUUAAAUUUUUUACUAAAUUUUUAUUGAAUAGAUUUGUGAUAGGUUUAUUCUAGCCCCUAAAGAUGAAAGUUUUUUAUUUGUUUCCGCCAUGAACCAGGUUCAAUCCCCUAAUAAUAAAAAAUCAAUGAUUAAUAAUUAAAUUAUUAUUUUAUUUACUAUUAUGUUAUUAAUCAUUUAUUACUAAGCUACCAAUAAUUUAAUACUAAAUUAUCAAUAAUUUAUUACAUAUUUAUAAAUGAUUUAUCCUUAAAUUAUGAAUUAUUUAUCGCUAAGUUAUUGAUAAUUUAUUAUAAAGUUAUAACUUAUUUAUUAUUAAUUUAUGAAUGAUUUAUUAUAAAAUUAUCAAUGAUUAACUAAUUUACUGCUAUAUUAUUACUCAUUUGUAGUUAAGUUAUUAAUAAUUUAUUAUUACGUUAUUGACGAUUUACUACUAAAUUAUCAAUGAUUUAUUAUUAUAUUAUUAUAUAUUUACUAUUAUGUCAUAAUUGAUUUACAAUUUAAUUUUCGAUUAUAUACUACAAAUUAUUAUUAAUUUAGUAUUAAAUUAUCCAUGAUUCAUUACCAAGUUAUCAUUAAUUUAUAUUACAUUAUCCAAAUUUACUAUUAAUUUAUCAUUGAUUAACAAUUAAGUUAUUGAUGAUUUACUAUUAAAUUAUAUUGAUUUACUUUUAACGUAAUGAGUAACUAUUAAAUUAUCAAUUAUUUAAUAUUAAGUUAUUAUUCACAAUAUAAAAAAAGUUAUUUAUAAUUCACUACUAUUAAUUAAUUACUAUUAAAAUAAAAUUGAUUUAUUAUUAAAUUAUCACUAAUUUACUAUUAAGUUAUUAUUAAUUUAUUAUUAAGUUAUCAAUGGUUAACUAUUAAGUUGUCACUUAUUUUUCAUUAAAUUAUUCUUGAUUUACUACUCUCUUGUUAUUCAUUUACAAUUAUAUUACAAUUAAUUUAUUACUAAAUUAUUAUGCAUUUACUAUUAUAUUAUUAUUGAUUUAUUACUAAGUUAUCAAUUAUUGACUAUUAAAUUAUUAUUCAUAUAUUGAUUUAUGCAUGAUUUACUAUUAAGUUAUUAUUGGUUAAUUAUUAAGUUAUCAAUAAUUACUAUUAAGUUAUACUGAUUACUUUUAGCUUUCAUUGAUUAAUUACUAAAUUAGCAAUCAUAUACUAUUAUGUUGUCAUUAAUUUGCAUAUAUUCAAAAAGAAAGCAACCGUAAUGAAUGCUAAAUGAUGUAAUUUAUAAGAUAGAGAAAGAAGUAAGAAAAUGUUUAAACGUAGAUGACUUGAAAAACAAAAAGUAAAUGCUCUUAAUUUGCUAUUUGUAGUUUAGCAUAUAAUAAUAAGUUAAAAUCCUAACUUUUUAUACUAAUGUAAGUAUCAAAGCAAAGUUAAAUUAAUGUAUAAUAUAUAUUAAGUUAAUAUUUUUAAAAUAUUCUUUAAAUUUUUUAAUUCAUUGUAAAAUAGUACAUAUUAAGAUAAAUUUUGUUAAUAAUUUGAUUGAAUGAUUUGUUAUAUAUUUUUAUACUUGUUAGCGAAGUACAAUUUCUUAUAAAAGAUUGAAAAAAUUGAAGUAUUAUGCCAACAAUGAAAAUAAUAAACUUUACCUUAUGUUUCCAUCUUUAAGUAUAUAAUUUUAGGUAAAAUUUAAUUAUGCAAAAGCAAUGAGAAAAAAUUUACUAAAUAAAAUUUAUAAAAAAUAAAUAGACAAUAAUUUUUAAAAAAUUAAGUUUAUAAUAAUUACUUUCACAUUCUCUUUCAAAAAUUUCUUUUAUUAAAUGAAAAGAUAGUAUAUUUCUAAUUGUUAUUUCAUUUUUAUUACUAUCAUUCAAAAUGCAUUUUUUUUUUUUUAUAUUUUGAUGUCAACCAACUUUUUCAUUUGAAAAGAAUAAAGAUUAUAAGGGGUCAUAACGACCCAAAUAAUAUAUAACUGUAUGUUAUCUUCCUAAAUAAGUUUGAACUAUAAUAUCUACUUCAAAUGAAAUGUUUAAGUUGUUUCCUUCAAUCUAUAUCACAGCAACUUGAUUAGCAAGACUUGGGCAUAAGAAUUUCAAAAUCCUUAAAAGAAGAUAUAUCAUUUAAUCUUUGCACAAUUUGGGUAUAUGAAUUUUCUUCUAGAAUUAUCAUUAAUAUUUCCAUAACUUUUGCACUUAAAUUUUUUUUUUCAUUCUAUUUUGAAAUUUAAUACCAAUGUCAUAAAAGUAUAAUUAAAAAUAAUAUGAAUUAAUUAACUCAAACUUGAAAUAAUUCAAGACUCAUAUUGAGUAUACAUAAAAUUUUUACGCUUUUUGAAUUUUACUAUAAUUAAAAAUAAUAUAAUACACAUAAUUAUAAAAAUAAACAAAUUUCACUUGAUUCAAUUGAUUUUAAACAAUCAAAACCAUAGUGGUUAUUUAAAAUAUGAAAUCACUGAACCCAAAUUUUGAAUUGACAUAGCAAUACAAUCAAAAUCCAAUAUUUUUAUUUUAUUUGAAUUUAAGAUGAUUUUAAAUCCGGCUUUUUAAAGAACGAAAAGUUUGCAUCAAUUAUUAUGUCAAAUUUAUUCAAGUGAUAAGUGAAUAAUUAAGUAUACAAUAAAUAGAAGCAAAUAAAACUUAACUCAACCUAAUUGAUAUUGAUUCUAAAAUUAAAACCCAACUUGAAAUUAUGAGUAGUCAAAAUUCAAAAUAAUUGAAAUACUAGAUACAUAAUUAAAUAAAAAUUUAUCGAAAGAAUUUUCUUCAUUAAUGCUUUUAAAUCACAUUUAAGUUUAGUUAAAUUAUAAUGUAUAAUAAUAUUUUUAUAUUAAAUAUAAUAGUGAUAAUUAAUUUGAUGAAUUUCAAUACUUUUGAAUAAAUAUUACCCAACAUAGUAACCUUAAAAAUUUUUAUAUAAUCAUGAACAUUCCUUUAACUUAUAUAAUGAAAGAAAAAUGAAAGCUAUACAAUUUUUCCUAAAAAGAAUUUUAUAAUUGAUCCUAAAAGAAUUUGAAAUCAUUAAAAUUAUAUAUUUUUCAUUGAAAUAUCAUAUAGCACUAACCUUAUUGAUAUGAAUAAGAUAGAACUAUGUAUAAUCAGUCAAUUUUUUCUCUCAUUUUUUUUCUUUGGAAAAUCUUUUAUUGUUGCUUCCAUCAAUUAAAUGUAAUUCUACAUUCUACCAAUUAAAAACAUAAAUUUUCUUUUAUUUAAAAAUUUUAUUAUACAUAAAUUUUGAUUAUAUAAAAAUAUCACAAUACAUAAUUUUAAAAAUUAUAAUGAAAUAAAAAAGAUUUAAUUAAUUUCUUUUUUGAAUUAUUUCAAGCGACUAAAAAGAUUUAAUUAUAUAAAUUAUCAACUCAUAAAAUAUACAAAUAAUAAAAUUAUUAACAUACAUAUAUAGCUAGUAAAUCAAUUAAAAUAAAAACUUGAAAGGAAAAAAAAUAGAAAUAAAACAAAUAUGCUUUAAUGAUUUGGGAGUCUAAUAAUGAAAAGAAACUUCAUUUAAAUUAAAAUUUAUAAAAAACUUAUUAUGGUACUUUAAUCAAUCAUUUUUAACAUUGUAGGAAUUAAAAAUUUAAUAAGGAUAUUUUAAUCAAUCACUUUUAAUACUUUUUUAGCGUAAUUAUAAAAAAUUUAAUAAUAAAAAAAAAUUAAUUUAAAUUAAAAGUUAUAAAAAAAUUUACUAAGAAUAUUUUAGUGAAUCAUUUUUAAUCCUUUUGGAAUUAAAAUUUCAUAAUUUUAAGCAGUUUAAUUUCACAAAAAAUCUAUUUUUAAUUUUAGUUGAUUUAAAUUAAAUUUAAAUAAAUUAAUAAAAAUUAUAUAUUUAAAAAUAAAUUUGUUAAUUUAAAGAUUUAUAAAAGUAUUUAAGUCAAUCAUUUUUAACACUAUUAAAAUUUUAGACUAUUAAAAUCAUUUAUAAAAGAUAAUAAUUUAUAAUUAAAAAAAGACGAGAAGAAUAUAAAUAGUUACUGCACGUGUUUAAAUCAAGAAAAAGUUGAUAGCAUAACAUGUUAGCUGACCAUAAAUAAAAUCACACAAAUUGAGAUAUUUAGGUUGAAGCUAAAAUUAUUUACUCAGCAUUAAAAUGCAGCCUAUAUUUAAAUCCAUAUAAGCAAAAGAUUCACCAUUAACUUAGUCAAUUUAAUGAACAUCAUACAAAUGAGAAGAUCAUCCACGACUUUAGAACACACCGCAACAGCUUCAAACACAACAAUUAUAACAGAGACUAAAGGUAAAAGUAAUAUGUUUACUCUGCAACUUCAGUAAAUAGAAGAAAAUCGUUUAGAGCACAUUCAUCCUCCCAUUGAAGCUCUUUCCACCAUUUUUUCUCUCCUCUAAUGCUGAUUUUGUUUUCCUUUGCACUGUUGGAGUCGAGUGGAAGUCUUUUCAGCUUUGGGCACCGAUGAACAUAAAUUUCUUUCAAACAUGAGAAGGGAAGUGUAUCCCAGUAAAGCAGGGAAGAAAAUCGUUUAGAGCACAUUCAUCCUCCCAUUGAAGCUCUUUCCACCAUUCUUUCUCUCCCCUAAUGCUGAUUUUGUUUUCCUUUGCACUGUUGGAGUUGAGUGGAAGUCUUUUCAGCUUUGGGCACCGAUGAACAUAAAUUUCUUUCAAACAUGAGAAGGGAAGUGUAUCCCAGUAAAUGCUCUUCAACUCUGGCAAAUACUGUAAGAAAAGAGACUCGAGUUUUCCAAAUAGGGUUAAAGUUUCUACUAGCUCAGCCACUUGACUCAGUUUUCUCUUAUUGAUUAUUUCUUCCAUAUUGUUGCAGUCCACUACAUUAAACUGCCUCAGGUUUGGAGCGAGAAUUAGCCAUGUUAUGUCCUUCAAUUUUGAACAUUCGUAUAUAAAUACUUCGCGAAGGCUUUGGAAGCAAUGUUUGCUUGCAAUCACAGAGGUUUCAAUGUGGCUCUGUGCUUUUAUCAUUCUGCCCAACCCUCCCCACUCCAUCUCCACUUCUUCCAAACUUUCAGACUUCCCAAGGUCUAGAAAUUCUAGACUCUUCAUAUUCGCUAAAGAUAAAAUAUUCAAUCGCUUCGAGUCCUUUACCAGUAGAAGCUGAAUAGCUAAAGUGCAGCUGCAUAACCUUUCAGUACGCAAAAGGCUAUCGAGACCCAAAGCACUUGUUGUAUUGACAGUCAACACAUUCAAAUGGUUCAAGCACUUCAAUUCUUCCACCAAACAUUCACUAUUAUCUUCCACUUCCUGGCCCAAAGAAUAACAGCGAAACAUUCUCAAUACUUGCAACUUUGAAAAAGUAGAUAUCAACUGUCUUGGAAUUCUUAUGGUAGACUCAGAGUAUUCCAAGUUCAGGCAUUUAAGCUUUUCUAAAGCCUUCAAUUCAAUUGGUAGCUGUCUUAUCCCUGUAUAGGAGAGAUCGAGACAUUCCAGAGACACCAAUUUCGAAAUUCCCACUGGCAAUUCUUCUAUACCUCUAUUGCCUGACAAGUUUAGAACUUUUAAGCCACACAUAAAUUGGAAGAAGUCAUUAUUGAUCACCUUCAACUGAUUACCGUUAAGAAACAGAGUUUGGAGAUCACGACAGUUAGGUGCUUCUACUAGAUUUUCAAUCCUGUUCUUCAUCAAUGACAUCCUGCGUAUACUUCCCCAAUUCUGAACUUCUGGUAACUUAGUUAAUUGAUAACCUGCCUGCACAAAAAACCUCCACUUUUCUUCUUCACAUUCACAUGCUAUCCACAAACUCAUGUCACGAAUCACAUCAUGCAUCUUUAUGCGAAAUUCAUUUAUUUCUUCCAAUAAACAUGCAUGAAGAAGAGAACCAAUCAUUUGGUGGCCUUGGUUUCGAGCUAGACUUGUAUUCCCAUGUCCAUCCAAAAACCCCUCUCCUAUCCAGAAAUCUAUAAGCUUUUCUUUAUCAAUUGGGUAGUCCUCUGAGAACAAACUACAGUACAAGAGGCAAGUUCGAAACAUGUCAUUGGGAAGAGAAUCAAAACUGAAUUUUAGAAGUGGAUAUACCUCUUCACCCAUUUCUGGAAAAACAGAGGCAGAUGAUCUCCGACACACUUCAAUUGCAUCUUUCCAUUCUUCAACUUUGUUCUUACAAGCCAUGGCACGAGCAAUGGUGACAAGUGCGAGAGGUAGGCCUCCACAUUCUUUGGCCAAUUCAUGAGCCAACUCACGAAUACAUGGAUUACUAUCAAGUGUUUCUUCACCAACUUUUUCUUGAAAUAAUUCCCAAGCUUUUUCUUCAGGCAAACACCGCACUUCAAUCUUCUUUUGAGCUUCCAUUUGGCCACAAACCUUGAUAGAACGAGUUGUAAAAACUAGUUUGGAACCAUUUUUUUGAGUUGGGAGAGGUAUCCCAACCUUAGAUAGAUCGACUCGCUCCCAUAUAUCAUCUAACAAUAAGACAAAUUUCUUUUCCUUUAAAACCCUAAAGAUGUUUAGAGCUUUUUCCUCUGGAGUUUUGUCCUGCCAUGUUCCAUCAGCUAUUCCCACCCUUUUAGCAAUGUCAUCUUGGAUCUUUCCGAUAUAAAACCCUUUAGAUACUACAAUCCAAAUAACUACAUGAAAUCGAUUUGGGGGUUCACAGAACUUGUUGUUGAUUUUGUUCAGGAGGGUUGUCUUGCCAACCCCUCCCAUGCCAUACAGGCCAACAAUUCCCACUUGUUCAGCUUCAAGGAUACUCCAAGCCUUAUCGAAUGUGGAUUCCAAACCAACAGUAUGCUCAGUAGGUCGUUCAGUUACUAGAGGCGUUGGUUCCUCCUCAGCCACCUUGUCAAAAACUCCUUUGCUCUUAUGAUCUACAACAUCUCGAAGCAUUUUGGUAAUUUGCUUCCCAAACUUCAGGUUGGACUUGGGACUCAUAGAAAAACAACCUCCUACACAUAAUUUCUUAAUUUCCUGAGGACUUUGCUCAAUCAACAAAUGAGCUCCAUUAAUCAAAGUUUCUGCCCUCGAAAGCCAGCCUUGAACUUGGUCUAGCCGCUUCAGCUGUUGUUGAUCUUCAGCUAUUUUCACUCUUCUGAUCACAUCAUUCCUUAGAUCCGUCAAUUCUGCUAAUGCAAUUUUUAAAGCUUCUACGUUUUCUUCAAGCUUGCAUACAAACUGUGCUUGUCCGGCAACACAAUCACAGCAGCGGGUAAUGACAGUGUCGCAUGAAGCUGAGAUCGAGAAGAUGUUACCCAUAGUUAGGCUUUGGUUUUAAAGGGGGAGUUGAACAAUUUCUGGAAAGGAGAAAAAUGAACGAAAUCAAAGAUGCUUUUUGGAAUAUCAAGCCAAAGGGUGAAAAAAUGAAAGAAAGAUAUGCAGAAGGGAACAGAAGGCAGAGAAUAUCUCCUGGAAGUUUUUUUUUGUUUGCUAAUUCUAACUUAACCAAGGGUGUUGGGAGUAGUUGCUGUGGGAUUACUACUAUUUGCCACUUUCUACUUGUUUACUCCAUUAAAAAUAUUCUGUUUGCUAACCGAUUUAACUGGUAAUUAUACCACAACCUACAGAGAAAAACACAUCAGACAAUUUACAUGUAAUGAUAUGAUUUUUUUUUAAAAUUUUGGUAGGAUCAAAUAAUAAUUAUGUUAAAUUGGUUCUUGUAACAAUCAUGCAUGUAUGUUUUCCGAGCAAAAGAUGGCCUUGGGGCCGGGGUGGCUUUUGGCAUCUACCUUUCGGCAGAGGCGGUCAAGAGGAAGUUGCACAUCAAAAAAAUGCAUUAUACUUAGUGACAAAUUAGUCAAUAAUGACUUUAAAAAAUUAAUUUAGUGGGGUGGGUUUUCUGUUGUGUGGAAUAUGCACAAACUUGGUCCAAUUUGGCGUGCACAUCGACGACUAAAUAAACCAAAUCACUUUCCUUUAAGAACAUUGGUUAAAAUUUUUACCUUUUUCACUGGACCUAAAGAAGAAUAAUUAGACAUAAUUGAAAUAUCAUAUGUGGAAAAAUAGUCAGUCAUUUCGAAGAAGAAAAAUAGAAAGAAUGAGUUUUUAAAAUCUUAAAGUUUCAAAUUUAAGUUUUAUUGUAUUUGAAUUUAGUUUAUUUUAUGUUAAUUUAUUUAUUUAAUAAUUUAAUAUUUUUUUAUAAACGUAUGAAAUAUGUGAUUUUUUAAAUUAUUUGAUUAUAAUUGAAAUUUUUAAUUGUAAUUACAUUCAAUAAAAAAAGAUGGUUCCUCCGAAUACUAAAUUUAUCAACCUUGGUUAUGGAAACUUUGUUUUGAUAAUUGAAGCAUAGUAAGGGUAUUUUGAUCCAUGUGCACAUAAUUAAUCUCUUAUAGAGAGAUAAAAUUGGCCCAAUAAUCCUUUGAUUUGGGAAAAAAAUUUAACAGAUUCUACGUUUUUUUUUGUACGAAGGAAAGGAAUUCAGUAUGAGAAGAGGUUUCGGGGUCUUUGUCAAGAAUUGGAUGUUGAGGCUGCCAUUGAAGCAUCACUGAAAACCUUCGUUUUGUAGUUUCAAAACAUACAUUAUUUGUGUAAAAGGUGCGAAUUAAAUUGAAUUUUCCAUGUUAGAAAAUUCAUGGAAUUCAAUUUCGAAGGCAGCUAAGCACCUGUACUGAUUGAAAUAGGGUGAGAGGAGGAGGGGUUUUGAUUGGAGCUGGGAGCUGUCUAUCCUUGACAAAAGCAAAAAUUGGACGCACAGCAUAUGCUUGUUAGGCAAAGGACUUUUACAGGGGAAAAAACAACUUAUGAGAAAAGGCCAUGUAGCUCCAAGAUUUAUAAGACUCUUGAAAUUUCUUUGCUGUUUACUAUAAAGCCAAAAAUUUUCAAUAACAUAAAAAAAAAAGAAGAAAUUUCAUUAAAUUUUUUAUAAUAUCAAUAAAAUGUUAGUAUAUUUUUGGAGUUACCAGUAUUUUACAUUGCAUAGGCGGAAUUGUUGUUUAUAAGUUUAAAUUGUGAAUAAAUUCAAUAUAUUCAACUUAAAAAAAAAAAAACCUUUUUGACAUGUUCUUUCUUCUUUUCCUCCAUUUUUCUUGAUAAUUAAUUCCUAAAGCUUCAUUGACAUAUUCACCCUUUUAGAUAGCAAUUGUGUGUUCCAUUAAGCGGUUGGGUUGUAUUCUAUAUAAGAUUUUUAUUUUUUGUCAAAUGUGCGUUCUACAGAUAUUAAAACGGUGUACAAUCCAUUAAAAUAAUAAUAAAUUUCAUUUUUAUAAAUAAUAUCAAUAAGUCUUGGGAGCAUUUGAUGUGGGAAUUACUAGUAUUUGCAAUUUUCCACUAGUUUAUUCCAUUAAAAAUAUUUAGUUUGCUAAUCAAUUUAACUGGUAAUUAUACCACAACCUACACAGAAAAACAUAUCAGACAAUUACUAGUAGAUAUAAUCAUAUGAUUAUGUUUUUUCUCAAUAAAAAUUAUAGGAUCAAAUAAUAAUUAAGUUAAAUUAAAUUAAAGUUGGUUUCUUGUCACAAUCAUGCAUGUAUUUUUCUCAGCAAAAGAUGUCUUUUGGAGCUGAGAAGGCUUUCCGUAUGGCAUUUUAUAUUGGCCAAAGGAAGUGAAGAGGAAGGUGCACAAUAAAACAAAAUAGUUUAUAUUUAAUGUAUUAUUAACGUAUAAAUUUUAUAUAAUAUUAAUAAUUCAAAUGAUAUCAUCUCAUUAAUGCAUAAAUAUUAAUUCUUAAAAUAAAUAUACAAAAAUUAAUAUUUAAAAAAAAUUUUACUCGUUAAUGAAGUGAUAUCAUUUGAUUCUCUUCAUUAAUGAGAUGUCAUCAUCAUAUUCAUUACUAUCGCUGUGUUUGCAUUUAAAUAUAUAUUCUAUUACUAACUUUAAUCUUAUUAUUAUAAUAAUCAAUUUUACUAUUAUAGUAACAAAUCUUAUCUCCACCACUAUUUUUAAACUCAUCGAAGCCAAUCUUAUCAUUCAUCUAAAUGGACUUAAGAAUGAGUUUUUAAAAUCAUUAAGUUUCAAAUUUAAGUCUUAUUUCAGGUGAAUUUAAUUUAAUUUUAUGUUGAUUUAUUUAAUUAAUUUCUUUUUUUCAUAAAUGUAUGUGUGUAAUAUGUGAUAUAUGAAAUUAUUUCAUUGUGAUAAAUUUUUAAUUGUAAUUACAAUCAAUAAAGUUGAUAAUUCUAACAAAUUCAUUAACUACAUGAAAAUUUUGUUUUCAUCAACUUAUUUAUUUUUGUAAAAUAUAAAAGAUAAUGAAAACAAAACCAAUGAAUUUAAAUAGAGUAUAUCUAUAUCAUAUUUUUAUCAAGUCAAACAUAUGUAAAACAUAAAAAAUUGUAGCAUCAAAUUUGUAUAGCGCCCAAUAGAAAAGGUUUUUUUUUUUAUCAAAUCCAUAUAUAAUUUUUACUAAAAUUUUAAAUUAUUUAGCUUUUAUAUUUUUUUCAUAUUAUUUUUAUUUCGUAUUUAAAAUUAUCAAAUCUAAAUUUAAGCUUAGCAACAAUGUUUUGAUUGGUUUGCACAUGACUAAGCUCUCACAGAAAGAUACCAUCGAAAAACAUAGUAGUCAAGCAUAUAAACAUUUCUAUUUUCUAAAUCUGAGAAUUAACCCAAAUGAUUCACUCUCCUUAAACAAGAUAAGAUCAUAAGGUAAAAAUAUUAAUGAUAUUAUAUCAUGAUUAAAAUAAAAUUUUAGACAAAAAAAAGGUUAUUCUCAUGAAUUAUGAAAGAAAUAAAACCAAAUCUAAAUUAUCUAAAGGUUUGGGAACAUGAAGCAAUUGUAAAAGUUUUCAAAACCAGGAAAUUAAAGAUGAAUUAAGUACAUUGGUUAUGCAUAAUUACAUACAAUAAAGUAUGUAGAUUCAUGUCAUAUUGAAAGAAUAUAUAUUCAAGGUAAUUCAUCAAGUUACUAAAAAAAAAAAUUCAUAUGAACUAGAAACAGAAUUCUUCUAAAUCGAAGAAUAUAAAUACCUAAUACAUUUUAAAAUAUAGAGUUAAAAAAGUAAAAUUAUGUUUUAAGUUUUUUAUUAAAAUAAUAAGAAUCACAUGACUCAUAGUUCUUAAUGAUACUUGUUUUAAGAACAAGUUGCAUAUAAACCUAUAUAACAAGGUUUGUUAUGAAAUCCUAUUUUAAUGCUUUGUGGAAACAAAUGAAAUUCAAGGAAUAGCAUUCUCAAAAGAAAUUAUAAAUGAUUAAUUGUUUUACAGUUAUGGUUAAUAAUAUAUAUAUGUGUGUGUGUGUUAACAGCUUAAUUUUUUUGUUGCAAACCAAUAAAUUACAAAAGAAACUUAAUAGAAAAUAAAAUUUGAUAUAAUUCUGGACAAACACUGAAGCCAAGUAUUGUUUAGAGAAUUUACACAAAUAUAAAAUGAUUAUCUUGAUAUAUUUACACCAUAAAAAAAAUUAAUUAUUACAAAAAAAUUUAUAGCAUUGAUGUUAAUUCACCAAAGGAAAUGAAAUUCACAUGUUUAUAAAAUGAUGAAUUAGACAAAAGGAUGUGCAUGGAAUAAUCUUCUUCAAGAAAAGAUUAUAAAAGCACUUAAAUUAGUUAAGUUCUUAAUUAAACUUAAUAAACUUCUAAAAAAAUUAAAAUUUGAUGAGAAUUUUGACUUCUAAUAUCAUGUAAUGAAUUAUACAGUUAAAUAUAUUUAUAAUAAGUUCAAAAAAUUAUCAUCAUUUGACUAUAUAAAGAUUAUAUGUUUAGUAUGGAUCAAGAAUAAGUUAAAAAUAUAAAAUUCUUGUGAAGCUGAAGGGUACUUGUGAAUCUGAACCUUUGAUUUUCUAACUCAAAUUAUGAAUAUUUGAGUUUCCAUUACAAAUUUCAUCAAAUCUGAUCUAUGACUCUUCUGGACGUGAUUGUCGAUGAGUGUUUUGUUAGGAAAAUGGGGUUCAGCCCCAUUUAAGUGGUUUUGGACCAAGUAAAGGCCAUAGGCCUUGAUCUUUCAUUUUACACAGAGCCCUAGCUACUUAAUAAAAAAAAGGUGGGGUUGUUUUAAGGGAGUGUCGAAAACCAAGUAGAAAAAGAAGAAAAGUCAGAAAAAGCAUAGAGAAAAAGGAGAAGGGAGAGUUAGUUGAACGAAAGUCGAUUUGUGGUCCGAUUGAGUUGGAACCUUGUCAGGAGGUUUAUGAUUCAGAGUUCUAUAUUUUGAAUAGUGAAGAUCGGGUUUGAAGCUCUCUAGGAACAAAUCCAGGGUGUAUUUGUUGAGUCACUUAUUUGGUGAGAUUUCUCCAAUUAUUUUCUAGUUGUUGUUUAGCUCUAGUUUUAGCUAGAGAAGAACUUUGUAUACCUAUUAUUUGAUAGUGAAGAUUUUUUUGGUGAUCCGUGAUUUUUUCCUCUACACUGAAGGGUUUUUCACGUAAAUCUUGGUGUGCUUUAUUUUUUCUAUAUUUUUUUAUUAUUGAUUGUUGUCUAUUGUUUCUGUAUUGUUAUGAUUAUUGCUUCAGGCGCAACAAGUGGUAUCAAAGCUAGGGUUAUUUUAAGACAUCGAUACAGAAGCAACCCAGGAUAUAAGUAAAUUUUGUUUAAGAUCAUAAAGGGUGAUACAGGUUUCAUGAUAAAAUUGACAGCAUUGAAUUAUUCAAUUUGGAAGCCUAUGAUGGAAGAUCAUCUAUACUGCAAAGAUUUGUAUGAGCCAGUAUUAGGUGAUUCGGCUAAACCAGUAGAUAUGAAAGAUGAAAGCUGAAAUAGGCUAGGUAGAAAAACACUGGCUACAAUAAAAAAAAUGGGUUGAUAUCAGCGUGUUCCAUCAUGUAGCACAGGAGUCAGAUGCUUACAUUAUUUGAGAAAAAUUGAUAGCAUUAUAUGAGAGAAAAAUAGGUAUGAAUAAAGUUAUGCUUGUUAAAAAGCUUGUAACUUUACAGUACAGGGAUGGACGAUCUGUUACAGAGCACUUGAGUGAUUUUCAAGAUAUAUUUAAUCGGAUGACUACUAUAGAGCUUAAGAUGGAUGAUGAAAUGAAGGCGUUAUUUUUUUUGGGUUCAUUGUCAAACAGUUGGAAUACUCUAAUUGUGACUGUUCUUAAUUCAGCUCUUGAUUAUAAAGUGACAUUAGAGAUGGUAAAGGACAGUAUGCUUAAUGAAGAAGCAAGGCAAAAAGAUGUAAACCCUGGGAAUCAAGCUCUGGUCACAGAAAAUAGGGGUAGAAACAUCGACAGAGGUCAGGACUCAAAAGGUUUUGGUAAGUCUAAACAUAGAUCCAAGUCUAGAGGUAUAGCGAAGUAUUUCUAUUGUGGUAAGGCAGGUCAUAUAAAAUGAAACUAUAAAAUCUUAAAGCAAGAGUGAAAAGAUAAGAAAGAUAAGAGUUCAGAUGAUGGUAAUGCUACAACAGUGAAUUCAAAUAGUGAUUCAAUUACUUUGAUUUGCACACAUGGUGAAUGUAAUCAUGUUAGUGAUCCCGACAUUGAGUGGAUAGUUGACAUAAGAGCGACAUAUCAUUAUGUUUUUAAGAGAGAGUUGUUUACAACUUACAAAGCAUGAGACUUUGAUUAUACCAAGAUGGAAAACAAGAGUAUGUCGUAGAUUGUUGAGAUUGGUGAUAUUAGUAUACAAACUACUACAGGCUGCAUGUUAACUUUGAGGGAUGUCAGACACAUUUCAAAUAUGAGAAAGAACUUACUUGCUAUUAAUGUUCUUGAUAAGGAGGGAUAUGAAAGUCGAUAAAAGAAUGGAUAGUGAAAGCUUAUCAAAGGAUCUAUGGUAGUUGCAAGGGGAAAACUAUGUUGUACAAUGUAUAAGACAUUGAUGUAAUUAAAUAGUAACCAGGUAAAUGCCGUUGAAAAUGAUGCUUCAGCAAACUUGUGGCACAGGAGGCUGACACACAUGAGUGAAAAGGGGUUAUAGGUUUUGGCAAGAUAGUCUCUUAUUCCUUUAACCAAAGGUAUGUCUCUCGAUUCAUGUGAUUAUUAUUUGUUUGGUAAGCAUCAUACAAUUUUUUUUGUAAAAGUUUUCAAAGAAAAGAAAAUAGAUUGGAAUUAAUUUAUUCUAACGUAUGUGAUCCUAUUGAGGUUGAGUCAUUAGGUGGUAGCAGAUAUUUUAUUACUUUUAUUGAUGAUGCUUCACGUAAGACUUAGGUGUAUAUGUUGAAAUAUAAAAGUCAAGUACUGUAAUAUUUUCAAAAGUUUCAUGCCAUGGUUGAAAGGAUGACAAGGUUACCUUUGAAGUGUAUUCAAACUGGUAAUGGUGGGGAAUACACAUCUAAAGGCUUUAAAGAGUAUUGUUUAAAGCAUAGGAUCAGGCAUGAGAUGAGAGAACUUGAAACACUGUAGCAUAAUGGUAUAGCUGAAAGAAUGAAUCGCACUAUUGUGAAAAAAGUCAGAUGUAUGCCAAAGCCAUUCUGGGGUAAAGUAGUUAACACAGCUUGUUACUUACUUAACAGGUCACCAUCAAUUCCUUUGGGCUUUGACAUUCCAGAAAGAGUGUGGACAGGGAAAGAUACUUCAUACUCUCACUUGAAAGUUUUAGGGUGUAAAGCAUUCAUGCAUGUGCCAAAAGAGCAGAGAUCAAAGCUUAACAGUAAAGCCAUACAGUGUGUGUUUGUAGGAUAUGGUGAUAAAGAAUUUGGUUACAAGGUAUGAGAUCCAGUAAAGAAAAAGAUAGUCAGAAGCAGAGAUGUGGUCUUUCAUGAAAAAGAAACCAUAGCAGACCUUGAGAAAAAUGAGAAGACUACACGAGUUACUGUUGAGUGUGAUGUUUUAACACCGACAGACAUUCUACAGGAAAGAGCCACAGAUGGUGGAAAUGAGCAAAAAACAAAACUUGGGGAUAUGAAUGAGCCAACCACAGUUAGUGAUGUGCCAGAUGCAAUUAGUUUUGAGCAGGAAGAGUAAUCUUCUCUACUUUAGAGUGUUGAGUAGAGGGAGCUACCUUCGAUAUCAAGUGAUGUAGAGUCUCAGCCCAGGAGAUCUACUAGAGAGCGCAGGCCAUUUACCAAGUAUCCAAGUUUAAAUUUUAUUUUAGUUACUAAUGAAAGAGAGCCAGAAAGCUUUCAAGAUGUGCAGGCUACUCCAGAUAGAGAGCACUGAUUAAAAGCAAUGAAAGAAGAGAUAGAGUCAUUACGAAAGAAUGGUACUUUUGAUCUUGUUAAACUUUCAAAAAGGAAGAGGCCAUUAAAGAAUAAAUGGGUGUUCAAGUUAAAAAAAGAUUGUGAUAAACUAGUGAGGUACAAAGUUCGAUUGGUAGUCAAAGAUUUUUCUUAGAAACCAGGCAUCGAUUUUGAUGAGAUCUUUGCUCCAGUUGUAAAGAUGAGUUCUAUUCGAGUGGUACUGAGAUUAGCAUCUAGUUUGAAUCUUGAGCUUGAGCAAAUUGAUGUUAAAACUGUAUUUUUGCAUAGUGAUUUAUAGGAGGACAUUUAUAUGAAUCAGCUUGAAGGUUUUGAAGUGAAAGGGAAAGAACACUUAGUUUGCAAAUUGAAGAAAAGCUUGUAUGGUUUGAAACAAGCUCCGCGAUAGUGGUAUAAAAAAUUUGAUUCUUUUAUGGUGAGUCAUAACUAUAAACAAACAGCAACGGAUUCUUGUGUGUAUGUUAAACAAUUCCCUAAUGGUAACUUCAUUAUUCUAUUAUUAUAUAUUUAUGAUAUGUUGAUUGUAAGAUAAAAUGCUAGUACGAUUUGCAGGUUGAAAGAACAAUUAUCUAAGUCAUUUGAUAUGAAAGAUUUAGGUCCAGCAAAGCAGAUUCUUGGUAUGGAUAUUAUCAGGGAUAGGAGAGCUAAAAAGCUAUGGUUGUCACAGGAAAAAUAUGUUGAAUGAGUGCUUGGUAGAUUUAACAUGUAACAGGCUAAAUCAAUUAGCAGUCCACUUAUUAACCAUUUUCAUCUAAGUAAGAAAUCUUGUCUAGUGUCUAAGGAAAAGCAACUACCUAUGUCUAGUAUUCUUUAUUCUUUUGCAGUUGGUUCUUUAAUGUAUCUUAUGAUUUGUACAAGGCCUGACAUUGCUCAUGCAGUUGGUGUAAUAAGCAGAUUUCUUUCUAAUCAGAGGAAGAUUCACUGGGAAGCAGUGAAAUGGAUUUUUAGAUAUUUGAGGGUACCUAAAAAAUGUGCUUGAGUUAUGGAGUUUUACAACCAGUUCUAAAAGGGUUUAUUGAUGCUGACAUGACAGGCAAUCUUGAUGGUAAAAAAUCUACUUUAGGGUAUUUGUUCACUUUUACAGAAUGAGCUGUGUCUUGGCAAUCUAAGUUGCAGAAGUGUGUUGCUUUGUCAACUACAGAGGCUGAGUAUAUUGCAGCAAUCGAAGCAUGUAAAGAAAUGCUUUGGAUGAAAUGUUUUCUUUUUGAAUUGGGGUUGAAUCAAAAAGAGUAUAUGGUAUUUUAUGAUAGCCAAAGUGCUUUAGAUUUGAGUAAGAAUGCCAUGUACCAUGCUAGAAUAAAGCACAUUGAUGUUAGAUAUCAUUGGUUACAUUCAGUGAUUGAAGAACAUCAGAUGCUAUUGAAAAAAGUCCAUACUGAUAAGAAUGUAACAGAUAUGUUGACUAAGAUACUUUUCAAAGAAAAGCUUGAGCUCUGCAGUAACUUAGCCAGAAUGAGUUCCCUGGCCAAGGUAAGUUCCAAAUGAAACUAUUAUGGUGAUGACUCUCCUCCUAAUAGGGCUGAAGGGGGAGAUUGUUAGGAAAACAGGGUCCAACCCCAUGUAAGUGGUUUUGGACCAAGUGAAAGGGCAUGGGCCUUGAUAUUUCAUUUUACACAGAGCCUUAGCUACUUAAUAAAAAAGAGGUGGGGUUGUUUUAAGGGAAUGUCGAAAACCAAGUAGAAAAAGAAAAAAAGUCAGAAAAAGCAAAGAGAAAAGAAGAAGGGAGAGUUAGUUGAACGAAAGUCGAUUCGUGGUCUGAUUGAGUUGGAAUCUUGUCAUGAGGUUUAUGAUUCAGAGUUCUACAUUCUGAACAAUGAAGAUUGAGUUUGAAGCUCUCUAAGAACAAAUCUAGGGUGUAUUUGUUGAGUCACUUAUUUGGUGAGAUUUUUCCAAUUGUUUUCUAGUUGUUGUUUAGCUAUAGUUUUAGCUAGAGAAAAACUUUGUAUACCUAUUAUUUGAUAGUGAAGAUUUUUCUGAUGGUCCGUGAUUUUUUCCUCUACACUGGAGGGUUUUCCACGUAAAUCUUGGUGAGCUUUAUUUUUUUUGCAUUUUUUUAUUAUUAAUUGUUGUCUAUUGCUUCUGUAUUGUUAUGAUUAUUGCUUCAGGCACAACAUGUUUUACUUUUUAAAGUUGGGGUUCCUUUUUUUAGAGGAGCAUUUUAUUUUUCAAAGUUAUGGUGCCUCUAUUUAGAAGAGUAUUUAUUUUUCUCAAAGUCGUUGAGCCUUUGUUUAAAGGAACUUUGUUUAAUUAAAAAAAAAACAAGAAAAAUGUCGAGUUGAGUCUUGAUUGGGUGUCUACGUCUUUGCACAAUUCCUAUUUCAUAGAAAAUGCACAAAGAGGGGCAGCUAUAGACACCUUAAUUUGUUUAAGGUUCUACUUAGGUUAAUUUUGUUAAUAAAAAAUAAAAAAAAAUAGUUGAGUUUGUGUGAAAUUGUUGGAAUUGGUUUGUAAAGUUGGAGUUGGGUUUAAGGUUGAAUUCAAAGAAAAUUGGGAUUUCUUUUUGGAUUGGAGUUCUCAGAUUAAGAACUCUAUAAAUACAUGCCUAUAUAAAUUAUACAAACACACAAAAAAAAUUAAGGAUAAAGGCAGAAAUCAAAGAAAGCAGUCAAGAAAAUUUUUUGAAGAUAUUUUGGGGUUUAAAGAAUUUUUUUUGAAAAAAAAAAAUUUUUAAAUUCUCAAAUUUUGAUGAUUUUUUUUCUAUUCUUAUCUCAAGCUGAGUCGAAUUUAAGUUAUUCUAGCUUUUCUUCCUGCAGUCAAGCCGAGCUUUCUAGCCGCUGAACCAAACCAUUUUCCUAUUUGGUAUUUUUUAAUAUUUUUUUAUUAAUUGAUUUUAUUUUUUUCAUAUUAUUUUUUUCAUGAUUAAAUUUAGGAAAAAUAAAAAAUGUAAAACUUAAUAAAAUAAAAUUUUGAGAAUAAAUAAUAAUUAUCCAAUGAUGGAAUUUAUAGAAAUUUCAAAUGGUAAAUUUCUAUAAAAUUUCUAGAUGAGAAAUUUUAUCUAAAUUUGUGCCAAAGAGUGGAAUAAUUUAGAUAAAGUUUCAAUGACAAUAAUUAACAUUUAUUUUCAAUCCAAAAAAAUAAAAACUAAAAAAUUUUGGUUGAAAAUAUUUGACAAUUAUCUAAGGAUGAGAUUUUUAGAAAUUUCAAAUGAUAAAUUUUCUAAGAAAUCUCUAGGUGAGAAAUUUCUUUAAAUUUGUCCCAAAUUGUGAAAGAAUUUAAAUGAAAUUUCAAUAAAAAUAAUUGUUAUAUUAUUUUCUCUCCAAAAUAAAAGGGAAAAAGAAAUAAAAAGAAUUUCUAAAUAGAUCCAAAUGGUAGAAAUUUUAAAAAUUUUUUUUAAAAAAUAUUUCUAAUUUGACCUAAAUAGUGAAAUAAUUAGAUGCAUUUUCAACAAAAAAAAUAAAUAAUUAAAUAUUUUUCCGACAAUGGAGCCUAUUUAAGAAAUCAAAUGGGAUUCUUGAAUACUCUUGAGGUAACGAAAUAUUUUUAAGAAUUCUACCAAAUUGAUGAAAGAAUCUUAAGAAUUAUUUCUAAUAUUUUAACAUAAAAAUUUGAAAUCAUUAGACUCAAAACCCUAUGAUAAAUAUAAAAUAAAAUGGUACCAUCCUUUGGAUGGGCAUGUGAGGGUGCUAUAACUUUCUUCAUAUGUAACCGAACUUUCAAAUCCUGUUCUAGUUUAUAGAUCCGAACCUAUUCUUUUAGGAAUUUUUAGUCAAACUUAGGAGCUCUUUAAAAUGAUAGAUUUCUUAGAUGGCCAAUCACAUAUAGUAAAAAAAGAUUUGUGGUGACUCCUUUUAUUAACUCUAGUUAUAGAUUUUCAGAUCUAUAUGUUAUGACACUUAUAAUAUCAUAUAAUGAAUUAUACAAUUAAAUAUAUUUAUAAUAAGUUCAAAAAAUUAUCAUCAUUUGACUAUAUAAAAUUUAUAUGUUUAGUAUGGAUCAAGAAUAAGUUAAAAAUAUAAAAUUCUUGUUUAAUAAUUUUUUAUUAUGAAAAAUAAAAUAUUGUAAAAGUAAUUCUAAAAAUAAAAGUUAAUAUAAAAAUGACAAGUGAAAAUUUUCAAUUUUACUUUAUUAGAAAAAUUCUAAAAAAAAAAAAAUAUGAUUAUACAAUGAUACAACAUUAUCUGAUAAAGAAAUAUUGAUUGCAUAAUCAAAUAUAUAACAUCAAAUGAAUGUGUGAUGUAUAUUAAAACAUACAUAAAAUGAAACAUUACUUUUGUGAUAAACAAAAAUUAGUAGAUAUACGAAGCGAAAUAAAUUGUGUUGAGAUAUAUUAUACAUAACUAAUAAUUGUACACGUAAAAAAAUACGUUAGACAAUUACAUGUAAUCACAACAUUAUGUUUUCUUUUAAAAAAAAUUAUAGGAUCAAAUAAUAAUCAAGUCAAAGUUGGUUUUUUGUCACAAUCAUGCACGAAUUUUUGUGGGCAAAAGAUGCCUUCGGGCCGGGGGACCUUUCGGCAUUUUAUGUUGGCCCUAUGCAGUAAAGAGGAAGGUGCUCAAUAAUGCAAUGCAUUACCUUUCACACUCACAUUUUGGGCAUCAAUUGGUCAAAGUUUAAUUUUGUGGGGUCAGCUUUUCUGUUGUGUGGAAGAAGCACAAACUUGAUCCACUUUGGCGUGCACUUCUACAACUAGUUAAACCAAGUCGCUUCUAGUUUCCUACAACAAUAUUGUUUAAAUCUUAUUUUUUAAGAACACUAAUUAGACGUUAAUUAAUUGCAAUAUUUUAUAUAAAAAAAUGUUCAUUCUCUAGCCGAUCAAAUCUUAUCUUAGUACUAAAGAAUGAGCUUUUAAAAUCUUUAAGUUUCAAAUUUUAGGCUUGUUAAAUGUGAAUUUAUUUAUUUAAAUAACGUUUAUUAAUUUUUUUCAUAAAUAAUUGUUUGUAAUAUGUGAUGUAUAAAAUUAUUUGAUUAUAAUAAUAGUUUUUAAUUAUAAUUAUAACUAAUAAAAAAAUAAUUUUUACAACAAUUAAAUUCAUCGAUCACAUGAAAAUUUUAUUUUGAUCGAACUAUUGAUUUAUUUUUUUAAAAUAAACCCUCCUGUACCACUGGAGGAAUGCUAGAGCUAGCUGGAGGCUUGAGGUAUUCAUUCUAUUAAAAGCUUGCAUCUGUGACAAACUAUUAAGCACCAUGAUGGGAUAGCAAUCAAAUUAACUAAAUCAUCUACUGGAGCUUCUUUAUCUCCGGAAAAAAACGGAGCAGUGCGAAAAGAGCAUCACCAUAUCCAACGGAAUCUGUCAUGUAAGCAUAACAUGUAAGAAUAGAUGACGAGGUGAGACUAAAAUGCACUGAAAAGUGACAACACAGACCACCAUCCUCUCUUCGAAUUUUUAUGACCUCCCCGUACACAUUCGACUGGUGAAAGAAUGAUCAGAAUUAGAAACAAAACCCAGAUUCAUUGAUCAUAUAAACAUAUGCAUGCAUGAAAAGUAAGUAGCAAGACACGUAGUGUGAAAUCAACCCCUCAUUUCCAUCAGUCAACAUAAAAAAGUAAACACAUGGUAAUUCCCAUCAAGUCAAGAUUUAUACCUCAGUUGGAAUUUAACCACCUAGUUGUUCAACGUAGCAAAGCAUCUGGCCCUCCUACACUAUUUGCCCAUGUUGCAAAAACAAACUCAGAAUUUCUCAACAGAACUUCUGACAUAUGGAAACGAAAGCAACACUUGAGAGUACAAGGGAACCAAUGAUGGCUUCCAAAUCAAUGGUUUCAUUUUAUGUUUUGUCUCUUGAAGACAACACAUUGGAAAAUAAAAGGAUAAAAAACAGUAAAACCAUUAUGAAUGCUAUGGCCAAAUGAGAAAAAACAUUAUCCCUUUCUGCUAAUGUGAUCAAAGCAAGCUAUUAUUUGGGCCCCUAAAAUAAACAAAUGCUCUUACCAAGACCCAUUGAAGUAUUACCUCAUUACAAGAUGGUGGAGCACGCUUCCCCUUUAUGGUUCGUGAUCUCCUGAAGAAACCCACGUGCACAAUUUAUCAUCUAACUUCCAUGAGUUCAAAGCAAGAGAAGAAUUUAAAUUUCAUAUUCUCACCGUGGAAGACUGAAGUAUCACCAAACCUUCAUCUGCAGCUUUAUCAAGAAAGGAUUGGAUUCUCCCUGAAGAAGAUAGUGGUUUGGUGACAACUAAAGAAGGUGAAGAAACAGCCUCAUUUGAGUCAGGUGCUUCAAUAGUUCUAGUGGUGUUGACACCAACAGGAGGAGGACUUGGGAUCACAGGUGGAGGUUCACAUUUUCCCCCCAGGUCCCUCACUAUGUAUAGCCGAAAUCCACCUAGCUAAAAAAUGGAGACAGAACAGAAAGCCACUCAAAACCACAAUAUCUGUAAUUGCUUUGGAUAGGAAACAGAAACUAUUCAAGUAGAAAAGCCAUUAACAUUAUCAAGCUAUUUACGGCACAAGAAAUUAAAGCCAGCUUACUUUUAGUUCAAACUCUGCAAUUGAAAUUGUAUUGCAUAUAUCUCUGACCAGAGAUUCCACCUGCUGUUAGAAAUUGUAAACUACAAACUUCUAAAAUAUAAGCUAAAGGUAAGAUUUUUCAUUCAUUUUUGAAAGAAGUCCCUAAGCACGCAAUAUUCACAUAUUUAUUCCCAAUUUCUAACGGUUGAGUACAUUAAAAAAAAAAAAAGGAGAAGUCAAUCGCUGCAUUUUCUCCAAAUCACAUAUAUUUUUUCUUCACAGCGGCUUAAAACAUAGUUAAAACUUGAAACAGCUAAGCAUAGUUCACUAAUUACCCAGUAAACUUCAAAGUCGACUAAAUAAAAUAUUUUUAAUUUAAAGGUGAAAAAAGGAAUGGCAAUAAUAAUGUGGCAGAACAUACAUGCUUGCAUUAAUAAUACAAAAAAAUAUAUAUAUAUGAACUCACCCCAGAUGAAUUUGGAAUAAGCUGGCUAGUCAAACCAGUCAUUUUAGUCUCUUCAGAAUCAUCUGCUAAAUUUGUAGUAGCUGCAAGUCAGCAACCAAAAUGAUGUAGACAUUACAACAAAUCAUGUAGUGGUUAAUCUUCAGAAAACAGAGAUGAUGGCAAAACUUCAAAAUAUUCAAAGUUACACACUUUAAUCAAAGAGGUACUUCAUUUCCAUGUUUGAUAGUGGUUAAUCUAAGAUAAGAUGGCAAAAAAAAUGACAAAUGACCAGAAACAAUUGGGUACAAGAUUUUUUUCCCAACGAGCAGCAUGUACAUCAACCUUAAAUGCAAUAGGAUUGAGCAGUUGAGACACAAUAUCUGGAUAUUUCACGAACAAGAUAUUUCAUGAAAUUCUUAGAGAUCCAAACAAGCUUCAAUAGUUACAGCAAUUCUUUUCUUUUCGUCCUUACCUCACCCUGUAUUUUUUUUUUGGUACUUUUUUCUCUCAAAGCCUUACAGCAUACUGACAGAUUAGAGAUUCUUAUAACUUCUAUAAUGAAGUGAGAAUGACUUUAAAUUGCAGAAACAUUAUAGACUAUCCCUAUUUCGACAAAUUUGAGUGACAAUAGAACCAGAAAGAGAGAUGAAUUGAAUAUUAUCAACUUGCACCGUAGGCACUGUCAUUCAAUCACAUUAUUCACCUCCAAAAUAAAUAAACUAAAAAUUACUUCUCUAUGUAUGUACUAAUGCAUUAUGCAUGUGUUGCGUGUUUGUGUAUAUUUCAUUUGUUAUACACGUGAACAACUACUGUUCAUAAAUAGACGUAUACAGGAGUUUUGUGCCAAAAACUUACUGUCAUAACUUCCAGAUUCGGGGAUCUGUCAUUAGACAUUGACUUGAAGGAGUCGCCACCAAUCUUUUUUAUCUAGGCGCGAUUGGCCACCUAAGGAAUCUAUCCUUUCAGGGAACACCUAAGUUUAAGGGUCCCUAAAAGAAUAGGUUUAGGUCUCCUAGAUCCAGGAACAAGGUUCGAAAGUUUGGUUACGUGUGAGGAAGGUUAUAGCACCCUCACAACGCUCAUCGGAAGAUGGUACUAGCUUAAUUUUGUGUUAUCCAAUAAGCCUUAAAAAUUUACCAAGUAAUUAAUUAUUGAAAAUUAUUCUCAAUUUACUCUAAUACUUUUAGCAGAAAAUUGAGAAAAUUCCCUCAUCUCUAGUGUAUGCAAGAAAACUACUGUUUUACUUGCAGAUGCCCCAUCAUUGGAUUAUUUAACAUUAAAGAAAAUUUGAGAAAAUAAAAAGGAAAAAGAAAAAAAAAUGAUUGUUUUUGUACAAGGAAAAUUGAUACUUUCAAUUUUUCCCCAAAAUAUUUUUUAGAAACUUUAAUUUUGAAGAAAAUUUAUAUUUUCAACCUUUCCUUAAAAAUAUUUUUUAGAAAACUUUUUUCAAGGAAAAUUGAUACUUUCAACUUUUCAUUAAAAAUAUAUUUUUUAAAAUUUAUUUAAAGAAAAUAAUAACAAAAAAAUUAAAUUAAAUUAAAUUAAAGGGAAAAAAUAAAGGAAAAAAAGAAAUAAAAAUAAAAAUAAAAUAAAAUAAAAAAUACUAAACAAUUCUAAUCUAAUAAAUAAUAAUAAUAAUAAUAAAUAAUAAAUAAAUAAAAACUUGGGAACAGCUCAGCUCGAUUUUGGAAACGGCUCGCACUCGGGUUGCACACUGGUCAAAAGCAAGUUGACGCUCAGGUUGGGUCGUCCGAUUUCAAAAUGCACGGAUCCUCUGGGAACAGUAAGGCCAAAACGACGUUGUUUUUAAUAAGUAUAAAAGGCUAAUUCCUCUGUUUUUCAGCAGAUCGAUCCUUCCCUCUCUCUCUCUUCCCUUCCUUUCCUCUCCCUUUUUUCUAAACCAACGAAAAACUCCGGUUGAAUCUCGUCGGAUUCUGAAAAAUUUCACCAGAAUCUAAGUUUUUCGUCGAAACUUCAUCGGAAAGUUGAUCGGUUUCUGGAAGUAUUCAUCGAAAACUGGGUAGUUGGUCGAAAAAUUCAAACUUGGCCAAAAAUUCACCGAAAAUUUUGAACUUGGCCAAAAAAUUCAACCAAAAUCUGAAAAUUUUUCAGAAAUUUCUAGAAAAAAAAUUCACCAAAAUUCUAAAAAUUUUUUGAAAUUAUUUCUGGCCCUUCUGAACACUUUUUCUUUCUCUUCUCAUUCUUUUUCUCAGUCAGUGUCUGCAUUUCUGUGUCCUGGUCUUUGUAAUUUGUGGAUCUAUUUAUAGGGAUUGAUCAGAAGAGUUUUUGAUCAAUCCCAACUCUUCCUUGGAUUGGGAUUCAAUCCUUGAAUCCAAUAUGGACUCCGAUUGAAUCUUAAAUUCAUAGUAGAAUUCCCAAUUUCCAUCCCAAUCUCAGUCGAAUAAAAAAAAAAUAAAAUCAAAUAAAAAAAAAAUGUUAAUAGAUAAUUAAAGAAAAUAAUUAGAUAAAUAAAAAUAUUAAUAGAUAAAUAAAAAUAAUAACAGAUAAAUAAUAAUAUAUAAAUAGAUAAAUAAUAAUAAAUACAUAUAGAUAAAUAAUAAAUAUAUAUUAACAAAUAAAUAAUAAAAAAAUAAAAUAAAUAUAUAUUAAUAAAUAGUAAUAAUAAAUAAAUAAAUACAUAAGAUACAAACAAUAAAUAAAUAAAUAAAUAAAAAUAAAAAAUAAAAAAUAAAAUGGGCCUACCCAUUUGGACCAGGCCCAAUUGAUCCGGGCCUGGACCAAAUUGGGUGUCUACAGCUGCCUCUCUUUGCACAUUUUUUGUGAAACAAAAAUUACGCAAAGACGUAGACACCUAUUCAAGACUCCACUCGACCCUUUUCUUUUUUUCAUUUUUUUCAUUAAAAUUCUGAUCAAAGCUCCUCUAAGCAGAGGCUCAACGACUUUGAAAACAUAAACAAAGCUCCUCUAAUCAGAGGCUCAACGAUUUUGAAAAUAAAUAAAGCUCCUCUAAACAGAGGCUCAACGACUUUGAAUAUAAAUGAAGCUCCUCUAAUCAGAGGCUCAACGACUUUGAAAAUAAAUGGCUCCUCUAAUCAGAGGCUCAACAACUUUGGAAGACAAAUAAAGCUCUUCUAAACAGAGGCGUUAUAACUUAAAAAAAAAAGGCUCAUUGACAAUCAUGUCCAAAGGAGUUAAAAAUCGUAUUUGAAGGAAUUUUAGGAAAUUAUGCCCAAAGGUCUUACAAAUCAAUCCUGAUAUCGAGAGAUAUCCUAUUUCAAGGAUUAGAAACUUACCUGACAAGCUUUUUCUCAAAUUUAAAAAUGUCUUCGCAUCUGUCUUCUCUAUGUGAGAUGUUGGAAUACUCCUGCUUCUUGAAUUUAUGCACUAUAUUUUCUUGAAUGUAGUAUGUGCCAUGCAAUGCGUGUGAAAUUCAAUACAUGCUAUGCAAAUGUGGGCUAAUUAAUUCUUAUUCAAUUAUGGUACUCAAGUUUUUCAAGCUCUUUUCUUGGGCAUAAUCUUUUAUUCUUCAAAGACUAAAUUACGUUGCUCUUCUAAGAUCGAGCCAGUGUAGCUCUCAAUCAUCUCUUUCACUCACAUUCUUCCUUUAAGAAAUAUCUUUCCAAGUUCAAUGUCCUUAUCAGGAACUGAACAUCUCGAUUCUGCCUUUAUCACUCUUGACUUCUUCAAUGUAAUGUAAAAAUCUUUCAUGCCAUUAUUCAUUUAUCAAUCAUUAUUUCAAACUCAACAAGUAAGAAUGCAUUUGCGCAUUUCUUUGAUUGUAGAGUAUUGAGAAAAAAAGAAUAAGAAUGGUUGAGAAACUGUCAACAGAAGAGGCACACAAAGAGUGAAAAAGAAUGUCUUUUAUUAGCAAAAUGUUAGCAAACUUUGGCCAAGAAAGAAAUAUAAGAAUAAGUAUGGGGACAAAGCCCAAAAAUGAACAAUCGGACAAUCAUGAUAACACAUCUCAAGGUUUUUUUGAAAACUCAACCAUCUGAUGUACUUAACAAUUUAGAGCUCCUCCGAAUUUGCUAGCCUUUAUGCCGAUGGAUUUUCAAAUUUGAUGUUGUAUUCUCCCUAUCUAAGCUGCAUUUUCAAGUUUUCAACUUAGAUAAACCCUCUAUGACUCAAACCACCCUUUUAGGGUUUUCGCCUUGAGUCAUCUUUUUUCAUUCACUUUUUUUCAUUUUUUUUCUUUUUCAUUUUUUUUUCAAGCAUAAUAUUUCUUCACAGCAUCAGAAUUUAUAGGAUGGGAUAAAUCAUUUUCAUACAUCUCAGUCAGUAUCAGUGCUCCACCUAAGAAAGCAUGUUUCACCACAUAUGGCUCUUUCCAAUUCAGAGUCUAUUUUUCUCUAUUAUCGUGCUGGGUCAGAAAGAUUCAUUUCAAGACCAACUCUCCUUCUCAAAAGCAACGAGGUUGAAUCUUUUUGUCAUGAGCCCUCAUAAUUCUUCUUUGGUAUAGCUGACCAUGGCACAAUGCAAUCAAUCUAUUUUCUUUUAUGAAAUUUAACUGUUCAUAGCAUUUUCAAAUCCAUUCAGCUUCUUCCAACCCAACUUUUUUUAGAACCCUCAAGGAUGGAAUCUUCACUUCCACUGGUAGUACAGCUUCCAUCCCAUAAACUAAAAAAAUGCGGUUGCCCUAGUAAAGGUACGCACUGAUGUUUGAUAUGCAUGCAAUGCAAAUGGUAACUUUUCAUGCCAAUCUUUAUAAGUUUCAGUCAUCUUCUCAAGAAUUUUUUUUAUGUUCUUGUUGGCUGCCUUAACUGCCCCAUUCAUUUUCGGACGGUAUGGUGUCGAGUUAUAAUGCUUGAUCUUGUAUUAAGCACAUAUUUCUUGCAUUAUCUUACAUUUAGAUUCUUGGCAUUGUUUGAAAUAAUUCUCUCUGGAAGUUCAUAUCUACAGAUGAUCUCUCUCUUUAUGAACUUGCAAACCACAGAUCGUGUUACAUUUACAUAUGAUGCUACUUUCACCCACUUUAUAAAGUAAUCUAUCAUCACCAAAAUAAAUCUAUGCCCAUUAGAAGCCUUUGGGGUGAUAGGACCAAUGACAUCCAUGCCCCACAUUGAGAAUGGCCAAGGUGGUGCCAUAACAUUAAAGCAGAUGGCAGAGCAUGGAUUUUAUCAGCAUAUAUCUGGCAUUUAUGGCACUUACGAGCAUAAUCAAUGCAAUCACUCUUCAUUGUCAACCAGUAGUAUCCAGCUCUCAUGAUCUGUCUCACCAUCAUAUGUCCACUGACAUGUACCUUACAUAUUCCAUCAUGUAUCUCUUCAAUGAUUUUUCUUGCUUCAGCCUUACUUACGCAUCUUAGUAAUACUUGAUCACGACUUUUUUUGUACAGAACAUCCAUAUCCAGGAAAAAGCUUAUAGCCAAUCUUCAGAUGACCCCUUUUAUCAUUUACUGUUGCUUGAAUUGGUAUUGCUGAUCCUUAAUAUACUGUAAGAUAUCAUAAUACCAAGGCUUCUCAUUUUCUUCCUCUUCUAUAUUGAAGCAAUGAGUUGACAUAUCCUUAACAUCUAGCCGGAUAGGCUGAAUGUCGGUAUUGUCAUUAAUUCGAAUCAUUACAACCAGAGUAGCCAAAACAUCGACAAUCAGAUUCUCUUCUCGAGGUAAAUGGUCAAACUAGAUAUCUUCAAAUUAUUUUAUCAACUUUAGAAUAUACUUAUGAUAUGGAACGAGUUUUGAAUCUCUCAUCUUUCAUUCCUCUUUUAACUAAUAUAUAACUAGAGCUAAGUCCCGAAACACUUUUAAUGCUUUCACUUUUCUAUCUAUAGCAACUUGUAGGCCCAUGACAUAUGUCUUAUAUUCAACAAUGUUAUUUGUGCAAUUAAAAUUUAACCUCGCUGUUACAGGGUAGUAUUAUUCUUUUGGAGAGAUCAGAAUUGCCUCAAUUCCAUGUCCCAAGGCAUUAGUAGCUCCAUCAAAAUACAUUCUCUAACAGUUCUCUUCAUGUUUCCUUUUUUUCAGUUGGAAAAUAGUCAUUCGAUCUUCAUCAGGGAAUUCUAACCUCAUUGGUUCAUAUUCUUCAGUAGCACGAUCUGUAAGAAACUCCACUAUAGCACCCCAUUAUUACCUUUUAGUUUACAUAUAUCAUAUCAUAUUCUGAGAGAAUUACUUGCUAUCUAGCAAUUCUUCCAAACAAAGAAAGCUUCUCGAAGAUGUAUUUAAUUAGAUCCAAUUUUGCUAUGAGCUAUAUGGUAUGAUAGAGCAUAUACUGUAUGAGUCUUUUGGCAGUCCACGCUAAUGCACAACACAUUUUCUCCAAUGAGGAAUACUUGGAUUCAUAUUCUGUGAACUUUUUACUCAAAUAGUAAAUAGCUCUCUCUUUUCGGCUAGACUCAUCUUAUUGUCCCAGCAUACAUCCCAUUGUAUUUUUACACAUUGUCAAGUAUAGAAUUAAAGGUUUCCCUGGAAUAGGUGGCACUAACACUAGAGGGUUUGACAAGUAUUGCUUAAUUUUAUCAAAAGCCACUUGACAUUCCUCAUUCCAUUUUCUAGGAUUAUUCUUAAGGAGAAGCUUAAAUAUGGGAUCACAUUUGUAAGUAAGCUGAGAGAUGAAUCGAGAAAUGUAAUUCAAUCUUCUCAAAAAAUUUUGAACUUCUUUUGGUGUACUUAGAGGUGACAAAUUUUGAAUGGCCUGUAUCUUGUCUGGAUUGACUUCAAUUCCUCUUUCACCGAUCAUAAAGCCUAGUAACUUCUUUUACUUUACCUCAAAGGUGCACUUGGCUGGGUUUAACUUAAGCUGAAACCUUCUUAAUCUCUUAAAUAACUUUCUGAGGCUGGUGACAUAAUCUUCAUCCUCACAAGAUUUUACAAUCAUAUUGUCUACAUACACCUUAAUCUCUUGGUGCAUCAUGUCAUGAAAGAGUGUUACCAUGGCCCUUUGAUAUGUUGCCCUAGCAUUUUUUAAUCCAAAAGGCAUGACUUUGUAACAAAAAAUUCCUCAUAUGGUCACGAAAGUGGUUUUUUUCAUAUCAUUUGUAGCCAUUUUUAUUUGAUUAUACCUUGAAAAACCAUCCAUAAAGGAAAAAAUUGAAUAUUUAGCCGUAUUAUCUACCAGUGUGUUGAUAUGAGAUAAAGAAAAGUUAUCCUUUGGACUAGCCUUAUUCAAAUCAUGAUAGUCUACACAUAUUCAUACAUUUUCAUCUUUUUUAAGAACUGGUACUAUAUUGGCUACCCAUUUUGGAUACUUAACCACUUGUAAAAAACCUGCAUCAAACUGUUUCUUCACCUUUUCUUUGAUCUUUAAUAGCAUUUCAGGCUUCAUUCAUCUCAGUUUCUGCUGGACUAGCUUACAUUCUGGCUCUAGGGGUAAUCUGUGCUCUGUUAUCUCCGUGCUCAGUCCUGACAUAUCCUGGUAAGAUCAAGCAAAUACAUCCAUGAAUUCCUGAAGUAGAUCUGCCAAACAUUGUCUAUCUCCUGAUGAAAGUGAAGUGCCAAUUCUGACAUCUUUUUUAUUCUCUUCAUCUCUCAGAUUCACUAAGUCAACUAUCUCCUGAUGAGGCUCAAUUGGCUUAUUUUCUUGUUCAAUCAAUCUCAUUAGGUCCGGAAGCAUAACAUAUUCCUCAGAAUUCUUUUCAUUAUCAAGUUCAUCAGUGUUAAUUGAAUUCUCAAAAAUAACCUCUUGAUUGUUAUCAUAAUUAUCUUCAUGUUCAUUUAAAGACCUGAAAUUGAAUGAAAUGGGAUAUGUUGACAAGAUGUGUUUGGAAAAAUGGCAAUAAUGAAGAAACAAAAAGAUAUGAAUGAAAAUGCAUCCUUCCUAAUCUUUAUUAAAAUAAUAAAAGAUAAAUAGCCCAAACAAAAAAGAUUACCCUAAUGCCUUGGGCAAUAGCUAUUGGGAUGUUACAAUUACAUUGCAUUAGUUUCAAAAGUCACAGGCACUUUAAUGGCACUCUAAUUGUUCAGCUCAUAAUCUGACGGACAAAGGCGGACUCACCCCUCUUGAUUAAGCCCCACUUCAUCUUCAAUAGCAUUAAUGGUUAAUUGGGCAAAAGUUAUUUCCAUGCUUUUUUUUGUAUCUGGGUAUAUUAAUCUUCCAGGUCUGAAAGUCUCGUACAGGUGUGAAAUAACCAUUAGUCUUGCCAUUUUACCCGCUGGCCUUCUUUUGAUCUCCCAUUCUGCUACUUCAUAGCUUAGGCCUAACCUUUCACUAUUGUUUAUCACUGUCAGAGGUUCCUUUAUUCCCUACAAGUUCUUACCCAGCCCUAAUCCUGGAUACCAGCCCUUAUUAAUGACUUGGCUCAUCACUAUCCUUGAACAAGAUUGAUUUUUAAGUCCUUCACCUAUAAAAUUAACCAAUUCAAAAGAUCGAUAGGAGCAUUCUACUGCUUCUUCGGUAGCCUCUACAUACGGAGCAUUCAAUGAUUGGGUCACUACCAUGUCUUCUUCCCUAACUACCACUACCAAUUGACUUUCUACAUUAAACUUGAUCUUUUAGUGUAAGGUAGAGGGCACAACACCUGUCAUGUGAAUCCAUGGCCUUCAUAGUAGAUAGUUGUAAGAGGGAGAAAUAUCUAUCAUUUGAAACUUCACAUUAAAAGUGCAUGGCCCAAUUUGCAAGGGCAUCUCGAUAUCCCCCAGGACUUCUCUUCUGGUCCCAUCAAAAGCUCUUACAAUCAUUUGACUGUCUUUCAUAAAAGAGUAGUCAAUGGGUAACCUUUCCAAAGUUGACAUAGGCAUGACGUUAAUAGUAGAGCCAUUAUCAAUAAAGACUUUGGCUAUGAUAUGGCUCCUGCACUUGACCGUGAUAUACAAAGCCUUGGCAUUUCCCUUUCCCUCCGAGGGAAUCUCAUCAUCAAUGAAUGAAAUAUAAUUUGGAAUGACUAGAUUUUCAGCCAGGUGGUUCACAUAUUCAACAGAUAUAUUAUAUACCACAUAUGCCUAGUUCAAUACUUUUACCAGUGCAUUUUGAUGUGGCUCUGAAUUUAAUAGCAGUGAUAGUAAUGAAAUUCAUGCUGACAUUUUGUUUAACUGUUCAAUAAUUGAAUAGUCACUAUGUUUUACCAGCUUUAGGAAUUCACAAGCCUCUUUUUCUGACACCGACUUUGGGCGAUCUUCCUCAAGUUUUACUUCAGGGUUAUUUCAUCAUUUUCCUUCCUUAGCUUUCUUUUUUCUAGCCUUUUCCAAUAUUUUUGGAGUGUAGCACAUUCCACUUCGGGUAAUGCCUCCUACACCAGUUAUAUUGGAGGUGUCAGCUUUAGAGACAUCCCCUUUUUGCCUCUGAACUACUGUAUCGUAGCCAUAUUUCUAGGGUACAACUUUAUCAUUCUUAUAUGGGAAGGGAGUCAAAACUUUAAAAGUUAUCGACUUGGGAAUAAGUUUGUAUAUGAUUGACUUUGGCUUGUUCCCACAAUGAAUUGUCAUCGAUUUUGGAAAUAGUUUUGUAGGCUUAUCAGUCAUGGAUACUUCAACACCUUUUAAGUCUUUUCCUCUUUCAUAGACUUUCAUCUGGUAUGCAUCUGAGAGUUUUUGCACCUCUUGGUGAAACUACUCACAAGUUUCAAUAGAGUGACCCAUUGCCCCACUAUGAUAUUUACAACUAGUACCAGCUAUAUAUACUCCAUGAUAACUGUGUGGACCCACCGGUUGUAUCAUGUCAGCUUUCCAUAAAACAUCAAACAGUUGACUAAAAGGUGUCUUAAUAUUUGCCACUUUUUUCUUUACAUGGCACUCAUGUUCUUUACUCAAAGUAUUCACAUUAUGAUUAGGCAAGGGAUUGCCACUAACAUUUGGUGUAGUCACCCUUCCUGUAUCAAAACUAAUCAUUCCAUCUUUGAUCAAUCGUUGUACUUUGUAUUUUAAGGUGAUGUAAUUUUUAGUGGAGUGAUCGGUAAUCUUAUAUUGAUAGUCACAAUGGGCUGUAGGAUCAUACCACUUAGGGUUAGGUGGCUUGAGGGACUCUAAUUUACUAGGAGCAAUCAAAUGACCGUUGUAGAGCUCACAAUAUAAUUUUGAAUAGGUCAUUGGGAUUGGGUCAAAUAUAAGUUUUUCACGAGUAAUUCGUUACUCCUGUGAACCACCCAUUGGGUUAGCUUGAUGAGUUUGGGGUCUUAGGGUAGGCUGAGUGUUAGGACUAUACGUGGUGUUCUGAGGCCUAAAAGGAGGUUGAUAUGUUUGGGGAUAAUGUGACUGUACAAAUGGUUAGUAUGGGUAAGGGAAAGUGUUAUUUAUAGUAGGGUAAUAUGAAAGGUAUCCUUGUGGUGAGUAAAGUUGAUAACCCCCAAAUUACUGUCUAUCAAAGCUCACAACCUGAGCAUCAGUCUCUUUCCUCUUCGAGACUUUUUUGUUGGAUGCUUCACCUCCUUCCAACUUGCCAUUCUUGAUGGCACUCUUGAUAAUUUCUCUCGAAAUUACCAUGUCAACAAAAUUUUUGGUUGCAUUCCCUAUCAUCUUCUCAUAAUAGAGAGAUUUCAAAGUGCUAACAAAUAGCACUGUAGUCUCUUUCUCAGUCAGAGAAGGUUGCACCUGAGAAGCUACAUCCUUCCAUCUCUGGGCGUAUUCUUUAAAAGACUCAUUUACCUUUUUUCUAGAUUCUAUAAAGACAAACAAUCAAAAGCCAAAUCGAUAAUAUGUCGAUAUUGACUGAUAAAGUCAUGAGCAAUAUCGCUCCAAGAACGAAUGCGAGUUCUAUCUAGCUGGACAUACCACCUGGCAGCAGAGCCUGUAAGGCUAUCUUGAAAAACAUGCAUUAGUAGUUUUUCAUUAUGGGCAUGGGCUGCCAUUUUUCGGUAAUACAUGGUGAUGUGAGUUUUUGGGCACUUCGUACCAUCAUAUUUAUCAAAUUUUGGUACUUUGAACUUGGGUGAAAUGACUACAUCCGAGACUAAACAUAGCCCAGCAGCAUCAACAGAACCAUAAAAUUCAAUCCUUUCUAUGACCCGUAAUCUUUGUUCAAGCAUACUAAUCUUUGGAUCUUUCUAAGACUCUGUCGCUUUUGUUUUCUCCUUAUUUUUCAAGUCAUCUAGAUCAGAAAUAGGUUUUACUACCUUUUUAGCAAAGACAGGAUUUACAUAGCUUUGGUAAUGCCCUGGAUUGAAGGCUGAUGGCAUUCCAGGAUAUGUAGGAUAUACAAAGUGUUGUGGUGGAACCUCUUGUGUAGACUGGGCUUGAGGUGGAUCAAAACUUGGAGGAUACAAAGGGUCAGCCACUUUUUUUAAUGGGAAAACUUAUUGGCUUGUAUUUUUUUCUACUUUUUGUCCCUUGUUCAGCUUAUUGAGAGCAUUUAGAAUCUUGCUCAACUCAUUUUUAAUUUUUUCCUAUGCUUUUUCUAGCUUUUCAAAUCUGUGAGAGUUUUUCUACUCCAUUUGUCUGGUUCUGGCUCUUGUGUUAUAUCGAUAGACAGGGUUCUCGCUAGAUAAAGUUAUCCUUGAACCUUGAGUACCAUAUCUUAGAAUUAGUAAAUUUGCAUGACUAUCUUAUGGUUACUUUGUUAAGUGUAAUGAGUGAGAAUGGAAUGAAUGAGAAUGCAUGUAUACAAAGAACAUUUACCUUAAAGACGGUAUUUAACUAAAAUAUUUCAUUUAUUCUAAAAAAAAAUUUUUAUUUAUAUUGAGUUUAUCAUCCUAGAGUUAUAACCAUAAAAUUGUUUGAUUUGUUCAUACUGGGCCUGAGCUUCUUCGAUGAAGUUCAACAGACGCUACCUAUGUUCUCCUACUGGGGUCACCACUUAUUCAAUGCCUCUACCUUUUUCACCAUCUCUCUUGCCUUGCAUACCCCUUUACAAAUUUGGGUGGUUAGGUGCUCAAUGUAUUUCUAUCUUUCUAAAUUCUCUAUUUUACUACACCAGACUUGGUAUGAUAACUCUCUAUGCUCCCUAACCAAUACAGUAAUACGGUCUUCUUGUUCAUUCAACUUUUGUCUUAUCCUGCUUAGAUAACUAUUUAGCAUGUUAUUCUUCGUCUGUACUUGGGUACUUUUUUCUUCCAAUUCAGCAUACUCUUGCUUCAAUCUUGCAUUCUUUUUAGUUAGCUCAACAAUGGUUAUCUCUUUGGCCUUUUCUCUCACACAUAUCCUUUUAUGUUCUUGGUGUAGCUCUGCUAAGUCUUCAACAGCUAUAUCACGUUCUCUAGCAAUCUUACGAACUUUGGUUUCAUGACUUUUAGCUUUAUCUUUUCACUGGUCUUUUUCUUCUCGAAGCUUCUGGAUUUCUUACUUUAACUAUCCUUUUCAAACUCAAAUUUUUUGUCGCAAGCUCUAAUUUUGAAGGUGUCUCUUCUAGCUUUCUUCCUGUUGGUGGUUGAAAGCUUUCAUAAGUGAAUGCCAUUUCUUGUCUUCGUUUUGCUCUCCAAACCAAAUACCCCAAAGUGACUUUAUCAGUAAACGAUCCAGGAUUCACUCUUCGGGAUUUUUCCAUGCUUUAAUCAUCUCAUUCAUCCUCUGAAAUGCUUUUGGCUUACUGUAAAAAAAAUUUAACUGAUAAAGCCUAUGCAUCAUAGGAAUGAACUGUUCUGCCCUAAACUGCUUCUUACUAGGAGUGGUGCACAAUUUGUCAUUCUCCAUAAACCCAAAAGUGGGACCACUGUAUUAUCCCCACAUUGAUACAACAUAGGCUCACAAUUCAUCCAUAGGGCCAACCAUCUUACUUCGACAUUGGUCAAUUUUUGUAGGAAAGUUAGCCAUUCCUUUUUAGACUUUCGUUUUGACUACCCACUUUCAUAGAAUUUCUUGAUCGGAGCUCGAUUGCAAACAUAAAGCUUCGAGAAAGCACAUUUUCCCCAUUCGAAAUGGCUUUUCAUCCAUAAGUAUAAUAACUGCAUGCAGCCUAUGAAGCGCCUUCCAUUUCGAUGACAGUAAUUCAAAAAUCUGAUAGUCUCUGCUAAUAUUACCAUUGAAGGGUUACAGUUAUUGAUCACACUCUCGGAGAAGUCAACCACCGCUAUCUCAAUAUAACCUAAAACCUUUGAGAAGAUCACCAUUCCGUAUAUGGCUAAGGUAAAUAUAUCUAGCCCCCGUUUUUCGUUGGCAUGUUACACUAAAAACUCAUGAAAGAACUUCCAAGGUAGGCAAACCUGUUCUUGUUUCUUCUUUCUAUGAGAAUCCACAACUUCUUUAUCUAUCCCCAUGAGUUAAGCUAAACCCUUACGAAAUCCUGACUUGUGUUUUUUGACAUAUAUCUUAUCGGGAGCCUUAAGUUGCAAACCUAACAAAGUCAAAUAUUCUUCGAUGGUUGGUGUCAUAUCAACUUCAUUGAAGAUGAAACACUUGUAUGUAGAAUCUCAAAAUUAUGCUGUAGCUCUGAUUAGUUGAUCGUUGACAACUACUGCUAGAAGGUGUGCUAUAUGCCCGUGUCUCUGGCAAAACUGCUCUUAUCUUGACGGACUCAUUUUCUUCCAUAUAUUAACCAAAUUCUCUAGAUUAUUUUGUUUGAGGAGGAUAGAUGUUUUUUGAGACAAGGUAGAAUCAUAUCCGAUUGGUAAACAAUCCUCCAUCUUCAGUUGAAUCUUUUCUGACUGGACCCUUACUUCGUUGGGUGACUUACAAGGUGCUAAUACAGAUGAAAAACAAACUAGUCGUUCUAUAGAGUCCAUGAAAAUUUUUUGUUGAAAACCAUCUUUUAAGCAAAUGUUCUUUAUACAAUGCAAAAGAAUGAGAGAAAAGGUUAGUAUGCCCAGGGAAAAAAAGAAUAAAUAAAUAACUAAGUAAAUUAAAACAUCACACAGAAUAAGAGGAAUGAACCCUCUGCUUCUGGUCAAUUCUAAAAUGGAAGAAUGAUGGCUCUAUCUAUAGGUUAGGCAUUCUUAAAGUUCACUAUAUGGGGUUUAAGGUUAAAGUCUGAAGGUUCCUAAAUUGCUCAUUACAUCAUUGUCCAUCACAGACUAGUAAGGCACCUUAAUCUUCACCUAUUACAGGCUACAAGUGGAAAUGGUUCAAUUUGAGUGGGAGUAUUUCACUAGCCAUUACGAAGGCAUUAGACCUCACGAAAGCAAUAGGUACUUUACUCCCUCCUAGAGGGACGGAGCUCGAGUAUAGAGCUCAUGUUAUGUAUAUGCAUAUGAAUGACAUAAUAAAGUAAAUAAACAUGAAUGAAUAAAUAAAAUAUAUACAAAAAGGUUCAAUUUUAUUAGGCUUUUAGAUAACACAAAUUUAUUUGCUGGCCUGACUCUAACUCAUCCCCAAUAGAGUCGUCAAGCUGUCAUAAUGUCCAGAUCUGGUGUAAUGCCCUCAAUCCCACAUCAAGAGGAUGUGUGGAUAAGGAAUGAUAUAUAUGUAGAGACUUAAUCCCAAACUUGUGAGGUGCCUUUUGUGGGACAAAACCAUGAGACCUUCGGGUCAAAGCGGAUAAUACCUCACAGGUUGGGUACGGGUCUCUACAAAUGGUAUCAGAGUGAUCACCAGUCCGCAGUCAUGGGAGUCACUAAGUGCUACACGGUGGAGCUGUGGGAGUCACUAAGUGCUACACGAUGGUCUGGUGUGAUCUUGGUCCUGUGGAUGGACUCGGCUUGACAGGGACUCAAGCAUUAAAGGUGGGGAGAUUGUAACGCCCCCAAUCCCACAUCAGAGGAUGUGUGGAUAAGGAAUGAUAUAUAUGUAAAGACUUAAUCCCAAACUUGUGAGGCACCUUUUGUGGGACAAAACCAUGAGACCUUCGGGUCAAAGCGGACAAUACCUCGCAGGUUAGGUACGGGUCUCUACAAAAUUCCCCUUUUACUUUUUCUUUACAGAUGACUAAGUGAUAAGUUUGGUUAGUCUUGUGUGAAGCUAGAAGAUGAAAUGGGCAAGAUUACUUAGUCGUCAGAGAAUAUGUUGGCCAAUGAGAUUUUAAGAGGCAGUUUUAUAUUUUAUAUGGUUUGUAUUUGGAUAUGUAAAUAUGUAUCAUCAGUUGGAUUAAAGAUAUGAAUUUUACUUGGUAAAUUGUUUUAUUGAAGAAUUUUAGAAUGAUUAAGAAAGAAGGCUUCAUAUUAUUUUGGGGUUUUCUUCAAGGUAACACGAUUGUGUUGCGUCUUGGUCUCGGGGCGUGACAAAAGUGGUAUCAGAGCGAUCACCGGUCCGUAAUCGUGGGAGUCACUAAGUGCUACACGGUGGUCUGGUGUGAUCUUGGUCCUGUGGAUAGACUCGGCUUGACAGGGACGUCAAGCAUUAAAGGUGGAGAGAUUGUAACGCCCCCAAUCCCACAUCAGGAGGAUGUAUGGAUAAGGAAUCAUAUAUAUGUAGAGACUUAAUUCCAAACUUGUGAGGCACCUUUUGUGGGACAAAACUGUGAGACCUUCAGGUCAAAGCGGACAAUACCUCGCAGGUUGGGUACGGGUCUCUACAUCUGGGAAUUUGUCAUUAGACAUUGACUUGAAGAAGUCAGCACCAAUCUUUUUUAUCUAGGUGCGAUUGGCCACCUAAAGAAUCUACCCUUUCAGGGAACACCUAAGUUUAAGAGUCCUUAAAAGAAUAGGUUCAGGUCUACUAACCAGAACAAUGUUCGGGAGUUCGGUUACGUGCAAACAAGGUUAUAGCACCCUCACAACGCCCAUCGAAAGAUGGUACCAGUUUAGUUUUGUGUUAUCCAAUAAGCCUUAAAAAUUUACCAAAUAAUUAAUUAUUGAAAAUUAUUCUCAAUUGACUCUAAUACUUUUAGCAAAAAAUUGAAAAAAUUCUCUCACCUUAAGAGUAUGCAAGAAAACUAUUAUUUCACUUGCGGAGGCCCCAUCAUCGGAUUAUUUAACAUUAAAAAAUUCAAGAAAAUAAAAAAAAUAAAAAAAUGAUUGCUUUUGUGCAAGGAAAAUUAAUACUUUCAACUUUUUCCCAAAAUAUUUUUUAGAAACUUUAAUUUCGAAGAAAAUUGAUAUUUUCAACUUUUCUUUGAAAAUAUUUUUAGAAAACUUAUUUUCAAGGAAAAUUGAUACUUUCAACUUUUUCUCAAAACUAUUUUUUAGAAAAAUAUUUUCAAGGAAAAUUGAUACUUUCAACUUUUCUUCAAAAAUAUUUUUUAGAAAACUUAUUCUCAAGGAAAAUUGAUACUUUCAACUUUUUCUCAAAAAUAUUAUUUUAGAAAACUUAUUUUCAAGAAAAAUUGAUACUUUCAACUUUUCAUUAAAAAUAUUUUUUUUGAAAUUUAUUUAAAGAAAAUAAUAACAAAAAAUAAAAUAAAAUAAAAAUAAAGGAAAAAAGAAAUAAAAAUAAAAAAAUACUAAACAAUUCUAAUCUAAUAAAUAAUAAUAAUAAUAAUAAUAAUAAUAAAUAAAUAAAACCUAGGAACGGCUCGACUUAACGGCUUGGCUUGGCACGGCUUGAGGAAGAAAAACGGUUCGGAGACACGGCUCGGCUCAGCUCCGAAAAUGAAUCACACUCAGGUUACACGUGGGUCAAAAGUGGGUUGACGCUCGGGUUGGGUCACUCGAUUUCAAAACACGCGGAUCUUUUGGAAACAGUAAUGCCAAAAUGAUGUCGUUUUCAACAAGUAUAAAAGGCUAAUUCCUCUGUUUUUUAGCAAACCAAUCUUUUCCUCUCUCUCUUCACUUUCUUUCCUCUCCCCUCUCUCUAAACCAAUAAAGAACUCCAAUUGAAUCUCGUCGGAUUUUGAAAAAUUUGGCUCAAAUUUGGGGUUUUCAUCGGAAGUUCACCGAAAAGUUGAUUAGUUUUUGGAAGUAUUCAUCAAAAACUGGGUAGCUGGUCGAAAAAUUCAAACUUGGCUGAAAAAUUCGAACUUGACCGAAAAAUUCAAUCGAAAUCUAAAAAUUUUCUAAAAAUUUUCAGAAAAAAAAUUCGCCAAAAUUCUAAAAAAAUUUUGAAAUUGUUUGUGGCCCUUCUGAACACUUUUUCCUUCUCUCUCGCUCUUUUUCUCAGUUAGUGUCUAUGUUUCUGUGUCCUGAUCUUUGUAAUUCGUGGAUUUAUUUAUAGGGAUUGAUCAGAAGAGUUUCUGAUCAAUCCCAACUCCUUCUUGGAUUGGGAUUCAAUCCUUGAAUCCAAUAUGGACUCUAAUUAAAUCCCAAAUUCAUUGUAGAAUUCCCAAUUUCCAUCCCAAUCUCAGCCGAAUAAAAAGGAAAGAAAAUCAAAUAAAAUAAAAAAAUGUUAAUAGAUAAUUAAAAGAAAAUAAUUAGAUAAAUAAAAAUAUUAAUAGAUAAAUAAAAAUAAUAACAGAUAAAUAAUAAUAUAUAAAUAGAUAAAUAAUAAUAAUACAUAUAGAUAAAUAAUAAAUAUAUAUUAAUAAAUAAAUAAUAAAAAAUAAAAUAAAAUAAAUAUAUAUUAAUAAAUAGUAAUAAUAAAUAAAUAAAUACAUAAGAUGCAAACAAAAAUAAAUAAAUAAAUAAAUAAAUACAUAAGAUGCAAACAAAAAUAAAUAAAUAAAUAAAUAAAAAUAUAAAAUAUAAAAUAAAAUGGGCAUACCUAUUUGGACCAGGCCCAAUUGAUCGGGGCUUGGACCAAAUUGGGUGUCUACACUUACCAAAAACUUUAAGGAAAGAUUAGUCUGUAAAGCAAUUCAAGGGUAAAAUUUUUCUAAAUCUGAAACAAGCAGAAGAACAUAGAAUAUAUGUCUUCAUGAGACUGCUACAAUGUGAAAUGUAUUUCUUCAAGAAUCAGAACGAUUAUUGAGAGCACAAAAGUUUAUUGUGUGAACUCUUUAUAUCGACAUACCUUACAGCACAAUUUUUAUUUUUUAAUACAUGAAUUUAAUAAAAAUACUUCAUUUAUAUAUAAUUAAAAUAUUUAUUUAUAUUUAAAAAUUAUAUUUUUAUAAAAAUUAUACUAAAUUAAAAUUAUUAAAUUAAUUUGAGUCAAGUCAGGUCAAAUGCAUACUAAACAUAUAUAGUUAAGAUCGGAGUUGAGCAUAUAUAAAAAAAAAAAAACUGAUGUCAAGUUAGAGAAAAAUUGAAUAGAAUUAUUAAAGAGUCAAGUCGAUCAAAGGACAAAUUUUAACUCAUCCCGACUCAACUCGUUAUCAUAUCUAAAUGGAAGUGUUUUUAUGACACCUCAAUUUGGCUUUCUUUUAUUUUUAAUUUUGGCCCUUUUCAUUUUUUUUAGUGUUUAUUUAUUUCUAGAUAAAUUUUAUAAACAAAUGGGUCACUAGUGACAUGAAUGACAAAAUAAUCAGUAUCCGACAAAUUCUAACUCAACUUCAUCCAAUAGGAGAGAUUUUUUCUUUUCAAAAUUAGGAUCGAGUUGGGCUAGGAUGGUUUUCCAUUUUUUAAAUCGGGAUCAAGUCAGAAGUGAGUUCAAGGUACUUUGUCACAAUCCUCUUCAAGAUAUAUAAAAAAUAUAUAUUCUAUUAUUUAUUUAGUUUUAUAUUUGUAUAUGGAUUAUAUUAAUAAAAUUAUCAUUUAAUAAUUAAUUAAAUAAAAAUACUACAUUGAUAUAUAAUUUAAAUAUAAUGUGGAUUAAAAAUAAUAUUUUUAUAAACUAGGCUAAAUUAAAAUAUUGUCACUUAGUUCAAUCAAGCUCAAAUGUAAUUCAUACAUAUAUGUGCUUAGUCAGAUGGGAUAUUAUUUAUUCGUGUCGGGUCAAAAUUGGAUUCAGAUUGAGAUUAUUAAAAAUUGAUCAGAGCAAUGCUAAAAAAUUUGCCUUAAUGAUUGUCUUCAAGUGAGUAUCUCAUGCAUCCUAAAUGUUCUUUCCUUUAUCUUGGCAUUCUUUUUGUUAAUUUCAUUUGUUUUUAAGUUGUCAUUUUAUAUUUCUAAUUAUGUAUGAAAAGAUAAUACUUAAAUGAAUUUUGAUUUUAUUUGUUACAUAAGAUGUCAAAAUAAAAUGAACAUAUUAUGCAUAAAUUAAUUGAUAAAUUUUUUCUAAUCAUUACAUUCAUUAAAAAUAUUAUAAAUGAAACCAUACUAAUUGAUUUAUUAAAUUUAUCUUGAACAUUGUUCAUUACAAAUAAAAAAAAAUUGAACCAACGAUAACGUGCAAGACUAUUUCUAGUUCAUGUUAAUGAAACAACAGUUCAUUUAUUUACUUGAGAUCAUGCACUAUUGCUAUGGACAAUUAUUGCAAGCAUUAAACAAGAAAAUUAGUGAGAAAGAUUCAAACAGAAUAAAAAUUUCAUACACUUAGUUAUUUAUUGUUGCCCUGAAGUUUGGUUUGCCUGAUCCCUCAUUAUAAAUCUUUUCGGAGUCUUUCACUCCCUUAUCAUAAUUUUUGGUUCCUUUUAACUAUUUAAGUGGAAGUUCUACCAUAGUGAAAAUAAAAAUAAACUAGCCUAACAAAAAUGAAAGAAGUUGAGAAAGCUAUAUUCCUCAUAACGGCUUCCAAAGUGUAUUUGCCACAAAAAUUAAUAGAUUGUAUCAAUAUUAACUUAAUAUAAACAAGUGACUUCUUAAAUAUGUGAAGGAAGCCAUUAAAUUCAACAAUUUCAGAAUCUAACUAUUAAAAAAUCAUAGAAAAAAUUUAUUUCCCUUACCUUUUCUUCUUCCUUGUUUGUCUCAAUUCCCUUCAACAUCGAACGGUGAGAGAGCUUACCUCCAUCAUCCAGCUCGGGUGAGUGGAGUUCAAUUUGGUGACAGUCAAAUGACCUUUUCCUUUCUCGUCUCUUCUUUCUUUUUCAUUUUCCAAUUCUCUCUCUAUUUCUUUUACUCUGUUGUUACCUAUGAAUUAAGCUACCCAUCCUUGCCGAAUGGCAAAUGGUAAAGAAAAGGCCUUGGCUUGACCUCCCUCUCAACUUUCUCUUUUUUUUUCCUUUGUUUUCCCCCUUCAGCUCCCUCAAGAGAAUCUCUUUUAGCUUUAUCUUCAUUGUUUCUCGUCUCAUCCAAGAGCUUUUCAAGGUUCUCUCUUCCUUUGGGGCUUUCUAAAUACACCACAAAAUUUUUUUUUAUACACCCUCAAAAUUUUCUUUCAAAAAUACCCAUAUAACAAAUACAAAUUUUAACCUUUAAAAAAUAAUAACAAUAACCUCAAUAGCUUAUACAUCCCAAAAUCAACUUCGUACAUCUUGGAAAUCCAUUUUGAGAAUUAUAUUACAUUCUUAAAAAUGAAUUUUUGAAAAUAUUGUAUUCUUAUAAAUCCAUUUCCAAAAAUACAUAAAUUUUUGUUUAAAUAUAUAUUUAAUUAUAAACUCUUGAUAACGUUUAAUUUUAAUUUAAAUAAAAUAAAUACAUUAAUUUUGAAAUAAGUAAUACUAAAAUAAAUCAAUCUCUUUAUCAAUGUCUGACAUGAAAAAUCAAAUGUGCUAGAAUCUCUAAACGUCUCUAAUGAUUUCUCUAAGGCAUGACUCAAUUCUAGCAAUAAAAACCUCUAAUCUUUAGGCCACUGACAAUGUCAUCAGCACACUAACAAAUCUGGUAGUAGAAAUUGGUGGCUGAAAGAGUAAAGGUCUUUACUGCCAAAUUUGUCAGUCUGUUAAUGACAUGAUCAAUGUUUUAUAGGGUGUUCAAGCUUGAACUAGCAUGCAUGCACACACAUGAGUCAUUGAUGUGCCCAUUCUUAUUUGAUCAUAUGUAUGAAUAGAAGAGACAUGUUAGUUUUUAAGAAUGCAUAGGCAUAAAAAUGUUGUUGUUUUGAGACCAGAAAACCAAGAACACCCUUUGGCCCAUGCAAAACUAGAAAACUAGAAAAUGGUGUUCUUGAUUUUCUAGAGUAUCAAGAGAAAGAACAAGUUUAUGCCAUGUAUGUUGAGAAUAUUGAUUUUAGUUUCAAUCAUACACAAGUAAAUGGGUUUAAAAGAGAAUGAUUUAAGGUUUUCAGUAAUUAAAAGUGAAAUCGAGCUUCUAAGACAUAGAUAUCCAAGAAUACUUAAAGAUUCUCGAAUAUUCAUUUUUAAUAAUACUCAAGACUUCUCAAAAAUGGAUAUCUAGGAAGCUUUUAGUGUUCUUAUAAAUGAAUACCUAAGAACCUUUGAGGCUUCUCGAAAAUAGAUAUCCGAGAAUCCUUAAAGCUUAUCAGAUGUCCAUUUUCGAAAAGCUUCAAAAUUUCUCGAACAUUUAUUUUUGAGAAACUCGAUUUCAAAAAAUAAAAGAGAAGAAAAAAGAAAAGGUAGUAAUGGAAAAUAGAAAGUGAGAGGUGGGUUGUAUUUAGUUAAACUAGAAAAUUGAAUUUUGAAUUUGGGUAUAUUUAGAAGUGGGGUGUAUAGAGUAAUAAAUGGGUUGUAAAUAGAAUUCCCCUCUUCUUUUUACCUUAUUAUAAAUAUUAAAAAGUCUUUUUUAACCCUACAAUUAUUUUAAAUGUCAAAUAUGAGUUGGCUUUAAAGGACAAUUUUUAUUUAUUGUUGUUUCUCAUCGCCUCCAGAAGCUUUUCAAGCUUCUCUCUUUCUUUUACUUUAUAAAUAUUAUAAAGACAUUUUUAAUGCUAAAGUCAUUUUAAAUGUCACAUAUAAGUUGGCUCUAAAUUAGAAUAGUAGGGAAAGUUUUUUUUUUAUAGAUUAAAAAUUUUUACGAAAAUUAUAUAAAUUUGGAAUUUCUAGUAUCUUAUGCUUAUAUAAAUUACAAUGCCCUCAGUAUACUAAUUUUUGGCACUUAUUUGAUAUAUGUAUAAUUUUUACAUCUAAAUUGAAUUUAAUAAAUAAUUUUCUAGCAAAAAUGAAGGGAAAUGAAUGUAGACACCAAAUUUAUCUGGAUUUUAAAUAAGUCUUAGUUUAAAAUUUGUCAAGUGUAUUUGAUUCUCAGGUCGAGGUCUGAUUUCAAUUCAACUAGUUAUCAGGCUCGAUUUUAAUUUAACUAGGCCCAAAGUCUUAUUUUGAUUGGGUCUGAAGCCCGUUUCAUUCUUUAGGCCUAGCUUGUUUUUUUAUUUUAUUUUAUUGUUAGUUUAUUUUAUUUUUUUAAAAUUAAACAAAAUACCAAAAAAAAAGAGACAAAUAGAAGAAUAUAAGAAAAGAAAAAAACAAAAGAGGCAUGGGGUGCUUGGUGCCGUGCAUAGCACCACUAGCACCACCAACCCCUGCUAGGCCCUGUGCCACCCACUUAGGCAUAGGGCCAAGAUUGGACAAAAUAAAAAAAAUAAGGGGGCCGGUGCUUGGGGUGCCAUAAAUGACACCCUCAUUUGCCAAGCCUUGUGCCACUCACCAAGGCAUAAGGCAUAACCAGAGCUUUAUAAAUAGAGCUCCAUAAUUGACCCUUAAAAAAAAGAAGAGGGACCCUGCCCAAAAAAAAAAAAAACAUUUUGCCAAAGAAAAACAAAAAAAAUUAAACAAAAACUCAGUCCCCUGGGAAUGGGAAACCCAAUGUCGAGAGCCCCAACAAAAAAAAGAAAACGAAAUCAGUCUUAAAAAAUAAAAAAAAAUUAAGAAGUCAGAACACUAAAAAAAAGAGUUUGGCCGUAACUUUGAAGGUCGAUUCAGGUUGUUUGGGACCCUUUUUGGUGAAAAGGAGGUUGGAUCUGCGUUUAGGAAGGUGAAAGGAAUUUUUUGGGAGCUUUUUAGAUUUUUUGACAACCGGUCAAUGACCAUCUACAAUAGUCGACACGAUAAAUGAUGAAUGAUCAGUUUGGAUAGAGAGAGGGGGUCUAACAGAGAGAGAGGUAGAGAAAGAAGAGGAAGAGAAAGAUGAGCUGAAAAAGAAAUUUGAGGUUUUUAUAUAAAGCUAAAAGCUAAAACAACACCAUUUCAAUUAAAGGACCAAAACGACAUCAUUUUAAGCCCAGGAUUUGCACAUAAACCCACCGACCUGACUCAGAGUCCAUGCACCCGACUCGACAACCCGUCUUCAAUUGACCUUUACCGGUCUAGUUGAAUCGACCCAGACUGAAGUAGACCGGUAUUAAAUCGUCAAACCAACUAGACCAAACCGAGCCAUCGAAUCGAUUGGACCCACAUUGAUCGAACUGUUGACCAAUUUGGUUCAAGUAAAAAAAUUUUUUUUGAAUUUUUUAAAAUAUUUUUUUAUAUAUUAUUCUGAUAACAUUUAUGCAUAUUAAAAUAUUUAUAUUUGUUAGAAUAAUUUUUUGUUGUGAUAAAUAAUUAAUUAGUAAAAAAAUAAAUGAUGAAAUAUGUAGUUAAAAUUUUUAUAAUUUUGUUAAUUUCAAAAUAAACUUUAAAAAAAAUAAAUUUUAUAAUAAUAAUAAUAUAAAGUAAUAAAAAAAGUAAGGAAAGGAAAGUUUUAUUCGAUGAUGAGAUUCAAAGGUAUUCCGAGUAGUGAUACUUACGAAAUCUUUAAGUGAGAAAAUUUUUUUUAAAUACUAGCAGUAUAUUGGAAUAUAUUUUAAAAAUUUUCAAUAAAAUAAAAUUUUCUUUUUUUGUUAUAAAAUAGUAAAAAAACAUUAACUUAUAAAUUAAGAAUAAAAUGAUAAAAAAAUGUGAAAAAAAAAAAUUUAUCCGAUGAUAAAAUUCUAAAAGUAUUUCGAGUAGAGAUUCUUUAAGAAAUCCCUAGGUGAGAAGAUUUUUUUAAAAUAUUAUCAAUGUAUUAGAAUAUUUGUAGAAAAUCUUUAAUAUAAUAAAAAUUCCUCUUUUCUUCAAAAAAUUAAAUGAUAAUAAAAAAUAAUAAUAAAAAUCAAUAAAAUUUUUAAAAAGUAAAAUAAAAUGUAUGCAUCAAUAUGUUAACAUUUGCAUUGCAUGCACGACUUUUUUUUUUACGAAAAGUAAAUCUAAGUCUCUGAGGAUGAGAUUCUAAGAUAUUCCAAGAAGCGAGACCUAAGAAAUCUUUAAAUGAGAAAGAGUUCUUUCAAUAUUACCAACAUACUUGAACAUUUUAAGAAUUAUUUCAAUAAAAAGGUUCUGACUUAUUUUUCCCAAAUAAAAUUUGAAUAAUAAAUUUUUAAUAAAAAAAGAGAAAACUCAAAUUCCAAUAAAUGAAAAAUCAAGGUGUUAGCCUUUUAGGUGAAAUUAUUUUUUUAAACACCAAAAAUAAUACUGUUUUUAUCAAAAUUAAUGGAUAAUGCGUAGUUAAUUGGUACCAUUUUUAAACAGGCAUUAUGAGGGUGCUAAUCCUUCCCCACAUGUGACUAACUCCCAGACCUAAACUGUUUCGCAGACCCUAAAAUUAUUUUUUUAAUAAAUUUUAAUUAAAUUUAAAAUUUCAUUAGUGGGAUAUGUUUUAAUAAGUGACCAAUUGUACCUAGCCAAAAAAAAAUUGGUGGCAACUCUAUUUUCUAUUUUUUAUUUUCGUCUUCAAAUUCAUUGGACGACCUUAAAACCGUUAUGACAAUGAACAAAAAAAAAGUGAGAAGACAAUAGAAAAACAAUGUUGGCUUUUCUUUUUUCUAUUUGACAUGAGGAAGGAAAAAUAAAAAAUAAAAAAAAAAUUGUAAAUAAAAUGAUUAUUGCGUUUUUUUUUACUUACUUUUUGAAAGAUUGAAUUUAGAAAGACAUAAAAUCUAUAAAUGAAUCAAUUCAUUUUUUUUCCUUUAAUCUAAGAAAAAAAUUAAAAAAUUUUUUUUCCUUUCUUUUUUUCAUCCCAUCAAACACAACGUAGAGUCAUGACAAAUUGAGAAUACACGUAAAUGUUAUUUUUAUAAAGUAUGAGUAAUUCAAUUUCCAUCACCCUAAUUUGAAUGUCCAAUUAUAUAAAAUAUUUAUCACAAUUUGUACUUCAAUUUGAUUGAAAGGCUGAAUUCUAGCUCUCCACUUAAAUUUGAUGCGUACACAAUUUUCAUAUUUGACUUUUGGGUCCUUCGGCUUGUCCAUCUAUCAUGGUAACAAUUCUCGUGAAUAGCAAUAAUGGUUCUUAAAAGUAAUAAAGAAAAAAAAAAACUUGCCAAUUAAACUUUGAUUCAAUGGCACGAAUAUUUUAAAAUUUUGAGAUUUUAAAUCGAAUUUUAUUAUAUGAAUUUGUUUUAGUUUUGUAUUAAAUUUAUUUAAUUAUAUUUUAAUUUAGUCGAUAAUUUAUAUAUAUAUAUGAAUAUAAUAUUUAUUAUGAUUGUGAUUUUUUUUAUAAUUGUAAUUUUAUAAAAAAUGUAGUCAAUUACUAGUAAUUAUAAUUGUUAAUUAUUAUUAACUAGAUAUAUCCAAAUUCAAUGACAACUCUAGAAAUCCUCCUAUUGCAUUUCUUUUCAAAAAAUUUUUACUUUUUCAUUUUCACUUAAUAACAUUUUUUUUUAAAGUGUCCGCACGUUUUAUCUAGAAAGAGCAAGAUAUUUAUCUAUUAUUAAAAAGGAUUUAAAUUCAUUUUUAAAUAAAAAAAUUCACCAAAAAUAAAUUUCAUAUCAAUAGAUUAGGUUCUUUCACAUAAAAGAAUUAUAUACAGUUUUACAUAUCAAAUUAUAUAAUUAUUUUUAAAUAUGAUAAUUAAUAGAUUUGAAUUUAACUCAUAACAUUUGUAAUUUUUUUUAGGUUAUGAUUUUUUUAUUAAAUAAUUAUAUAAAAUAUUCUUUUUUUGUCCUUUUUUUUUCAGAGUAAUCAUGUUGGAAUAUUAGUUGGUGGGGAGGAAUAACAUAAUUAGAAACACUUAAAUAGCUCAGUGUAUGCAUGGCCCUCUCGUUUAUUAAUUUGUUUAUGGUGAUGCAAUCGACAAGAAGAUGAAUCAAUUAUAAAUUGAUGAGGAACACUGGUAGCUAUAGAUUUGCAGCUUAGGUAAUUAAUUUACUAAUUGUAUUCCCAUGUUUAGUGUGAGAGCUUGGGGACAGUGGAGAAGAAGCUGAAAGGAAAUGGAUGUGGAAUACGUGCGGGCAAUAGUGGAAGAAGGCGGGAUCUAUGUUGAACAACUGUUCUUCCAUGACCCAGAUGGGUUCAUGAUUGAGAUAUGCAACUGUGAUAACCUACCUACCAGUGAUCCCACUGGCAGCUGAGAUGGCUCGAUCAUGCUCCCGAGUGAAUCUGCAACUGCUGCAGCGUCAGUAGAUACAGCAAGUGGUUCAGCAGUAGGAGCAGCUGCAGGAGCAGAGCUGAGUCAUUUGAUUUAGGUGCAUGUUAAUAAAAAUCAUGAAAUAAAAGGCACCCUAUCUGCUUUUUUCUUUUUUCAUGUUCUUGUCUAACUAUUGUAUGGACAAGUCCUUGUUUUUCUUCACUUGGUUUAGUAGUUUGUUCAAUAUUAUUUAUUUUGUAAUUAAUAAAGACAAGGCCUAGAUGUGAUCCCAAGGGAAGUGAUCAUUUUAUGAGCUUAUUUUAAUUAAUUAAAAAUGGACUAUUCUCUAAAGUUUUUCUAGUACUUAAAAUUAUGUAAGGCCCCCUUCUCUUGUUGUGAAUGAUUUCGGGUUUCAAAAUCUACUAAUUUAAUGCACAAGUUGGAACUAGUUUUGAAAUGCCAUUCACCUGAAAGAGUUUGUUGGAAAUCAUGUUAUGAGCACAUAGUCUUAUCCUAAUUUAUUUAUCAUAGAACGAAAAAUAAAAAUUUCAUAAAAAAUCAGAAUUUGAAUAGGAUUUUGCUAUCUAUCCUUUCAUAAAUUUCAAAUAAUACUAGGAUAUGUAGCUAUCAUUCACACCUUAUUUACGUAUUUAGAUUUGUGUCAAUUUUAGGGUUAUGGUCUAUCACUAGGUUACCUUUACAACAGGUCAUGUUAUAAUGUCAAUCUAAUUUCCAAAUUGGACAAAUUCAUCUCGUAUUAAUUAGAUUCAAGUUUCUAUCCGGAAUUACAAUUUCAUCUACAAUCUAUCAUACAAAUGUAAUGCUGAAAAAUCAAAUGAAUAACCGAUAAAGAAUCGAAAAUUAUGAUUGCACCUGUCCAAUGGAAGUUCAUUUUGGAGGCAGAGGAGAGUUAAGAAAACAAAAAGUAAAAAAAUAAAAGAUUGCAGAGAGUUGGGUAGUUUUAUAUAUGUUUAUGUAUCUUAGAGAUAUUUAAGCGCAGUUGAUAGGAUUCUGAAGCCCACAAAAUCUAAAUCCCAACCAAUCUUGAGUCCUGGAUUUGCACGGAAGUUGGCAAAAAGGUUCCCUACAAAGCUGAAACCUGCGAUUUCUUCCUCUUUUAAGGCAUUGCCAUGCUCUUAAAAUUGAUCAUUUAUUUGGCUUUGGAUUUAUGUUUCAUCCCUUCUGUAUCUCUCAUUUCAUACUAUUACUAUUUCUUAACAACUAAGAUGCUUUAGUUAAACAUAAUCUCUAUUUGUGAUAAUAAUUUCAUCUUUUUUAAUAUUAUAAAAUAAUUAUUUUACCUUUAAAUAGAUUAGCGAUUCCUUCAUAGGUCUUAGAAUUGGUAAAGGGGUUAUUGUCUUGCCCAGGAUUUAAAUAGCAGUCGUGAUCAUGUUUUCGAUCGUGUUGCAUUUAUCAUGUUUUCGAAUAUAAUGAAAAUCAUCGCGGUCACCGCGGUUAUGAAUUUUUUUUUAAUUUUACACAAUUUGAUAUAAAAUAUAAUAAUUAUAAUUAUAAUUACAAAAAUUCUUGUUUAAUGUUUUUUUUUAAAAAUAGUUUAUGACAUCUAUAGUUUUUAUUUUCUAAAAAAAUUAUUUAUAAUUUUAUUUAAAUUAUAAUAAAACAUUUAUAUUUGAUUUAGCAACAAAAUUUUUACUCGAGGCAAGUUCAUAUUCAAAAUUAAUUCUAAACAAAUCAAAAUAUUAAUUAAACAUAAUACGUUAAGUACCAAAUAUCCAUAUUUAAUAAAAUUAUAAAUUUAAAAAUAUAAUAAUUUCAAAUUUCAUCAACUAUAGUUAUAAAUUAAAAAGAAUUAAUCUAAUAAAAAAAGAAUUUACAACAAUAUAAAUAUCAAAAUAACAAAAAAAUUAUUAAAUUUCAAAUACAAAAUCAUAAAUUAAUAAAUAAUAAAAUCAAAUUAUAAUAUUUAAUUAUAAUUAUUUUUUAUCUAACUUAUACAAAAAAUUCAUUAAAAAUUUUCAUAUAAAAUUCAUAUAUAUAUAAUUUCAAAAAUUACAAAAUUUUAAAUUUAUGUUCUAAUAAAAUUAAUUAUAAAAUUAAAUAAAUAAAAACCCACCCACCUACUCAGCCCGCAUGUCCCCCUCAGUGUCCAAAAUUUCCCCCAACUCUUUCUCUAAAAAUCGACAAGCAUAUCCAAUUCUUCAUCUAUCUUCUAACCUCUUUUAAGUUUUAUCCACAUUAUCUUUGUCUUCCAAAUUGGGUUGUGAAUGGAACACGGCCGUUAUUAUUGUGAAUUUCGUUCACAACUCAAUUUUGGGAAUGUAACGGUGGCGGAGGCUAUCGAAACCGCAAAAUAGCGGCCGUAAUACCGCUACACAUAUGCUAUUUGAAACCCUACGUCUUGCCUCUGCCUGUUUGUGGCUAUUUGGAGGCAACCAGACGAACGAAAGAGAGUUCUUGGUUGAGUUGAUUCUUCGAUUUUUUGUUCAUGAAUAAGUGAUCCGAAGAAAAUUUGAAAUUAAAAUGAGAGAAACCGCUUGUCUCAUCCCAAAAUUCUCAACCUACACAAGGCCAAAUUCAUUCGUCUUGGUUGGAUGCCAGGACUUCUGUCUCCCCGUCACCGUAAUGCGAUCUUGUAUUUUACUUUUUUCGAUUGACAGCUGAUUUCUAUGCUUUUUAUUGGAACUUUCUUGUCUUCUUGCAGCACUGUGGUUCAUCAUUUAUGAAUUUGAAAAUGAAAUUUCUCUAUUGAUGAUGGAUGGAAAAUAGACGGAAAAUGGGUCUCGUGUGUUUUCUAUAUUCAGGAAGCAGAUAAUUGCUAAAAAUACAAUUAAAAUGUUAAUAAUAAAAGUUAAAAAUAUAUUAAAAGAAUUUUUAAAUAGAUUAUAUUUUAUCAUCUGUCUAAUAUUAUAAAAUGAUCAUUUUAUCUUUUCUAAUAUUAUAGAAUGAUCAUUUUACCCUUUAAUGAAAAAAGAAACUUAAAAUGUUAAUAAUAAAAAUUUAAAAGUAUAUUAAAAGAAUUUUCAAAGAGGUUAUAUUUUGACACAUGUCCAACAUUAUAAAAUGAUCAUUUUAUCUUUUUUUAACAUUAUAAAAUGAUAAUUUUAAGCUUUAAUAAAAAUAAAAUAACAUUUAAUGUAAAUAAUAAAAAUAAAACAAUAUGAGAAUAGAAAAAAAAUCAAAUCUAUAUAUUUUAGAAGCUCCAAAAGUACUAUAUUGCAACAUUAGUCUAGCAUUGUGACAUGAUCAUUUUAUCCUUUCUAACAUUAUAGAAUGAUCAUUUUACCCAUUAAUCAAAAUAAAAUAAUUUAAAAUAUAAAUAAAAAAUAUAUUAAAAAAUAUAUUAAAAGAAUUCCCGUAAAGUUAUAUUUAGACAUCUUUCCAACAUUUUAAAAUAACCAUUUACCUUUUUCAAAAUUAUAAAAUGAUUAGUUUACUUGUUUUAACAUUAUAGAAUAAUCAUUUCAUUUUUUAAUGAAAAUAAAAUAACUUAAAAUAUAAAUCAUUAAAAAAAUUUUAAAAAUGAAAAUUAGAAAAAAAUUAGAUCUAUAAAAUUUGUGUAGAUUAAAAAUUUAUAUUUGAAUUCAACAAUCUAAAAGAGAACCAAACAAUUCAUUUUGGGAAAAAAAAAAGUUAUCCUUUUACGAAAUGGUGGGGUUAAUACUAGUAACUGAAAUUAAGCACCCGUUUGAUUCCAUCACAUCGAAGCGAUGGAAUUCAAUCGGAUUUUGACCUCCAAUUGCACCGUGGUUCGUAAGAUGCAUUUGGAUAGCGCUGAUGCAGUUGGGAGCUUCUGCACUGCUUUUUAGAUUUUUAUUUAAAGGAAAGGAUCUAGUGAUUUACUAAACUCUACGACAGUCAAAUGUUUUAAUGUAUUCGGUUUAAUGUAAAAUUAAAAAAGAAAGGAUUUUCAAUUAUAUAAUAACUGCUUUUAAAAUAGGGAUAUCCUUCUUUUUAACAGAUUAUCAUUUGAAAGACGGAAAACAGAGAUGGAGAUUACAGGGGGAAAGCAGACAUAUUUCAUCAUGAAAAUUUAAUACAAAUUAUACAAAAAAAAAAAGCUUGUAUUAAUUAAUUAUAUAAUCUAAGACGAUAUUUUCUUUUACAUAUUUUCAACCUUCCAUAUCAUCUGUAUAUAAUCAUCCAUGAUAGAUAAAAUGCAAGCCAAAAAGCAGAUUAAUGAAACAACUGGAAGAAGCUAGUACAGAAUACCAGUGCAAGGUCUUAAAGAUAAAAGAAAGGGCAACCGAUCAGAGUCCUCUAGCCAACAUUUGCUCAUAAUUCUCAAUGGAUUCCAGCCUCUGGUGCAAAAAGUUGGUGCCUGAAUUUCUGGAUGAAUGCCUCAGCUCUUUUGUUUAUGUCGACGAAUGGCUUUUUUCUGUGACAUUGGACCUCAUGGCUCUAUUAUCUUUGAAGUUAUGGACAUUUGGUUCUGGAAUUUUGGAGUCGUGGUAUGAAUGAGGCAUGGAGCUGUUCUUCAUUGUAAGUGCAAGAUAGCUUUCUCUAAUUCUUUCUUCCUUGCACAACUCUCUUUGUUGAUAAGAUGACUGUUUGGUUUCCCAUAUUUAUAGCUAGGAAGUCGAAUAAAAACUGGGUUAUUUAAAGAGGACUUUUCUUUUUAUGUAGGAGCACGCCUUGCUAGAAUUUUCAAGUAAAAGAUAUCAACAAGCUCAAGUUAUAGAUGGAAGACUUUUUGGGAGGACAUGCCAUGGUGAAAAGCAUAUAUAUGCUUUUUUUAUAACUAGUGCAAAGAUCUUCCUAAAAUCUAAUAGUCAUGCUUAGUAAAAUGAUGCAUUUUCAAAACCUCAGACUUGAUUUAAUGGUUUACUGAUAUUAUGUCACAAGAUAUAGUAUGGAUAUUAUGUUGUAUUCACUGAUAUUAUGUAAAUUAAUACCGUAAAACGUUAAUAAAAUGUUAAAUUUCUCAAAAUUUUUAGUAAAAAUGUCGAGAAUCAUAUAUAUAUUUAUAUAAAAUCUAAUAAUAUAUCUUAUUCUAAACGGAAAACUACAAGAAUCUAAUUCUAGCCAUUAAGGUUGGGAUAACAAAACUGGGGAGUAUUACUGCCAACUCUGACCAUCUUUUUUGUCUUUGAAGAAAGGCCUAACUUGUAAUUUUCCGACGCGCAUUCAGGUAGUCAAAUUCAAAUGAAAAUUACGGCUUAAGCAAUGAGCCAGCAGGUUGAGGCCCCGAGGCCCCAAGGUGCCCUUUCAAGGCACCAUAGUUGGAGAUCUAAGGACAAAAUAUGAACUUGCGUUUCUAUAGAUUUACAUAUAAUAAUUGUUAGAGAUCAUACCUGUUUUACCAAAAAGAAAUAGUAUAAAAUUGAAAGACAGAUGCGUUUUUAAAUAUUAUAAUAUUCUGAUCAUCCUAAUUAAUUUGCCUCAAGUUUCCAACCUAACUCUACCUAGCCUUGAUCUUCGACCGAGUCCCAACUAUCAUACUUUUUUUUGUGAAAUGGUACCACCAUGUUCCCACCUUGGGCUUACGUCAAUGGUGGAUACACUCACAUAGUCAUAUUCAUCUUCAAUUCAGAAUUUCUUUUUCAAGAUAUCCACGGUAUAAAAAUUAUUAACAGAUUUAUUAAUUUUAUAGAUUAAAAAUAUGUUCAAAAAUUUUUUUGAAAAUAUUUGAAUUUUGUUAAUUUUUAAUUUUUUCAAAUAUUCAUAAAUAAUUGAAUACUUUAUUUGUAUCUAUCAUCAUUGUUCAUCGUAAUGAAUGUCACAUUUAAAAGAAUCAAACUAAUAAAGUUUGCAUAGGCUAUUUCUUUCAAUUUUGCAAAUUCUAUUUACCUACAAUAAUCAUUAACACCAAACAUCACCCCCACCUCCACCUUUUCUUAUUUAUUUUUAUUUUUUUAUGAAACGCAUCAUCCUUGUUAAAUCAACAAUUACCAUAAUUUACCCUCCCAUUAAAAACACAUGAAGUUCAGACAAAUCUCUAUCAAAUUGAUCUUCAAAGAAAUGCCAAAUUUUACAUCCUUUUCCUUAAUACUGAUGCAUCCUUUCAUCCUUUUACAUAGCAUGCUUAUACAUAGAAAGUGAGACUAUGUUAUAAUUUAAGAUGAAUUCUAUUAAUAAGGAGAUGAGUUUUAUUUUCUUGUUAAUUAAAUAUCAUUCAUUAUAUAAAGUACUUCGAAAAUAAAAUUAUAAAUGUAUCGAUUGACAUGAAAGAAUAUACUCUUAAAAUUAUAUGUAAAGAAGAUUAAAUUCAUGUAAAGCCUUAAAAUACGAUCGUACUAUCAAAAUCAAUAUAUUUUUUAUUAUGAAAAUCCAAAUGGAUUUAUAACGUGACUUUGGAAUCCUUACUUUCUACCUAAAAGAAAAAAGAUGGGGGUUUUUAACCACAUCAGUAACUGCAAGCCCAAGUUUUAAGCAGAUUAACUUGGAUAGAAAAAAGUUCAAAUGCAACCCAAGAUAAACUCAAGUCAAGCUGAAAUUCAGGCCCAAUAACUCUUCCUCAAAUCCACAAGGCUAAUUUGGCAACUGUCAUUUUGAAGGUUGUUCGAGGUAAGAUGGAAAAAACGAAUUCCAAAAGUACAUAAUUUUUAGUAAUGCCUUUGCUUCUGUCAACCUGUCUGCUACUAAUGCCUAGUAUCUCAAUAAUCAGUUACAUUUAUUACGUUGUUCUUUUUGUAAAUUUUGAUAUCAUCAAUGACAAUUAUAUGGAUGUUGCUUCAUGGUUCAUUCCAAUUUGAUAGGUUUCCUCAAGUCAAACUCUAGCACAAUUUCAAAGAAACAUUGUGGCUUCAAAUGAAAAAAAAAAAAGAUUUCUUUUUGUUCUUACUUUUCUAUACGUAGAAUGCUUCUAACUUUUUUAUAUAAUUUAUUAUAUAAAAUUAUUUUAUAUAUAACACGUGAAAUUAUGCUAUAAUUUAAAGAUUAAUUCUGUUAAUAAGGAGAUGAGUUUCAUUUUCUUGUCAACUAAAUCUCAUGCAUUAUGAAAAGCAUUUCGAAAAUAAAAUUAUAAAUGUAUCAAUUGACAUGAGAAAAUAUACUCUUAAAAUUAUUUGUAAAGAGAAUUAAAUUCAUGUAAAGCCUGAAAAUACGACCGCUAAAAGACAAAGGAUAGACGUUUUUAAACAUAUUAGGAAUUGCAAGCCUAAGUUUUUAGACAGAUUAACUUGGAUAGAAAACUGUUCCAAUGAAACUCAAAGACGAACUCAAGUCAAGCUCAAAUUCAGGCCCAAUCUCAGAAUCCAAUAAUGAGUAUAUUGGGCUAAAAGCCUCCAAUCCAAUCACACCAACGGAAGCGAAAUCAAACAAUAAAUCAAACACACAAAAGACAACAAUUUAACGUGGUUCGGUCCAACUGACCUACAUCCACGGAUGAGAAAAAAGAUCCACUAGUUGUAGAGAAUUACAAACAUACAACAAAUCAUCAACCUCACUCAACAAUCAAUACUCAUAAGACACUCUCAAUCUCCUUUAGUCCUAUGAAGUAUUCUCAACCCAAAACAAACACAAACCCAAACCCUUGUACACUCUUUCAACAUAACCAAACACAUACCCAUAUGCUCCCAUACAUCAUACCUAUGUGGACCCUCUCAGUCUCUUCUAGUCCACUCACAAACAAACAUACACACCCAUAAGACGUAGAGCCCCAAUACUCCUAUGGGGUGUCUAUCCCACAAAACCCUACAACUCUCUUACAUCUUUUUCUCAUACCUAACCCAGUAGAGACUUCACCUAUUUAUAACCAUACAAACUUGCCCAUUAAGAAUCCCUCUCCAUUUAGAAUUCUUCUCCUGUAAGUCAAACUUGCCUAUUAAGAAUCCCUUUCCUUUUAGAAUUCUUCUCUUGCAAGUCAAACUUACCUAUUAAGAAUCCUCUUUCUUUUGAAAUUCUUCUUUUGCAAGUCUUCUUGUCCAUCAAGCAAUAUCUGACAAAUCCCAAAAGUAAACAGUGACCAAUUCGGCUAUUACCCUAAAACCAUUUAGCUUAAGAAAACUCCACUUAAACCGUAAAAUUACAGUGUUUGACUUGGUAACUCUUCCUCAAAUCCUCAAGGCUAAUUUGGCAACUGUCCUUUUGAAGGUUAUUUGAGGUAAGAUGGAAAAAACGAUUUCCAAAAGUCUACAAUUUUUAGUAAUGCUUUUGCUUCUGUCAACCUGUCUGUUACUUAUGCCUUGUGUCUCUAUAAUCAGUGACAUUUAUUAAGUUGUUCUUUUUGUAAAUUUUAAUUUCAUCAAUGACAAUUAUAUGAAUGUUGCUUCAUGGUUCAUGCCAAUUUGUUAGCUACAUAAAAGAGUUGGUGACUUUUUUAAAAUUUCUGGUAGAACCUUGACAUGGUGGUUACACAGCUUUAAAUCAUCUGUGGUUGUAAUCUCUCAUCGUUACUUUCAUCUUGCAGUAUAGAUGGAUUCAGAGCAGUUGUGGAGCGACAUCUGGUUUGGAUCUUGAUGGCCAGCCUAUCAAAUUAGAUGUUUCAGGCUAGCAGGCACGCAUUUUGCAGCAUGAUAAGUGUGAUCAUUUGGGUGGAACGCUCUAAGAUGGUUCCUAUAACUUUCAAAACUGUUCAAAACUUGGAGAUGCCUCUUGCCAAAGCUUGGUGCCUGCUAUCUCAUAUUUUUACGGACAAAUCCAGUCGAAGCAUGAUGCACAACAAAUAAGGCAUAUACAAAAGCUAGUCUAUGAAGCUUCAAAGUAAUAGAAUUGUUAUUUGGUAAGACCUCUCUCGUUCGAGUUGAAAGCAUUGGAUUUCUUUGAACGGAAUGCAAAGUCUAUUCAUUUCAUGGCAUUUUAAGCAGUUGGGUUUGAGUUGUUCAUGCACUGCAGAUAGCGUUGAAUGCUCUUUCCGCUAAAUUCAUGGUUUUACUUUUGUAGGUGAAGUUUAUUGAAAAUACACUUUCCAUAAUGUAACUUGUUCACAUUUUCACAUUCCGCGGAACUAAUUAUAUUCUUAAUUGAAAGUAGAGCCAUUGCCUUUUGUUCAUGGCCGAUGUGAUAGGCUAAAUAUACAUGGCCGCAAGACAUUUUAUCGUUGCCAUUAUCUCCUACGGUACCAGGACAAUAUCUAACUUUAGAUUUCUACUCGAUCCCUGUCCCAUGAUUACCCCUAGAAUGCACACAAAUAACUACUACUAGGAUUUUUGUUUUGUUUGUUUGUUUGUUUGUUAUCAUAAAAUGAAAGUUAGCAACUUAAGCGGUGUAGUGGUGGCAUAACAAAAACACAGAAUUUAUCAAUAUUUAAGAGUAGUAUUGCGAGAAAUAUUGAGAAUUAAAUUUUGGGACCAUUUUUGGAGGUUUGAAGAUUUCUUUUUUAACUUUGUGUUUAGGCUUUCAUUAUUUAUUUUCUUUUUAUUUUGAACAUAGUUUUAUUUUAACGCCCCAAUUCCACAUUGGGAUGUUUUGAAAAUAUGUUACUAUAUACAUGUAGAUAUUUAAACCCAAAUCUACUAGGUGCUUUAUGUGAGACAAAAUCGUGAGAUCUUCGAGUCAAAACGGACAAUACAUUGCAAGUUGAGUGCAAGUCUUUACAAAUAAAUCAGAGUGAUGACCAGUUGAACGAGAGUUAAGUGCUACUAUAUGGGAGCCACAUCUAAAAGCUGGUGGAAGUUAAGUGCUAUACAAUGAUAGUCACCUCUAGAAUCUCAACUUCUUGUGUGAUAUUGUGAUUUGUUUGUGUUUUGUGUUGGCCUUGCCCAACGUUUGAUUUGAUUUGGUGAAUCUAUAUGUUUUGUAUUGGACUUGAUAGGAACGUCAAGCUUUAACGGGAGGAGUUUGUAACGUCUCAAUCUCACAUUGGGAUGUUUUGAGAAUUUGCUGUGAUAUAUACGUAGAUAUUUAAACUCAAAUCUAUGAGGUGCCUUGUGUGGGACAAAAUCAAAAGAUCUUCGAGUCAAAAUGAACACUAUCUAGCAAGUUGGGUACAAGUCUCUACAUUUAUACUUUAUAAUUUUUUGUUUAUUUAAUGUAUUAGUUUAAAUUUUUUUUAUAAUUGGAUUUAUCUUCAUAUUAUACUUAUUUAAUAGACUCAUUACAAAAGUGAUGAUUCCUCACCAAAAAUAUGUUGAUUCAUGAAGAGAUGUUUUAAAUAUUAUUUUUAGUUUAUAAAUAUUUUUAGUAACGUUCAUUUAACAAAAUUUUACAUCUUAUCUCUUACGGUUUAAAUCAUUAUCUCUCAUGUUAAUUCAUGUUUUCAAAUAGUUCUUGAAACGUAAUACCAAAUUUCUUUAAUUAAGCACUACGUCAUUGAAAUAACAUCUUUAAUAGUCAAUUUGCAUUAUAGUGAAAAAAACUAUUACCCUUGAUAAAACUUUUGAGAAGUGUCUUACCUAAAUUUCUUCUUUUCUUAUCCUCUAUAGGUUGCAUUAGUUCCAAACCAUCACUUACAAUAGUAUCCCUAGUCAUUGCUUCAACUAAUUUUUUUUUCCCAACGAUUUUGAAGGUAACACUCAUCUUCAUGGAUAUGAUGCAUUUAAAUUAUACAUUUUUUUUGUGUUGUUAUUAUUAGAUGAAUUUGAUUGAAAGAAAAGUAGGUGUAAAGUAACCCUUGUUACAAAUAAAUAUGUUACGGCAUUAAGGUUGUUUUAAAAAUGUUUUGAAAAAAACUAAUUACAAACUCCAAUGAUACUACCAUUUGGCAUUUAACAUUUAGAAUCCAUCGGGGAUAUAUAUGGCUAAGAAUUUAUCACUUAUGCAUAUUUAGGAUAGUGUAGGAUUGGCCUGAUUGUCUUUUUCCUUCAAUUUGGAGAACAAUGGUUUUCUACUUGCUUUCAGCACACAUGAGAAAGGAGGCAACAACACAGGGGUUUUGGUUUUUAGUGGCAUUUUUUUUACCAUUUAGCGGUGUUUGCAAAAAAAUACCACGCAGAGUGCCGCCUAUACAUACGUCACGGUAAAUAGCGGCGUUUUCGAAAAAACACCUCAAUAUUAGCGGCGUUUAUAUCUGAAGUACCACCAUUUUAGCAGCAUUUAUAUCUUUAAGACACCAUUACUUUAGAGGCGUUUGAAUUUGAAAAUAGCUCAAUGUUAGCGGCGUUUAUAUCUUUUAGUCACUGUUAUUUCAAUGGUGUUUUUAUAAGAAAAAUGCCGUUGCAUUGAUGGCAUUUGUAACAGAAAAUGUCAUUACUUUGCAUGGCAUUUGAAUUUGAAAACACUUCAAUAUUUACGGCGUUUGUAUCUUUUUGGCGACGCUAAUUUAGUGUUAUUAUGGGAAAAAUGCUGUUGCUUUAGUGGCAUUUGCUGGAAAGAGCGUUGCUACUUAUAAUGACGUUUUAUGCUACAAACGCCACUAAAUUAUUCAUUUAGCAGCAUUGCCCAAUGCAAACGCCGCCAUUAUGUAAAAAUGUAUUUUUUUUUAAUUUCUUAUAAUAAAUUUUAUUUUCAAUAAAGAAUUUAAAUUCAAAACUAAAAUUAGUAUUAACUUCAUUCACAUUUAAAUAUAUAUCUAAUUAAUACAAAGUUUAAUAAUUAGUAUAAUGACAUUCAAAUAUUGUAAAUACAUUAACCAAAUAAAAAAUUAAAAUGUAUGAAAUGGAUGACUACAUACAUUUUGUUGGUGGCCAAUUGAUAAAGAAAAUUUUUUACCUUGGUAACUAGCGUGUUCAACAACCUACUAAAUAAUACCAUACAAUUUUUAACACUUCAUUGUAUGCUUAUUUUUUAUUUAAAAAUUUUAAUAUUUACUAAAUAUAAUACUUGAGUUGAUGGAGCACUAAGAUCAUUUCCUAAAAAUUGUUGUUGCACAAAAUUCAUAAGAUGAUCGAAUUGAUCAUACAACUGCUGAAAUUUUGCACACUCUAGCUCCAUUAUAGCAUGUUAUUCUUCAAUUUUGGCACGCUCUUGUUCUCUUUCUACUUCCAUCUGCUGAAAAUGUUGUUGCAUAGUUUGCAACUCCCCUCUCAAUAUUGAAAUGUCUUACAAUGACUGAUUUGCUGAGAGCGUAAAUUACAGAGAGUUAUGUCUAUAGUAGACGGAUGGUGUUGGACCCAAUCCAAGGCCUCGAACCGUCCAUUCCUUUCUUUUCCAGCAACUUCUAUGAAUAUCUAAUUUUUUAUUUCUUGCAUGUUGAGAGAACCUUCAGAUGCUACUUUAAUCUCAGCAACCAUUUUCUCUUUCACUUUCUCAUGUGAAUUUGUCAUAUACAACUAUCAAGUUUAAUGAUUAAUUGGUUAUAUGUUAAAAAGAGUUAAUAUUUACUUUAUGCUAAAAUAGAUGAUACACAUUACCACAAUUUCUUGUGUUUUGACAUUCAUGUAAGAUCUAUCUUUUUUUAUGUGUGUUACACGAAAAAGUUUCACACGUCCAAUUGUACUGCCCAUCUCAUUCUCCUAUAUAUAAACAUAUGUUAUUUGAUAGGAUACACAUCAACCGUAACUUAUUUAUGCAUAUCAAUCCUAUCAAUCAAGUGUUACAAUUUUGAAUAACUUUAAUCUUCUUUAUUUAUAUUUUGGCCUUGUAACAACACAAUAGUCUUAAAUAUAUGCAAAGAAUAAAAGCAUUUUGGGCUUUCACACAUAUCGAUCAUGGAAACCAAAUUCAAUUAUUUUCUCUUGGUUUAAUAUGAAGGAUUGAAGCCAUUCAAUAUGUUGAAAGGCAUCCAAAAUUUAUUUGUAUAAUUUACCUUUCAUAUGCAAAAAUAUUCCCAAAUAGACAUAACUGGCAACUUUUUCUCCAUAUCAACCAUAGAACCAAGUUCAAUCAAUCAGACAAGCUUAAUAUCAAGUAUUGAAGCUAUCAAAACUAUUAAAAUAUAACAAUAACAACAACUAGAUAAUAAACAUGUAAAUAUAUGUAAACAGUAAUUUUUCAUACAUAUCAUCUGUGUAACUAAGUUCAAAACUUUCGAUAAGUUUAAUAUCAUGUAUUGAAACAAUCAAAUCUAUUAAAACAGAACAAUAAAUGUUAAUUUCCAUAUUUACCUUUUAACGGCAAAAAAAAUUCAUUCAUUGGAAUAAGUUAAUUAUCAUAAACUUAUGAUUUCUUUUUGCUUUCUUGCAAAACUUUUUAAUCAACUUAUGUGGCUAUAUUUCUAUUGCUUUUUGCUACCAAUCCCAAUCUGUUCUCUUUUCUGUCAUAAAAAAUAAUUACGUAUAUGAUAGAAAUACAAAUAUUACCAAAUGAAACCAUCAAACACUUUCAUCAUUUCAUUAUAUUAUACAAAGUUAUAAACUAGUACCUCUCAUUUUCUUGAGAACCAAAAUCUAACCAGUUGUUCAUAUUACCACCUAAUCACAUUAUGGGAUAGAUUUGCAUCAUCGCCACUACAAUAGUAUUUCAAUCAAAAUACUUAUUCUUCAAACUAUGCUUAUAAUCUUUCCAUUUCUUUCCCAAUGACUUAAGCAUAAAUGAAGUUGGUAUUUCAAGUACAAAUCUUGACUAUAAUAAUACAAUAAAAAAGUUUGAAUAAGUAAACAAAAUGUAAAAUAAAAAAUUUGAAUAUAUCUAAUUAAUUAUACUAAUACCUCAAUAAAGUUUAACGCAUUGGCCUUAACUUCUUUUGGAAUAUUAUGCCAUGUUUCAUAAUGAAUAGGCAAUUUCAUUCCAUUAUGAGCUAGCAUGCCUAGAAAUCUAACCAAUAGUUGAGCCUCUUCACUAAUUGGUUGCCUAUCAGAGUUUGCAGACAGUACAAUACGCUCGUUAGGAGGUAGUGCAAACAAUUCCUUCAAAGUUGUUCAACCUCUGGUCUUUCAUUAACCAUUGUUAUCAACUACAACAAAUAUAAAAUAUAUUUGUAAAAUCACAAUACUUAUAUCAUUACACUCGAAUUUUAAAAUUGGAGUAUAUCAUACCUACAUUCAAAUUUAAAGCAUAAUCAAUUGAUGGGGUACUAUCUAAACCUAGACCUCUUGUAUUGCCAGAUAUAAUAUCAAUUGAAGGGUUAGAAGUGACGGAGUUAGAUCCGAUAGUACGUUCAUUGACCUCCAAAGGAUUCAAUCCAUAGCCAAUAUCUAUAGGUGCCAUAGACAGUUCUGAACUAAUAUCUCUUAUAUGUUUUCCUUUCAACAUACUUCUUCGUAUUAUAGCUUACCUAUAUCAUAAAAGCGAAUAUAGAAAAAAUUUUAGUUCAAAAGAUAUAUAAAGACAUUUUCAAUUUAAGAAAUCAAAACUUACGAUAUAUAAAAAACAUAUCGAUUUAAUUAAAUCAAAAUAUAAUGUAUGAUUUAGAAGACAAUAAUUAUACAAUAGCGAAUGUGACAUUAUUUACAUACUAUUAUUUACUACAUUAUAUCUUACAAAGUCGAAUUACAAAUUAUAGGUGCACAGAAUCAUGGUUCGUAAAUGUCUUCAGCAACAUCUUCGUAGACCCACUGAGCGUAGGUACUAGAGAUAUUCUCAUCCAAGUUUUAUUUAGUAAAAGGAUAACAUUCAGUUUCAUGUUCAACAUCAUUUUUGGUAUCUAACCCCAUAUCAAAUAAGUCUCUAGGUGUGUUUCGAAAAACAACAAACCAACCUAAUUCUUUUAGAUCUUCAGAAUAAAAUACUUGUUUGACAUAAGAUAAAAAUACAUAAGGUUCAUCGAUGAGUUGUUGUCCAAUGUGAAUUAAUCAAAAAAAAAAUUCAUAAGUAUAAAUCUGUACUGAUCUUUCUUAAGACCCCUUGCACUAUUCACAUCUGUCCAAUCACAUCGAAAUAAGACAACUUUCCACUUGUCAUAAUAAUUCAACUCAAUGAUGUCAUUAAUCAUACCAUAAUAGUCAACAUUUCUUCUAAAGGGUUUGUGUCCCUAGCACUAGCAUAGCUAGUAGUUGAUGAAGUCACAACAACUCCUGAAUUUUGUAUACUUCUAAAUCUCUCAUGGGAUUUUGUGUGAAAUCUAAAUCCAUUGAUGAUGAAACCUUUGUAUCAUUUCAUAAUCUGGUUCGGACUGUGUGAAAGACACUUUACCUUUUCACUAACAAGUCUUCCACUCCAAACCUAUAAAAGUGGAAUAAAUAUAUAUAUGUUAUUAAUCUUAUUUUUACCGUAAGCAUUCUAUGUAGAUAAAAAACAAUGGGAAGUAUGGUAUUACUUAUAAUUGCUCUUAACCAUUUAUGAAAGUUUUCAGUGAACAACUUAUCAAUCUCUCAAGGGUUUGAUCAUCGAUAAUGUGCAAGAUCUCUCAAAUUAUUUCUAUACUCACUAUAAAGCAUCAUGAUAAAGUAUUAACACUAAAAAAAAAAACACAAUAUAUUAUGCCUAAUGUAAUGAAUAAUUUCUUUGCUAAAAAACUUAUGUGCAAAAUGAUUCAAUUGAGUCAUGAUGAAAAAGAAUAUAUCGAUGUGCUUGUGCCCAAGAUUUAUCAUCUAACUCCACUAAUUUAGCUUUGCCUAUGGGUUGUUUAAAACUUUGAAAAAGAUAAUUAUAGGCCAAGUCUAUAUGCUACAUACCAAAAUUUCUCAAAAGUCUAUUAAAUCUCAUUUCAACAUCUUUCAAAUAAUGAGAACAAAAUGUCAUACAUUCUUCUGCUAAAUAUCCUUCAAUAAUAGAACCUUUCGGAUAGUGUUUGUUGCGACAAUAAGACUUUAACCUCCUUAAAAACCUAUAGCAUAAAACAUUAGUCAUAUGUUAUUUUAAGUAGAUUGACUUGAUAAUCAAUAAAAACAUAAUCAAUCUAUUAACAAAUAAUACCUUUCAAUAGGAUACAUCCAUCGAUAAUAAAUCAACCCACUGACCUUUGCUUCAUAUGAAAGGUGGAUAACUAAAUGUAUCAUAAUAGUGAAGAAGUUUGGAAGGAAGAUCUUCUUUAAAUGGCAUAAAGUAAUCGUGGCCUGAUCUUGAACUUUGUCAAGCUCUUCCACAUUUAUACAUUUCUGACAUAAAAAUUUAAAUAUGUUACUCAAUUCAAUUACCAUAAAAGUCACUUGCUUUGACAUUGAUGAGCAUAAAGCAAUUGGAAGUAAGUCUUGCAUCAAAAUGUGAUAAUCAUGUGACUUCAAUUAAGAAAGUUUUCGCUCUUUCAUAUUCACAGAUCUUGAUAUAUUUGACGCAUGUCAUCUGAAAUUUUGACAUUUUUCAAAAUCUUGCAAAACAUAUCUUUUUUGGCUUUAGAAAUCUCAAAACAAGCAAUAGGCAAUUGAUAUUUGUUAUUAGGAAGCAGCAUCGGAUAAAGGUCUGGGUGAAUCCCUAUAUCAACUAGAUCAAGUUGACUCUUUAAGUCAUCAUUGGAUCUUUUAUUCACAUUGAGAAUUGUCCCAAUAAAAUUUUUGCAAACAUUCUUCUCUAUGUUCAUUAAAUCAAGGUUAUGGCAUAAUAAAUUAUAUUCCUAAUAAGGUAACUCAAAAAAAUACUUUUUUUUUCCAUAACUCAUACUCAUUGAGGUCAUCUACUUCAUCGUCCUCUUCAUCACUUUGAACAUCAAGAUCACUAACUUCUGUAUGCCUAUCACCAACUUGCGAAUACGAGGCCAAACACCUUCAAAGAUGUCCCUCACUCUUUUUCUUGAUGGAGUCAUUUUUUCAUAUGUGAAAUUGAUAUCUUUAAACUUUGAUAAGAUAUUAGACCCACUAAUGGGUAAAGGCGAUCUCCUUCAACUUUUUAGUUCCAUCAAAUAGAUACUUUUGAAAUCUAAAUCGAUGAUUAUUAUCUAACCAUCGAUGAUGUCCCAUAUACUAGAACUUUCUACUAUUACGUAACCACAUCGAACAUGUCUGUGCAGCACAACAUGGACAAGCAUAACGACCUUUUGUACUCCAACUAGAUAAAUUUGUAUAAAUAGGAAAAUCAUUGAUAGUCCAUAAUAAAGUAGCAUACAUAUUGAAGUUCUCUGCUUUUGAUGCAUAUAGGUCUCAACUCAUUCCCAUAAUUGCUUUAACUCUUUAAUAAGAUGUUGUAAGUAGAUAUUUAUAUCAUUACCCAGACCUUUUUCCUUGGGAAUUAUCAUAGACAAUAUAAAUGACUAUUGCUUCAUAGCAAUCCAUGGUGGCAAAUUGUAAGGAAUCAAUACAACUGACCAAGUACUAUAAGAAGUACUUAUCAUUUGGAAUGGGUUGAAUCCAUCAGUCCAAGCAUAACAUUUCGAGGAUCAGAUGUAAAGUCUGGAAACCUUGAAUGAAAUGACUUUCAUGCCAAAGAAUCUGCAGGAUGCAUUAAUGAUCCAUCAUUUAUCCGCUUUUCAUGAUGUCACCUUAUUGAAUCUAUAGUUUUGGAAGACAUCUAGAGUCGUUGAAGUGUUGGUAUUAAUGGAAAAUAGUGUGAAACCUUAACAGGCUUCUUUUUGACACAUACUUCAUCACCAUCAUCAUUCAACCUUUCAUUGAGAUUUUUGUUGACCCAACGAGAAAUACCACACAAAUGACAAGAUUUUUUAUUUUCUAUCCCCUGAAUACAACAUGCAAUCAUUGGGACAACUAUAAAUUUUCUUAUAUCUGAGACCUAAAUCCUUGAUCAUCUUCUUUGAUUCUUUACAAGAUUUAGGGUUUUUUUGCAAAAGGAAACAUUUCUUUCAUAAAUUGUAAUAAUAAAGUCAAAGAGUUUUUUAUCCAUCCACAUAAGCAUUUCAAGUGAAAAAGAUGAACAUAGAAAGACAACCUUGAAUGCUUCGAUCCUUCAAAAAGUUUUUCAUUCAUCUCUUCAAACUACCUAUAAAAUUUUAAUGCUUUUCUUCUAGGUUGUUGGUCACGUAAACCUAUCCCAGGUUCACCAAAUUCAUGUAUUUCAACAUUAGACUGAUUAAAUCCUUCAUUUUAGGGAGAAAGAUUAUGAAAAUUUUGGUUAUGAAUGUUAAAAGUAUCUCACAAUAUGCCUUUAAUGUCAUCUGCUAUAAAGGGAUCAUAUUGGUGAUAGAGAGUCUUUGAUGUUGAAAGAACUAUAGUAGAAGACCUUAACGGUAUAGACUCUUCAUGAAAAUACAUAUUAACAUAUCCCGAUAGAAAUCCAAUACAAAUUAAAUGCUCAUCAACAACUUAAUGCAUUUGCCACUCGAUAUUAGCACAUUUCACACAUGGGCAUAAUAUCAUAUUAUCUUCACUUGUAUUCUCAAAUGCAAAAUUAAUAAAAUUUUCCACUUCAUCUCUGUACUCUUGACUUAAUCUUGACUUUUGCAUCUAACUCUUAUCCAUUUAUUAUUUGCUACAUUAUCAGACCAAAUGUAUAUAAAUAAUUAAUAUGAAAACGAACAUGUACAAUUGCAUAGUUUACUAUGUUUUAAACAAAAGAUAAUAACAAAAAUAGUACUUACACAAAAUGAGGACUCCUUGUUGUAAAGUAAUUUAUCAGCUACCAGAUAUUAUGAUUGUUAAAACUUGGUGAUAAUGUAGACAGUACCCAAGAGUAUUUGUAGUUGGGGUUGACAUAAGGUGAAAUAAGGUAGGUUUUGUAAAAAAAAAUUUUCACCAAAAAGAAAAUCAUGAAUUGCAAAAGCUAAAGGAAUAGUCAAUGAAGUAAAAGCUAAAGUCAAUAAGUUACGAAUAGUCAAAAUAGGGUUCUAAAAGAUAAUACUCGAAUACUAAAAGCGAAAAGAAAGGGAAAGUAAAUUGUACUUGGUCUGGAAAAAAAUUAGUAUAAUAAUUAAGAUAAAGCUUGAAGUUGGUGAUUGGAUGCACUAAGUUUGGGAAUAUUUUUAUUAGACAUGAUUAUGGAAGGCAUUUACUAACAAAAAAUGCCAACAAUAAUUCUCUCCUAAAUAUUUUUGGAAUAUAUUAUAGGUGCCUUGAACAUAUCGUCACACAAAUUUUAACACUAUUAUUGAAAAGCAUAUAUCCAAGAAAGACCCCUUUAAUAAUUCCUAUCAUAGUUUGUAGUUAAUUACUGAAGGCGGUUGUAAAAAACAAUGCCUUCAAUAAUUUUCCUAAAAAACUUUUCUUGAAUUAUUAAAGGCCUCUUUUAUUAUGACACGCCUUCAAUAUACCACGAUGAUAAUGGAAGGUGUUUAUUAGAAAAAGGCACCUUCAAUAUACCUUUAAACUUAGUAAUCCAUUACUAAAGGCGUUUGUUAAUAACAGAUGCCUUUAAAAUUUUCCCACUUAAUAUUUUGGAAAUUAUUAAACGCGUUUUCUACUGUAAAAUGCCUUCUAUAUACCGCCACACAAAUUUUAACACUAUUAUUGAAGGCAUAUAUUUAAGAUAGAUGCCUUUAAUAAUUCCUAUCACAAUUUGUAUAUAAUAACUGAAGGCGGUUUCAAAUAACAACACCUUCAAUAAUUUCCCAAAAAGUAUUUUUUUGAAUUAUUAAAAGGGUCUUUAAUUAUAAAAGGCCUUCAAUAAUUUGUUAUAAACUUUAGAAAUCCAUAAUUAUUGAAGGUGACUUUUUAGUGAAAACGCUUUUUAUAAUUUUUUAAAAUUAGAAAAGGUAUUUUUUUUUUUAUAAAAUACACCUUUAAUAAAUUGGUUGGACAAUUUUAAAGGCUUAUAAUUAAAUGCGUUUUUUUUGUAAAAAACAUCUUCAAUAAUCUCCAAUAAAAUUUUUUCACUAAAACUUUUGAGAAUAAUUAAAGCAUCUUGUAUUGUAAAAUGCCUUCUAUAUACCGUCACACAAAUUCUAACACUGUUAUUGAAGGCAUAUAUCCAAGAAAGAAGUCUUUAAUAAUUCCUAUCACAGUUUGUAGUUAAUUACUGAAGGCAAUUACAGAAAACAACGUCUUCAAUAAUUUCCCUAAAAAAAUCUUUUCGAAUUAUGAAAGGCAUCUUUUAUUAUAAAACGCCUUAAUAAUUUGCUAUAAACUUUGGAAAUCCAUAAUUAUUGAAGGUGAUUUUUUACUGAAAAUAUCAUUUUAUAAUUUUUAAGAAUUAAAAAAGGCGUUGUUUUUAAAGGCUUAUAAUUAAAGGCAUCUUUUUUGUAAAAAACGUCUUCAAUAAUCUGCAAUAAAAUUUUUAAGUGAUUAUUGAAGGCAUUGUUCCAUGGAAAUACCUUUAAUAAUUAAUUUUAUAUUCAUUUCCCUACCUUGAACAUAGGAAUUUGUAAAGGGUUGGUACACGAAAUGAUUAAAAGUUGUAUUAUUUAACCAAACAAACCAAACCCUUAAACACAUUUCUAGUAAACCAUUGCUUUCUUUCUCCUAUUCCUCACCAUCAACCUUCAAUAAAUCACCACUGUGAACGUCUGUUUUAACUAGUAAAUCUUUCUUUUUUUAGUUUACUCUAUUAUUUAUGCCUUCAAUAGAAAUUUUUAUUUUUUUAGUUCCUUAAUAUUGACAUAUGCAUUUAUAUAUUUUCAUUAACAUCACCGUCAGCAUAGUCAUCCAAGAUUCUAUUUAUAUUGCAAGUAUGCUAUUUCUAUGUAGUACAUAUUAAAUAUUGUGGUUUGCUGAACUUUAUUGAUUGAUAUUAUAUUGCCAAAUGGAAUUGUAUGAUAUUGAGGGUCUGAAUAAUAUUUCAUGCUGAAUGGUUUGCUGAACCUUAUUGUCUAAUAUUAUUUUGCUGAAUGGGUUUGAAUUGGGGCUGAAUGGCAUUUCUGAGUGGUUUGCUAAAAGAUAUGUAUGAGCACAUUGCUGAAUGGUGUGCUAAAUGCUAUUUUUGUACAUAGUAUGGUAUUGAUUGUAUUAAAUUAAGUACAAUUUAAUUAAAAUGGGCAACUGUGUCAAAAGGAGUUGUCAAGAUGGCUACUCAUAUUGGAGCCAUCAUCCGUUGGAGGAUUUGAAUUACGUACACCAAUUGGCGACGAGUUCCUAAUGAUCUAAAGGAUGAGAUAUGGCAGUCCGUUAUGGUAUGUUUAUUCAACUAUUUCGUAAAAUUUGUUAUAUGAUCAUUUCAUUGAAAUUCAAUGUGUUAAUACUAUUUGUGUUAACUUAUUUAGGAUCAGUUCGACGUCCCAAUUGAGUGUAACAUGAUUUUGUUGCAAUAUGCUAGGAAAGCUUUCAGAGGCUUUAAAAGCAGAUUAACAACCUAAUAUAUUUUAUCGCUGGCUGGUGACGAUGAUUUUUGGCUGUUCCACCUGCGGCAUAUGUAGAAGUCAUAAGUGUUGAAGAUUGGAGAAAUUUUAUUUAAUAUCGACUUUUAGAAGAUUUCUCGAUACACAAACCCAUUACCAAAUUAGUCUAAGUUUAAAAGUCUUUAUGCAAUAUAGCAUUUGAUCUUCAUAUGUGAUUGACGUAAUUUCUUGAUUUUGUAAAAAUCAAAGAACAACAUUGAGACAUUUGGGCCAAAUAGCAAUAUCACCAUUAGACAACAAGAAAAGGAUAUGCAACUGUGAAGUAUGAGCUUAUAUGUAUUCACACACUUUUUUUAUACUCGUUAAUGAAUAUUUAAGAACAUUCAUUUCAUACAUUCUGAUUCUUUUAUUGCGGUGAUUUAAUAAGAAUCGAUGAUCUCAAACACAGAAGUUUCCAGAUGGAUGUCUAGAAACAAGGACAUCUACGAAAGAAUGGAUCCUUCGCAGAUGAAGCAACCGAGGAAAUGGUAAAAAAAUUGUAUAUAUAACUACUUUUUUGAUAUAAUGUAUGAUUGGCAUUGUGGUUAUAUGCAUGAGUGUAUACUAGCUUGUGUAGAUCUGUUCUAACAGCGUAACUUAUUAUUGUCUUUCAAGAUGAUUAUGCUGCCAAAAGUAAAAUCUGGUGAACUGGCAACCUAGUAUGGCAAAGAUCCUUUUUCUUUAGCAUUAGGCACUAAAGAAAGGCCUGGUCGGGUUCAUGGGGUUGGUAAAUUUAUCUUGCCAUCAACGUAUUUUGGUAAACAACCAAAAACUCCAAAAUGAGAAAUGCACAAUAUGAAGCAAUAAUUGAGCAACAAUAGUAACAAAUUAAUGACCAGAGUAACGCCUCAAUGAUCAACAGUAAAGAGUCGCUACUUUGGAGUCCAUGUUGGCAGCAAUGCAGUAGGUUAUGCCAAUACCCCAGCCUGAUAACAUCGUCCCUGUACGAAAAGCUUUCAUUACAAGUAAGGAAGCCAUCCUAUCAUCCGUUACCACCCAAAAAGUAUGAUAUUGUUUAUAAUUUGAAUAUUAAUUUGUUUAUUAUAUUGACUGAUUUGGUUUUAAUACUUAUAUUUCAUUAAAUAUUGUAGGAAAAUGUUCAGACUCAAAGUUUGACCCUUGCCCAGACUUCCAUGGAUGAGUUAACAAAAUAUUCACUAGAGAAUUCUACAGGUGAAAACUUCAUAUCCAUUGAGUCUGAGGAAAACUUAUUUGAUAAACAAUCAUUUUCUUUCAUUGGUGUGGAUAAGGUGAAAGAAUUUUGUGAAAUUGAUGAAUUAUCAGCUGCUAAAAUCAUUACUUAUAUGAGGUUAGCUUAUAAAUACAAAUAUGCACAUUCAAUAUGUAGUAAGUUGGUAUUAGGGUGUAAUACUAACUAGUAGUGUUGAUUGUUAUCAUGUAGCUUCAUAUAUAGAGAGCUGAAGGGAGAUAGUUGAGGAACAAAUUUAAAUUCAUUGACCCUAACUUCAUUAGUGAAUAGAGUGGCACAGUCGUAUAUCAUGCUAAUCAUGUGAUCCAAUGCAUGGAAAGACCGGUUGAUUAUUAUUUGCUCCUGUAUAAUGCACAGUAAGCUAUAUUCCAACCUUAAUUACUCCAACCUACUCCAUUUUAUGAUCUGAUGCAUAUUCUAAGUAUAUCAUUGUUAUUAUUUUGCAGUCGUCAUUGGGUGCUUAUUGUGAUUGACACCAAAUCUUUAACGCUAUACUUUUUUAAUUCAAUUAAUCCAACGGCGAUACUUAACCCCGAUAUUCAAACUUUUAUAAAGAGGUAUUACAGUACUUUAUUAUAUUAUAUAUGUUCUAUUUCUUCAUAAGAAAUUUUAUUUAUGUUCCCACUAAUUUUUUUUUCAUUUCAAUUUAGGGUAAUAUCUGCAUUCAAUAAGAAGAUAAAGAAACUGAAAUAGGUGUCAUUACUGGUAAAUGUCAAAUUUAUUCUUUUAAUACUGAGUUUGUGUAGAUAAAUAUUUUUUAAAUUGACUCAAUUUAAUUUUUAGGUACCUCAUCAACUCAGUAAUACUGAAAGUGGAUAUUAUAUCCUUCAUUUUAUGCGAGAGAUAGUGUUACAUGAUUUUAUGACCACACCAUUCAAGGUUAGUAUAAACUCAUUAUAUAUUCAAAAAAAUAAAAUAGUACAUUAUGUUCUCAUUUCUUAACAUUUACUUUUGAUAUUUUUUUAGUGAAAGGGUAAAGAAAGCUUCACGGAAGAAGAGCUGGAUGAAGUCCAUAAAGAAGGGUGUGAUUAUGUAUUGUAAUUUAUCAAUGUUGAUAAACCUUCAGUUAGACAUUGUUGGUUGAAUGUAAAUAUAUAUGAAAGAAAUUGUUAUAAUGUUUUUAACAUGCCAUAUUGAAUGAAAACUUUAAGUUUAAACAUUGGGGGUAUUGGUUUAAUAUUAUUGUUAUACUUAAUAUGAAUACACUAUGUAUACUUAUUAAAUUACUGAGUACGAUUAUUUCAUAAAACUAUAUUAAUAUGGCAACAUUAUCAGUUUUAAUUUUGGAUGUGUGGUCAAUUAUUUUGAAAUACAACAAUGUUCAUUAUGCAAAUUCCAAAAUGUAAUUCAUAGUAUCAAAUAUAUAAACCAAAUGUUUUCUAGGCAUAAAUAUACAACUGACAGCAAAGGUUUUUCUGGGCAUAAACCUACAACUGACUUAACAUAUAAAGUACCAAUUAUGCUUUUUUGAUGUGAUUAAUAAAGGCAUUUUUAGCAAGAAAAUGCCUUCAAUCACCCAUAACAGAAAAACAUUAAAGGUGUUUUUUACUAAAAUCGCCUUCAAUAAUCCCCUAAGAAAUUAUUGUCUGGAAUAUUAAAGGCAUUUUGGGUAAAAAAUGCCUUCAAUAAUACCAACUAAAAAUUAAUUGAAUGGAUCAUGAAGGGCAUUUUCCUACGGGUUACACCUUUAAUAAUCCCAACAAAAUGUUUUUGAAGGCAUUUUUGGAUAUAGCCACAUUCAAUAAUUCGCUCAUUAAAAUUUAUCGUUGGAAAUAUUAAAGCUGUUUCGAGCCAAAAACCUUUAACCAUCCCAUCCAAGUUUUGUCUAUGGAAUAUUGAAGGUGUUUAUUACAAAACUGCCUUUAAAAAUCCAAAAAAAAAAUUUACUGAUUGGAUUAUAGAAGGCGAGUUCAACCAAAAAAACCUUCAAGAAUCAACCUCAUAUUUUUCCUAUCGAUUAUUAAGGGUGUCUCUCCAUGAAAAAUGCCUUCAAUAUUGUAUGAUAAAAUUUUUUAAGCAAUUGGUGAAGGCAUUUUUGCCAAGAAAAUGCUUAGAAUAAUCAAUAACAAAUAAUCUGUGCCUAAACCCAAAAAAAGGCUAAAGGACAGAUCAGACCAACAAUCUUAUGGUAACAUCCAUAUAAUCCAAACAAUUUGAUAAGCUUAAUACUGAAUGAGUUUUUGAAGAAAAUAAAUUUAAUAAGCCUGGAAAAUUUUUUUGUCUAAAUAUUAAAGGCGUUUCUUGUAGACAACGCCUUCAUUAAUAUUGUACAAUUUUUUAUGACAUGAUUAUUGAAGGCAUUGUCUACCAAAAAUACACUUUAACUAUUCACCAAAACUUUUAAUAAAAAAUAUUCAAGGCAUUUUAAUCAAGAAAUGCCUCUAAUAUCAAGUCUUGGGUGACGUUUAUAAGUAACAACACUGCUAUUUGAAUAUUUAGUGGCUUUUGGAUAACAAACGUCUGAAGUUUUGUAAAAACACGGAAGCUAGCAAUGUUUGUAAAUGAAAAGCCACUACAAAACUGCCACUAAUACGCCAUUUUGCUAUAAUGCAACUCUUUUAUCUUUAUUUCUUUUGUUUUAUCAAUUCAAUUAUUAGAGGUGGACAUCAUGUCAAAAUGAAAAAGCAGAUAUCCCCUCAAUAAUGCCAAGUAUUGUUAUAAAUGUUGCUAUAAUAGAAAUUGAUUUAUUGGCAUAAAAAUGCAAAUAAUUCUAGAUAAAGUGAUCAUAUUUAAAUAAAGCAUUAGAUCUUAUGAGGUUCUGGCUUAGUGAGUUAAUUAGUGGCAAAAAUGAGGUUUUAGAAUCCUAAAGUCCUAAGUUCAAGUUUCAUUAUAUGUAACAUAAGUUUCAUUCAAUUUUAUAUUGAAUUUGUCUAAUAAUAUUUUAAUUUAUUAGUUAAUUAUUUAAUGAUUUGUUAUAUAUAAAUGUAAUAUUGAAUUAUAAUUAUAAAUUCCCUUCUAUUGAUUAACUUUCAUUGAAAAAAUAAAGCAUUAGAAAUUAAAAAAGACUAUGUAUAUACAAAUAAAAAGGUUGAUAGUGCUCUUCUGUCCAUUUUUCAUAAAUGCUUGACUUGAACCCUAAAUUUGCAACUUACUCAUUGUCUAAAAUAAACAGAUUAUUGUAGUAAUAAUUUCCACCAAGAAAACUAGACUAUGAACAUCUUUCCAAUAGAAGACUCAAAAACAUUUUUUUCCAUUUAGGACGUGCUAAGUGAACAAAAGGUAUUAGGUGCAUUAAAGUUUCAUUUUGAUAAAGUAAAGUACCAUUGAGAUACUUUCAUUCGAACAAAACAAACUUGAGAUUAAUUUUAGAGUUAGCUUUUUAUAAAUUAUCAGAAUAAUUUUUAAUUCUAUAACUGAAAUUAAGAGACUAAUAUUAGUUUUUUUUUUAAUAUAUCCUACUAAUUGAGCUUUAGAUCAAUUGAUAUGUCAGAAGAAUUGAUGUUUAUUGUAGGUUUGAAAAUGUUUAUGCGCAUAAUUUUUUUUAACCAAGUAAAUAUUAAAGUAAAGAAAGUUUAAAGAUAGAUUAGGGAUCUCUCUAAAAAUAUUAAUAUAUCCUAAAAUAUAUAUCACAUUGUUAACCCCAUUUUAUAAAAAUUAAAAAACUUCACUGACAAUUGAUGAAAUAAUUUCUUCUAGUUUCAAGAGUUCUUUGAACUUUUAAAUGAAUUGCUUUAACCAUUUUUUAGUUAAUUAUAGGAUUGGAGAUUGGAGUUUUUAUGGCAAAACUUGUUAGGUAGGUAAGUUGGGUUCUACUAACUCCUUAGUUAAAAAAUAAAUAAAAAGAUGAAAUCAUAAUUUCUUCAGCUUUGGAAGAAACAAUAUAAAGAAAAGAAGGUAUUCAAUAAUUCAUAGAUUAUUCUACCAAAAAAAAUUCAUAGAUUAACCUAACCAUAAUCUUCUUUUCUUAUGGCUAAAAAAAACCCUUAAUCCCCUUCUUAAUCAGUGGCCAAUGGGUCUUCAAGGACAUCUCUAAUAUGCUAAAAAGUAAUGUUAAUGCACGUAAAAGAAUUAAGCAAAUUGGGGGCAAGGGUCCACUCUCCCCUAUUUGAUGAUCCCCUGAAUUCUUGAAAUUUUCUGCCAAAGAAUAACAUAACAGAGCAGGGGAGAGAUUCUCUUGUAAACUUACCCGUUUCCCACAAAAUGAGACAUAGAGCUCCCCAACACCCCAGAAAUUUUGAAACCUAUUGGAAAAGAAUCAUAAGGAAUCAAAACGAAAAAGAAUACCAAUAAAAAGAACUUUUGUUCUUAUUCAGGAAAACACAAAAAUAAAAGUAAAUCAAAUCAAACCUAAACACUAAAGAUGCCUUACAACGAGAAAGAAAGAGAAAAGAGUGUGAAAUCAUGAUUUUGCCUUUUGUAUAUGUGAAUAUUGUCUCAAGAAAAAUCAAAUAAAACAUUUGCAGAUUAAUUUAAUUACAUCCACCCAAUGCAUAAAAUUCUGAAUGAAAUAGAAACAAGAAACAUUAUCAGAAUAAAAAAAUAAAACUUUAAACACCCCCAAAAAAAAGACAUCCGUAAUCUUUUUUCUUUUUUUUUUUCUCUAAAAGUCUCACAUCUCAAUUCAUUGAGAUGGACUUAAACUUAAACCCCCUAAGUUCACUGGAAUUCCUACCUCUGGUCACCGAAAAAUACAAGGAAAAGAAUAGACAAUAUCUUGAUCUACGCUUACCAGGUUUUUUCCUAUGAUUCUUGGUUUGUUUCCCAAUAGCACUGCAAAAACCACAAGCUGAAACCUUUGGAGAAGAUGGCUCAAUAGCAGGGGAUGCCUUACCAGUAUAGUAAUCUCGUCUUUCACCAUUGGAUUGGCUUCUUUCAAAAGUAUUGAUUGGUCCCGUCAAUGAUAUUCUUAUAGAAUGAUGAUAUUAUUCUAGUAAUAUUCUAGUAAUAUUCUAUAUUGAUUUGAUAUUGAUUUAGAGAAUAUUAGUGUUGAUUUAAUAUUGAUUUAAAUAUUGAUUAGAUGAUUAUAGGAAUUGAUUUAAUCAUUAUUUUUAUUUAUUGUAUUUUGUAUUUUGUAAUAGUUUACCUCUGUAUAAAUAGGCUUUAAGCCUCAUUGUAAAAUACAAGUCAAUAUAAUAAAGUUUUAAUCAUUUUUUCUUUUUUAGGGUGUCAGAGCUAUUUCAUGGUUCAUUUCGAACGUGAAUCACAUUGGAAUAACCAAUAUUAACUUAUUCUUGUCAUUGAUUUAUUCUUUUUUCUAAACUUCAUAUUUUGCUUUCGUGCUUCAAAUUGUUGGGCUUCUCUUCCAUCUUCAAUAUUAAUCUUUUAUAUCAAUACUUAUAACUUCCCAAAUCCUUUUUUUUUUUCAAGAGCCUAAUGGCAAGUAUUCAAUAAGAAAAUGUACAACCAAUUUCCAUUAUCCUUGAUGGAAACAACUACAAUUGGGCAAUGGCUGUUCGUAGUUAUCUAAAGGGAAUAAAAUUAUGGUUUGUUGUUACCAGAGAAUGCAAAGCACAAAAAGAAAAGAAGAAGAAUUUAGUGAUAAAUUUACAAAUGGACUAGAGGAAUAGGAAAGUAAGAAUCAUUGAAUUCUAACAUGGUUCACCAACACCACUGUUUCUUCUAUCAAUGUAUAUUUUGGAUGAUUUGAAUUUGCUAAAGAUGCUUGGGAUUUUCUUGUCACACAUAUAACUCUACUACUCUUCUUCUAGACCACCUCACAAAUUCAAGAUGGUAAUGUAGUGGCCAACUUGAGUUUGGAAACUUGGACAAGAAAUUGACCAAAUGGAUGUGAUUUGGUGAAGAUAUAUGCUUUUUGAUCAGCACUGGUAAUAGGAACAAGUUAAAGAGUUUCAGCAAGCAGAUGGUGAUGAAUGAAGAGGCAUCAAUUUCAAUAUGUUUAAUAUGCUCAUGAAAAACAUCAUUGUGAGCUAUCUGAAUGGCACUUUGAUUGUAACAAAAUAUAGGAGUACUAGAGUGAUCAAAAACACUCAUAUCUUGAAGUAGCUAUCGUAACCAUAAAAGUUUUGAUGUGGCUUUUGCAAGAGCUCGAUACUCAGCUUUAGUCCUAGAAUGGGACACCCCAAUUUGUUUUUUACUUUGCCAAGAAAUAAAUAAAAAAAAAAAGUAGCCUAUGGUAGAACGACGAUCACUAAGAUCUCUUGUCUAAUCAGCAUCACAAUAACGAUGCAACUCCAAAGAGGAACUAGAGGAAAAAUGCAAACCAUGAAACAUAAUACUCUUGACUUAUCGUAGGAUCCCGAGGACAAUAGCAAAAUGAGUAGAUCGAGGAGCAGAUAGAAAUUGACUAACCAUAUGAAUAGCAUUGGCAAUAUCUAGACAAGUAACUAUCAAGUAUAUGAGACUACCUACCAAAGUUCAAUACAAAUAAGGGUUUGGAAGUGGAGUACCAUUAGAAAGAGAAAGCUUCAAAUUCUGUUUCAAAGUGGUUGAUGAUACAAUCUUGCUAUUAGUUAAACUUGCUCUAGCAAUAAGAUCAGACGCAUACUUUGUUUGAGACAAAUAUAAACUCAAUAGAAUCAUUUUUAUUAAAAAGUAAAGCACUCUACUUUCCAAGUUGACAAGACAAACAAUAAAAAAUAUUACCUAAGACACCAGUGGAAGCAAGUGAUUUUAUUUGAGAAAUAGAUGCAUAACCUAGCCUAGAAUGCCAUAAAUCUAAAAAAACUGAAGUUUAUUUGAGAUGUAACAACAGUAAGUAAAUGUUCUUAAACUAAAGAAAUGUUUAUGGGAAUUGAAGUUGGCACUGAAAGUACCCACAACAUUCUAUUUUUUUUUUUUUAUAGAAACAACCAUUCUAUUAAUAAUUAUCUUAGUUUUCUUAAUUUGAAGGUUACGAUAUAUUCCCAAACUUCAAUAAUAGCAUUGUAAUCCAAAAAUUUUUUAAUUCAUAGUUACAAUUAUCUUUCUUACAAAAUAUUAAAAUAUAUAAAGAAAAUAAAGAUUCAAUUAUAUUAAUAUAAGUAUUAUUCUUUUUACCCUUAAUUUGUUCCAAUGUAACAUUUCAUGUUUAUUGGUAUUAUAAUAUAUACAUAUACAUAUAUAUAUAUAUAUAUAAAUGUGCCUCCAUUAAAUGUUCUUAUAUAUUCUUAUGCAAAGUUUUAAAAAUUAGAAAGAUUUAAUGCACAAAAUUCUCAAAAAUCAAAUAGCCUGAUUUAAUUAUAUGUUAUCAUUAAACAAAUUUAAUAGCCUAAUUUAAUGAAAAAUAUUUUAUUUUCUAAUUAAAUCAUGAAAAAGUAAAAAGAAUAAGAGACAGAAAGCAAUAAGAAUAAACUAGAUUAGUCAAAUUAAUGAGAAACUUAAAAAAAAAAAAAAGGUCUUGGGAGAAGUUGAUGUAGGAAUUACUAGUAUUUGCAAUUUUCUACUAGUUUAUUCCAUUAAUAUAUUUAGUUUGCUGCCCAAUUUAAUUGGUAAUUAUACCACAACCCACACAGAAAAACACAUUAGACAAUUACAAGUAGAGAUAAUCAUAUGAUUAUGUUUUUUCUAAAUAAAAAUUAUGGGAUCAAAUAAUAAUUAAAUUAAAUCAAAUUAAAGAUGGUUUCUUGUCACAAUCACGCAAGUAUUUUUCUCAGCAAAAGAUGCCUUUUGGGGCUAAUAAGGCUUUUGGCACCCAUCCUUCCGGCAUUUUAUAUUGGCCAAAGGAAGUGAGGAGAAAGGUGCACAAUAAAGCAAAGCUUUAUACUUUCAUUGAUAAAUAUUUUGGCAUCAACUAAUAAAUAAUUAGCUUAAAAAUUUGAUAAUGUGUGGUCGACUUUUCUGUUGUGGUCCAAUUUGACGUGCAAAUCUACGACUAAUUAAAUCAAAUCACUUUCCCAUUUGAACAUUGGUUAAAACUUUUUCUUUUUUCAAUGGACCUAAGGAAGACUAAUUAGACGUCAACUGCAAUAUCUUAUAUAGAAAAAUAAUCAGUCAUUUUUAAGAAGAUAAAUAGUAAGAAUAAGCUUUUUAAAUUUUAACUUUCAAAUUUAAGUCUUUUUGCAUUUGAAUUUUGUUUAAUUUUAUUUUGAUUUAUUUAAUUAAUUAAUUUAUUAAUUUUUUUAUAAAUGUAUCAAAUAUGUUAUUUUUUAAAUUAUUUGAUUAUAAUGAAAAAUUUUAAUUGUUAUUACAUUCAAUAAAAAAAUGUGUUCCUCUGAAUUCUAAAUUCAUCAAACCUAUGUUAUGAAAACUUUGUUUUGAUCAUCGAAUUUAAGCAUAGCAAUGGCGUUUUGAUCCAUGUGCACAUGAUUAUUCUGUCACAAAGAAAUAAAAUUAGUCCAAUAAUCCUUUGAUUUGGGAAAAAGCUUCCACAAAUUCUACGUUUCUUGUAUGAAGGAAAGGAAUUCAACGUAGAAGAGGUUUCGAGGUCUUUGCCAUGAAUUGGAUGUUGAGGCUGCCAUUGAAGCAUCUCUCAAAAUCUUCAUUUUGUAGUUUCCAAACAUACAUUAUAUGUGUAAAAGGUGCAAAUGAAAUUAAAUUUGGCAUACAACUAAGUCACUUUUAGAUAUGUUUGAUGUAUAAGAUUAUUAAUAAGAUAGGACAAUAAUCAUCUUAUAAUUUGUUUGAUUUGUAUCUAAAAAAGAUUAUAGAGAUUGCAAAAAGGAUUGAUAUCCUAUUGGUAUAGGAUUAUUCAAUUGUCUCCAAGUAGAGAGAAUUAUUUUUAAUCCAUAAGAUUAUACUUACAUGUCUUAUUAUACUCUUAAAAAUUAUAUAAACUUUAAGAAAGAAUAAUUUUGAUAAAUCAAUAAAUUAUACUAUAAAAUGAUAUUAUUUAAUUUAAUUCUAUUCAUAAUAUCAUUUUAUUUUAUCUUAUCAUAAUCAUGUAUAUCAAAUAUAAUUUUAAUUUCCUAUAACAAAAUUAUUUAAAAAAAAUUUUUGAGAAGACUAAUUAGAUGACAAUUACAAUAUUUUUUAUAGAAAAAUGGUCAGUCAUCCUCUGGCCAAUCAAACCUUAUCUCAAUACUAAGGCUCUGUUUGAAAUCAAAUAGGGGUCUAGUUGAGAUACUUUUUGUCUGAAAAAUUGUGCCAACCGCAUCAUGUAUGCAUUUGUCAAAUAAUACUAGUGCAAUUGGCGUUGAGUUUCAACUAUUCCCUUUUUUUCACUGGCCACUCGCCCCUCCAAUAAAAAACUCUCCUCCCCACCGCAACAUUAUUUCUUAUAAUGCAUUUACUUUCUUCUCUUUUUAUCUUUUUUACCCCUUAAACAACAGUGAAGGAACAAAAAUGUCCCUUGGCUUUUAGCUCCGUAUUUUUAUUAUUUUUAUUAUUUGUCAUUUUGUACAAAAAUAAUAUAUACAAAAAAAUAAUUUUAAAUAUAUAAUAAAUUAUUAUUUGAUAUAAAAAUAAUUUUAAUAUUUUUCGGUUUAUUAAUAAAAAUAUUAUUUGAUAUAAAAUAGUUUUAAUAAUUUUUAAUAAUUUAUUAAUAUCACAAAUAUCAAAUAUAUUUUAUAAAUUUUAUUAUAUGUAAAUUUUAAUUUAAUAUCUUUAAUGAUCAUUUUAUCUUUUUAUUAUAAUUUACCUCACUGCUAGCGUUGCAUUUGCGUCCAAAUAUAUAUUAUAUCACUAAUUUUAAUCUUACCAUUGCAGUAAUCAAUCUUACUGUUAUAGCAACAAAUCUCAUAUUCACCACUAUUGUCGAUCUCAUCGGAAUCUAUCUCAUCGUUCAUCUAAAUGGACCCUAAGAAUGAGCUUUUAAAAUCUUUAAGUUUCAAAUUUAAGUUUUAUUACAGGUGAAUUUAAAUUAAUUUUGUAUUGAUUUAUUUAAUUAAUUUGUUUUUUUAAAUAAAUGUAUCUGUGUAAUAUGUGAUAUAUAAAAUUAUUUCAUUACGAUAAAUUUUUAAUUGUAAUUACAAUAAAUAAAAAAAGAUUAUUCUAAUAAAUUCAUCAACUAUGUCAUAACGUCUAGAUCCGGGGAUCUAUCGCUAGACAUUGACUUUUUGGGAGUCGCUACCAAUCUUUUUUGUCUAGGUGCAAUUGGCCACCUAUGGAAUCUGUCCUUUUAGGGAACACAUAAGUUUAAGGGUCCCUAGAAGAAUAGGUUCAGGUCUAUAAACCAGAACAUGGUUCAGGAGUUCGGUUAUGUGUGAGGAAGGUUAUAGCACCCUCACAACGCCCAUCAAAAGAUGGUACCAGCUUAAAUUUGUGUUAUCCAAAAGCCUUAAAAUUUUACCAAGUAAUUAAUUAUUGAAAAUUUUCUCAAUUGACUCUAAUACUUUUAGCAGAAAAUUGAGAAAAUUUCCUCACCUCAAGAGUAUGCAAGAAAAAAUACUGUUUCACUUGCAGAGGCUCCGUCGUCGGAUUAAUUAAGGAAAAAUCAAAAUCAAAAUCAAAACAGAAAGGAAGGAAAUGAUGAUUGUUCUUGUGUAGGGAAAAUUGAUACUUUCAACUUUUCCCCAAAAAUUAUUUUUUUUGAAAAUUUACUUUUAAGGAAAAUUGAUACUUUCAACUUUUCCCUAAAAAUAUUUUUUUUGAAAUUUAUUUUUAAGGAAAAUUGAUACUUUCAACUUUUUCCAAAAAUAUUUUUUGAAAAUUUAUUUCUAAGGAAAAUUGAUACUUUCAACUUUUCCUCAAAAAUAUUUUUUUUUUGAAACUUUGAUUUCCAAGAAAAAUUGAUACUUUCAACUUUUUCUCAAAAAUCCCUUUUUUAAAAAUUUAUUUUUAAGAAAAAUUGAUACUUUCAACUUUUCCUAAAAAAUCCUUUUUUGAAAUUUUGCUUUCCAAGGAAAAUUGAUACUUUCAACUUUCCCUCAAAAACCGUUUUUGAAAUUUAUUUUUAAGGAAAAUUGAUACUUUCAACUUUUCCCUAAAAAUAAAUUUUUUUUGGAAUUUUUUAUUUUUAUUUAAAGAAAAAUAGAAUAAUAAAAAAGUGAAAAUAAAUAAAAAUAAAAAAAUUAAAGAAAAGUAAAACAAAAUAAAAAUAAGAUAAAGAAAAAAUAUUAAAUAAAUCUAAUCUAAUAAAUAAAAAUAAAUAAAGAUAAAACAAAUGAAUAAAAAAUUCAAAAAAAAAAAAAAACCUUGAGCGGCUCGGAUCGCGGCUCGGCUCAAGGAAGAGAAACGGCUCGGGGGAGCGGCUUGGGAAGCUCGGCUCGGCUCGGCUUGGCUCGGAGGGGGACUGGCACGCGCGAGUCAGGAAGCGGGUCGACGCCCGGGUCGGGUCGGUUUCGACAAAACGCGCGGAUCCUCUGGGUACUUAAGGCCAAAACGACGUCAUUUUAAGCGGGUAUAAAAGGCACUUCCAUCUGUUUUUCGGCAGAACUCUUCUCCUCUCUCUCUCUCUCCUUCCUUUUUCCUCUCCCUUCUCUCUAAAAAUUGAAGAACACCGGUGGAAUUUUCUCCGGAUUCUGGAAAAAGUCACUGGAAUUUGGAAAUUUUUACCGGAAGUUGGCCGGAAGAUCACCGGUUUCUGGGAUUCUUCGUCGGAAACUGGGUUGGUCGUCGGAAACUUCAAGUUGACCGGAAUUUUCACCGAAAAAUUCAAGUUUCGCCAGAAAAUUCAACCGGAAACUGGAAUUUUCCAAAAAUUCCUAGAAAAAAAAAAUUCGAAAAAAUUCCAAAAAAUUUCUAAUGAUUCCUGGAACUCUCCUAACCCUUUUCUUAGCCUUCUAUACUCUUCUCUACGCCUUUUUCUCUCAAAUCAGUAGCUUUGGCUUCUGUUUUCUGUGUGUUUAUUCUGUUCCAAGAGGUGCCUUUUAUGGGGAUUGAUCAGGAGUUCUUGAUCAAUCCCAAUUCCUCCUUGGACGGGAAUUCAAUUUUUGAGUCCAAUCUGGACUCUUCUGAUUGAAUUCCCAUUCACAAUGGGAUUCUUCAAUUUUCAAUCCCAACCCUCCAAAAAUAAAAAAAUAAAAAAUAAUAGAUAAUUAGAAAAGAAAAAAAUAAUAAUAAUCAGAUAAUAAAAAAGAAUCAGAUAAAAUUAACAGAUAAUUUAAAAAAUAAAAUAAGAUAAACCCAAAAAUAUAUUACAAAUAAUAAUAAUAAUAAUAUAAUAAUAAUAAUAAUAAUAAUAAUAAUAAUAAUAAAUAUAUACAUAUAAAUCUAUUCUAAAUAAAUACAAAUAUACAAAAAAAAAUACAGGAUAAAAAUUCAAUUGGGCCUUACUCAUUUGGGCCAGGCCCAAUUGAUCUGGGCCUGGACCCAAUUGGGUGUCUACAAACUAUAUGAAAAUUUUGUUUUGAUCAGGUUAUUUGUUUUUUUUUAAAUAUAAAAGAUAAUGAAAACAAUACCAAUCAAUUUACUUAGAGUAUAUCUAUAUCAUAUUUUUAUCAUGUUAGACAUAUGUAUAACAUAAGACAUUAUAAUAUCAAAUUCGUAUCAACACACAACACAAUACGUUUUUUCUUUUUAUCAAAUCUAUGUAUAAUUUUUACCAAAAUUUUAAAUUGUUUUGCUUUUAUAUUUUUUUCGUAUCAUUUUUAUUUUGUGUUUAAAAUUGUCAAAUCUAAAUUUAAGCUUAGCAACAAUUUUGUGAUCGGUUUGCACAUGAUUAAGCUCUCACAAAGAGAUGCCAUUGAAAAGUAGAGCAGGCAAACACAUAAACAUUUCUAUUUUCUAAAAUUGAGAAUUAACUCAAAUGAUUCACUCUCCUUAAGCAAGACAAGAUCAUAAGGUAAAAAUAUUAAAGUUAUUAUAUCAUGAUUAAAAUAAAAUUUCAGACAAAAUAAAGUUAUUCUUAUGAAUUAUGAAAGAAAUAAAACCAAAUCUAAGUUAUCUAAAGGUUCGGGAAUAUGAAGCAAUAGUAAAAGUUUUCAAAACCAAGAAACUAAAGAUGAAUUAAGUGCAUUGGUAUGCAUAAUUACAUACAAUAAAGUAUGUAGAUUCAUAUCAUAUUGAAAGAAUAUAUAUUCGAGGUAAUUCAUCAAGUUAAAGAAAUUACUAAAAAAAAUUCAUAUGAAGUUGAAACAAAAUUCUUCCAAAUUGAGGAAUAUAAAAAUCUUGUACAUUUUAAAAUAAAGAGUUAAAAAAGUAAAAUUAUGAUUUAAGUUUUUUAUUUAAAGAGUAAGAAUCAUAUGACUCAUAUUUCUUAAUGAUAAUUGUUUAAAGAAAAAGUUGCAUAUAAACCUAUAUAAUGUUUGUUAUGAAAUCCAAUUCCAUAACAAAUGAAAUUCAAGGAAUAGCAUUCUCAAAAAAAAAUUAUAAAUGAUUAAUUGUUUUAGAAUCAUGGUUAAUAAUAUAAUUUAUAUAUGUGUGUGUGUGUUAAUGACUUUAUCUUUUUGUUGCAAACCAAUAAGUUGCUAUUGAAACUUAAUAGAAAAUAAAAAGUUGAUAUAAUUCUAGACAAACACUGAAGCCAAAUAUUGUUAAGAGAAAUUACACAAAUAUAGAAUGAUUAUUUUGAUAUAUAUACAUCGUAAAAAAAUUAAUUAUUACAAAAAGAAAAAAAUACUUAUUGCAUUGAUGUUAAUUCACCAAAAGAAAUAAAAUUCACAUAUUUCUAAAAUGAUGAAUUAGACAAAAGGAUGUGUAUGAAAUAACAUUUUUCAAGAAAAGAUUAUAAAAGCAUGUAAAUUAGUUAAGUUUUUAAUUAAAUUUAAUAAACUCUUAAAAAAAGACAUUAAAAUUUGAUGAGUUAAUUUUGACUUAUAAUAUCAUAUAAUAAAAUAUACAAUUAAAUGUAUUUAUAAUAAGUUCAAAAAUUUUUCAUCAUUUGAAUAUACAAAGAUGAUAUGUUUGGUAUGGAUUAAGAGUAAACAAAAAAAAUAAAAUUCUUGUUUAGUCAUUUUUUGCUAUGAAAAAUAAAAUAUUGCAAAAGUAAUUCGAAAAAUAAAAGUAUUUAAAAAUGGCAAGUAAAUUUUUUCAAUUUUACUUUAUUAGAAAAAUUCUAAAAGAAAUCUAUAAUUAUAUAACGAUACAAUAUUAUCUGAUAAAGAAAUAUUGAUUGCACAGUAAAAUAUAUAAAAACAAAUGAUUGUGAGAUGUAUAUUAAGACAUACAUAAAAUGAAACAUUAUUUUUGUGAUAAACAAAAGUUAGUAGAUAUAUGAAACGAAAUAAAUUGCAUUGAGAUAUGUUAUGCACAACUGGUCAUUUGGGCAACAUGGGCAUCAAUUGGUCAAUAACAAGCUUAAAAAUAAGUAAUUUUGCGGGGUCAGCUUUUCUGUUGUGUGGAAGAAGCGCAACAUUGGUCCAAUUUGGGGUCACUGCUAGUUUGCUACAGCAACAUUGUUUAAAUAUUAUUUUUUAGGAAGAUUAAUUAGACGUCAAUUGUAAUAUUUUAUGUAGGAAAAUGGUCAGCCAAUCUCCAGCCAAUCAAACCUUAUCGCUUUCAAAAUCUUUAAGUUUCAAAUGUUAGGCUUGGUGAAUGUGAAUUUAUUUAUUUAAUUAACGUGUAUUAAUUUUUUUUAAUAAAUUUAUGUAUGCAAUAUGUGAUAUAUAAGUGUUCAAUUAGAAUAAUAAUUUUUAAUUUUAAUUACAAUCAAUAAAAAAUAAUUUCUCCAACUACUCGAUUCGUCGAUCACAUCAAAAUUUUGUUUUGUUCGAAUUAUUUUUUUAAAAAUAAAAGAUAUUAAAAAUAGAUAUAAUGAAUUUAAGCAAAGGUAUUUGAUUGUUUACAUACCUUCACUUUGGUGGAAAAAUUAUGUUGAAAGAGAUAUAGUCAAAAGUCUUACGCUAAUGGGAACUUAGUGGUGAACUAAUCUAUGCUCACGAAAACGCUAAUUUAAGCUAAAACAGAAAUUUAAACACUAACCUCUAAGUGGGUAGAGUUGAAGCACACUGAACUAAAGGUGCUUGAGCCGUUGCUGGAGGGAGGUGACUUCGUCGAUGCCGCCUGACUCGCCGGUGGUUGCAAGUUUCAUGGUGGUCGAAGAUGCAUGCAAGGAGAGAGCUGUCUUUUCUGGUUGUUAGAGAGAGUGAUUUCGCUCUCUUUCCUUUCUUGAACUGAAAUUAGUUUUCUGAAUAGGCAAUGUAAGUAUUUAUACAAGGAUGAGAGCAGGGAGCCUCUUGCUGGCAAAUAUCACCCUAUCCAACUAUGAGUAUAUCCAUUAUGAUAUAUACAAAAAUAACAUAGGUCACGUAAUACCCAUUAAAAAAAAGGACUAUUUUAAGUAUUUUUAUAAAUGAGGGACUCUUUAAUAAAGAAUGAAAAAUGCAUAUGACCUAUUGAUAAAUAAUCCGACUUUUAAUAGAGUUAACAUCUACCAUUUGUUUGGCUAACAAUUGAUCCAAAAAAAAAGAAAAAAGGCUUAUUCUCCUCUCUUUCUUAUACAAAGACAAAUUGAAGGAUUCCAAGUGAAGGGCGACAACAAAAUUUACAAUGAGAAUUAUUUGUCAAAAGUGAGUAAAUAAUUUCCUUUAAUUUUGGAGAAAUAAUGUUAAUUAUUAAGUUUUAAGAUGUAAUUUAUAAUCAAAAAACCCCAAAAUUUUAGAAAAUCCAUUAUCUCUCUUUAAGAUUAGUUUGGUUAAAUCAUUUAGACUUUAAUUAGGAUCUAGUUGAGAAAGUUUAGAAAUGUGAUUUUAUUGCUAUAAAAAUAGAAAAUAGAAAAUUGAUGGGAUUAGAAAGAAAAUUUUAUGUUCCGUAUGAACCUUGGUGUUUGCAGUGUUAGGUUAAAGUAAUAUUUUCUAUUAAGGGAUUAAAUACUAUUAUGAUUAUUAUAUAUCAUUGGAAAGCUUUUUGUUUACUUUUCAAUGAAAUAAACUAAAGUCAAUUCCGAGUUUUCAAUGAAGAGUAGUUUAAUUUUUACUUAAGGAUGUGCAAGCUGCCUAGUAGUAACAGCAGGGAGAAAUUUCAAAAUUCUUCUUAAUUUUUAUAUAAAGAAUUUUGUUUUGAGCCAUACAUGUUUGAAAAGUUCACUAAGUGUACUUUCCAACAAAACAAACAUAACUAAAUUCCGAGUCUCCUAUGAAUAAAUACAUAAUUUUUAUUAGAAGGUAUACAUACUAUCUGGCAGCAGCAUAUGAUGUGGAUUGCAAAAUUUAUUAUAAUUAAUCUACAAGGAAUCAUGAGAUCGACCUUAGAAAGCUUAUCGAGUCUAGUUUCUAACACAUUAAAAAGAUCUUAAUUUUGAGUUGGAUAUCUUAAGAUAUGGUUAUUUUAGUAAAAGGAGCUCUGGCUGUCAAUAUUAAUUAGUUGAGUUAACCCUUAUUUAACUUAAUUGUUUUUGGUAUAAUUGGUCUCAAAAUGGCUUAAUUGAUUACUGUUAUAUUGAAAUUAUCUUGAAUAGACCAUUAAUUAUUUAGGGGAAAAAAAUUAAGUGGUAGAAUUAGAAGGAGAUAAGUAGAAUCUCACACACUUUGCUUGUUUUCGAACCUAUGUAUACGUGUUUGUUUCUAAAUGAAUGAAUGUUUUAUUUCAUUAUUUUUGAUGAAUGAAAAUAGGAUCAAACAUAUGAUUAUUUUGCGUUUCUCUAUAUAAACGAUGGAUCAUGCUUAUGAAUGAAAUGAGAAAAUGAUUUAUGUUUAAAGAACGAUUUUAUGAUAGCUAUGAUUUUACAUCCUUGGAAAGUGGAAUCAUUGACACCAGAACUAGUCUACAACCCGGCUAACGGGUAAUAGUAGUUAGCAUAGAUAUAAUCAUAUGGCCCUACUAACGGAUUAUAGUAGUUAACGUAAGGGCUUGGUUAGCAGGUUAUAAUAGUUAGCAAUGAUCAUGAGGUUGAAAUUGUCGAUACAGCUAAUGUCACGGGUUAUAGCAGUGAUCAUAGCUAACGAUAAACAAAUGAUAAUGAUGAUUUAUGAUGAUUUUUACAAAUUGAUCCAUGAUUUGGUGACAUGUUUUGAUAUUGAUUUAUGAUCUACGAAAUGCUUGAUAGAAUGCUAAUUUUUGAAUUAUUUUUGACAUUAUGAGUUGAUGAAUGUUUUUGGAUUGAUCUAUAUAGUACGUAUGAAAACGAUGUUUGAUUCGAUAAGGUGAAUGGUGUGUAAGCCUAUACUUGCUGAGUUGUGGUUUGCUCAUUUCCCAUUUUUUUUUAUAGAUGAUAUGAUGCUAAGUAUGAUUAGUCGUAUGAGAAGCGAAAAGAAUUUGAGCAUUGGAGAACUAUUUAAAGAAUAGGAUUUUAUGAAGUAUUAUUUCUUUUAGUUGUAAUACUUAACAUUGAACCUUUGGAGACUUGUUAUUUAGUUAUUUUACAUAUAUUAAAACUUAUUGAGAACCUUAUUUUAUUUGAGGAUUUUUCAAUAGUUAUGGAUUAGGCUUUGUAUUGCUUUGAGAUUUUACUUUAAAGUAAUAUGGUCGUGUUAUGUCUCGAUCUUAGGGCAUGAUAUAAAGUGGCAUUAGAGCCAGGGUUUAAGACUCAGGAAAGGAAAGACCCAAUUAUAGUUAGUGUAGAACUUAAGUAUUUUUAGCAUUUAUGCUAAUAAGAUUCAUUUAUUUCAUUUUAAUCGCUUACGAAUUAUUUUUGUUAGUACUAAUUUAGGUGAGAAUAAGUGGUAGAAAUGAAACAUUGGUAGACCUUGCUGGUCGAAGGAAAAGAACUAAUAGGAAAAAUGAUGAAUCUAAAACCACCAAUGUUCGAGAUGAGCAAAUUAAUAUUGAAAAUAUUCCUAAUGCUUUUGUGACAUAAAAUGAUUUAGUUGGAGUGUGUUAGGUGGUGCAAACACAAGAAAAUCUAUAACAAUGUGAGACCACUUAUGAGCGAUUUUGGAGGGUUAAUCCACCUUAAUUUAAAGGUCUUCCUGAUCCUUUCGCUGCAAAAACUUGGGUUAAAAAGUUGGAAAAACUCUUUAAGGUGAUGUGAAUUUCUAAUAAUUUGAAGUUGAGCUUGAUUUUCAUUUAACUAAAAGAAAAAUCUAAGUACUAGUGUGAUACUAUAAAUCCCACAUUUGAAGAUUCAGCCAAGCCUUUGACUUAGGGAAAGUUUAAAGAAAUUUUCUUUAAUCAAUAUUUUCCAGAGUUAGUGAAAGUAGAAAAGAAGAAUGAGUUUUUGCAAUUAUAGCAAAAGCAUGAUAUGUCUGUGCUAGUGUAUGCCAAUAAGUUUAACGAGUUGGGAUGUUUCUACACUCACAUUAGUAAUUUAGAUAAGAAUAAGAUGAUAUGAUUUGAGCAUUAGUUAAAGCCAAGUAUUUGAUCUUGUUUGUCUUAUCACAUAAUUGAUAGCUACAAAGAUGUAUUACAGUGAGCAUUGAAGAUUGAGUCAGACAUGAAAAGAUAUGAGCAAUAGAAGAGUGAUAAGAAACCCUUAAGAUUUUAGGGAGAUCAGAGUAAUCACUAGAAAAAUGUGAGAGGAAACGUAGGUAAGAAAUGAAAGAUGAAAUUUGGUACUAAGCUCGAGAAAUGCAAUUUUUACGAUCAAUUUCAUUUUGGACCAUGUCUUAGGAAAGUAGCUGUUUGCUUUGAUAUGGAAAAUAUAGGCAUAUUGCUUGGGACUACCCAAACAAGAAGAAUGAUGUUAAUAAAGAUUCAAACUAACUGGUAAUCUUAGUACCACUUGAAUGAAACUCAUCUUCACAACUGAAGAGAAGAUCUCAUCAAAACCAAUGCCAAGUUUUUGAAAAAAAUCUUUCAUUGCCAAUCAAGCUUUGUACCUUACUAGUUUGUCACCAUCUUUUUUCAACUUGAACACCCAUUUAUUUUUUAAUGACUUCCUCCCUUUUAAAAGUUUAACAAGAUCAUACGUAUCAUUUUUUCACAAUGACUUCAUCUCUUCUUUCAUUACUUUUAACCAGUACUAUUUAUUUAGAAUAGUCUACAUAUCUUGAAAGCUAUCUGGCUCCCCCUUACUAAUAACUAAAAUAAAAUUUAAACUUAGAUACCUAAUGGAUGGCUUGUGCUCUCUGAUAGAUCUUCUAAGCUAAAACUCUAUACUACCUGAUUUUGAAAGUAGCACCCCCUGCUCAACACUCUCUAGUGGAGAGAAUUGCUCACCUUGUUUAACACUUUUAGGUAGAUAGCAUUACUUCCCUUGCUCAAAAUUGAUUGCAUCUAAUACUGUGGCUGGCUCAUUCAUAUCCCCAAGUUCUGUUUCUUGCUCAUUUUCAUUAUCUGUAGCUUUUUUCAAUAGAACCUUUAUAGGUGUUGAAAUAUCACACUUAAUAGUAACCUGUGUAGUAUUCUUAUUUUUCUCAAAGUCUGCUAUGGUUUCUUUUUUCAUGGAAAACCACAUCUCUGUCUCUUAUUGUCUUUUUUUUUUAAAUGAUCUCAUACCUUGUAGUCAAAUUCUUCGUCAUCACAUCCUAUAAACACACUACGUCGCUUUAUUGUCAAGCUUUGUCCUUUGCUUUUUUGGCACAUGCAUGAAUACUUUAUACUCGAAAACUUUCAAGUGAGAGUGUAGACACCCAAUUUGGUCCAGGCCCAGAUCAGUUGGGCCUGGUCCAAAUGGGUAGGUCCACCUUGUUUUUUUUUUUAUUAUUAUUAUUUUGUAUUUUAUAUUUUAUAUUUUAUUUUUAUUUUAUAUAUAUUUUAUAUUUUAUGUAUUUAUUAUUCAUUUAUUUAUUAUUACUAUUUAUUAAUAUAUAUUUAUUUUAUUAUUUUUAUUAUUUAUCUGUUGAUAUAUAUAUUAUUUAUCUAUUAAUUAAUAUAUUAUCUUUGUUAUUAUCUUUUUUUUUAUCAUUUUUUUCUAUUCUUUUCUUCUUUCCUUUACCCGAUUGGAGCUAGAUUAGGAUAGAAAUUUGAGUGCGGAAUUCAAUCAAAAUCCAGAUUAGAUUCAAAGACUAAAUCCCAAUCCAAAAGGAAUUAGGGAUUGAUCAGAAACUCUUCUGAUCAAUCCUUAUAAAUAGAUCCAUGGAUCAAAGGUUUGGGACAGGGAGAAAUAGUUACUGGCUGAGAGAAAAAGGCAGACAAAAGAGAUUUGAAAGCUGAAAAAGAGUUUAGAGGCGUUAGAAUAGCUUUAGGAAUCAGUGGGAAAUUUUUAGAGAUUUUUUUAUGAAUUUUUUCUGGAAAUUUUUGGAAAAUUUCUAGAUUUCGGAUGAAUUUUCCAGCGAUGGUUGAAUUUUUCGAUGACAAUUUCGAUCAAGUUUGAAGUUUUCAGCCAACUACCCAGUUUUCGAUAAGAAUUUCCAGAAAUCGACUAACUUUCGGGCGAACUUUCGACGAAAAACUCAGAUUCUGACGAAAUUUCUAAAAUUCGGUGAAUAUUCAACCGGAGUUCUUCGGGAAUUUUAAAGAGAAAGGAGAGAAAAGGAAGAAAGAGAGAGAAGGGAGGCUUGGUCUGCUGAAAAAAUGAAGGAAUCAGCCUUAUAUACCUUCCCAAAAUGACACCGCUUUUACGUUAAGUAACCCAGAGGAUCCGCGCAUUUUACCAAGAUCCGACCCGACCCGAGCAUCGACCCACUUUCAACCCGUGCGUGACCCGUCUCUCCAAGCCGCUAGUCGAGUCGAGCUGACACCCCGAGCCGCGUCUCCGAGCCAUUUUUUUUUCUUGAGCCGAGCCGAGCCGAGCCGUUCUCAGGUUUUUUUUUUUAUUAUUAUUAUUUUUUUCUUUAUUUAUUUAUUAUUAUUAUUAUAUUAGGAUUGUUUAAUUCUUUUUAUUUAUUUUCAUUUUUAUUUUAUUUAUUUAUUUUCUUUUCUUUAAAUAAAAUUCAAAAAAAAUAAAAAAAAACAUUUUUGAGGAAAAGUUGAAAGUAUCAAUUUUUUUCGAAAUUAAAAAUUCCAAAAAAUAUUUUUAGGGAAAAGUUGAAAGUAUCAAUUUUCCUUAAGAAUAAAUUUUCAAAAAAGGUUUUUUUUUAGGAAAAGUUAAAAGUAUCAAUUUUUCUCGAAAUUUAAGUUUUCAAAAAAAAUAUUUUUGGGAAAAAGUUGAAAGUAUCAAUUUUCCCUUGUACAAAAGUAAUCAUUUUUUUCUUUUUUUUUUUAUUUUCUUUAAUGAUAAAUAAUCCGACGAUGGAGCCUCUGUAAGUUAAACAAUAGUUUUCUUGCAUGCUCUUGAGGUGAGGGGAUUUUCUCAAUUUUCUACUAAAAAUUUUAGAGUCAAUUGAGAAUAAUUUUCAAUAAUUAAUUACUUGGUAAAUUUUUAAGGUUUAUUGGAUAACACAAAAUUAAGCUGGGACCAUCUUUUGAUGGGCGUUGUGAGGGUGCUAUAACCUUUCUCACAUGUAAUCAAACUCCCGAACCCUGUUCUGGUUAGUAGACCCAAACUUAUUCUUUUAGGGACCCUUAAACUCAGGUGUUCCCUGAAAGGAUAGAUUCCUUAGGUGGCCAAUCGCACUUAGAUAAAAAAAGAUUGGUGGCGACUCCCUUAAGUCAAUGUCUAGCGAUAGAUCCCCAUAUCUAGACGUUAUGACAGCUUGGCGACUCCACUGGGGACCUCUGAGAGUCAGGCCAGCAAAUAAAUUUUUGUUAUCUAAAAGCCUAAUAAAAUUGAACCUUUUGUAUAGAUUUUUUAUUCAUUCAUGUUAUUUACUUUAUUAAUUAUGUCAUUCAUAUGCAUAUGUAUAACAUGAACUCUAUACCCAAGCUCCGUCCCUCUAUGAGGGAGUAAAGUACCUAUUGCUUUCGUAAGGUUUAAUGCCUCCGCAGUGGCUAAUGAAAUACUCCCAUUCAAAUUGAACCUUUUUCGCUUGUAGCCUGUAAUGGGUGAGGAUUAGGGUGCCUUACUAGUCUGUGAUGGACAAUGAUGUAAGAAGCAAUUUGGAAACUUUUAGACUUUAACCUUGAACCACAUAUAGUGAACCUUAGAAGUGCCUAACCCUAAGAUAGAGCCUUUUCUACCCAAUGAUAGAUAGACCCUAAAACUAGGACACAAAAAGGGUGUUUAUCUAAUUAUUUUGAUUGUCUGACUUUGUGCAUCAUUUUCAUUAUCAUAUGUAACAUUAUACAUCGGCAUCACUUUCAGUUCAUCUGUAAAACUAACUAUGUUGCUUGUCAAAUUUUGUGCAUCUGUAUAAUUUUCAUGAUCAUAUUUUAACACAAUCAUUUGCAUCCAUUUCAUAUUAGAUUUCAUCCAUAAAAGUGUGCAUUUCAUUCGUGCAUCAACGCAUCAUAUAUAAAGCAUAGCAUAGCAUUUCUAAUCAUAAUUGUGGUGCUAGAGGUUCAAGGAUAGCUCCACCAAACAACCCCACUUACUAAUACAAUACAAGAGCUCAAGCCAAGACUAAUGGAACAAGAAAAUUUCAAUCAUCUCGAGCGAAUAGAGAAAGCUCAGGAGAAGUUAGAAGGGGAGUUUAAUAAGAUUUUGGAGGCUUUGAACAAGCUAAACAAGGGGAAGGUAAUAAAGGAGAAUGCUAGCCAACAAGAGGAGGAUGACUCACUAUACCUUCCUCGUUUUGAGCUACAUCAAGUCCAAUUUGCACAACGUCCACCAUCAUAGCAGUUCACUUAUCUUGUAGGAUACACAUAUCCCAGAAUGCUAUGAGAUUUAAAUCAAGGAUAGUACCAAAGUUAUAUAAAUUCUAUCUUUACUGAAAAGGUAAUAGAACCAAAACAAUCCCUAAUUUGGAUGAUCUAAAAGAAUAAAAAAUUAAGGCCCAAAGAAAAAGAGCUUUUAAAAGCCUUAAAAGCUGAACAAAAGAUAAACUUGUUAGAGGAAAGGCUACGAGUAGUGGAAAGAGUGGGUUUUGAUGGUUCUACCGAUGUUGAUGGACUCUGUUUAGUCCCGGAUGUAAUUAUUUCUUUGAAGUUUAAAGUGCCAGAGUUCGAGAAAUAUGAUGGUACAAGGUGUCUGAAAACUCAUAUUACUAUGUACUGUCAAAAAAUAGCUGCCCAUGCCAAUAAUGAAAAGUUCUUGAUGCACGUCUUUCAAGAUAGCCUAACAAGCUCUGUCAUUAGAUGAUAUGUCCAGUUGGACAGGACACGCUUUUGUUCUUGAAGCGAUAUGGCUCAUGCUUUCAUUAGUCAAUACCGGUAUGUAAUAGACUUGGCUCCUGAUCGUCUUCCUUUACAGAAUAUGGAGAAGAAAGCAACUGAAUCAUUCAAAAAAUAUACCCAGAGGUGGAAAAACAUGGCUACUCAGGUACAACCUUCUUUGACUAAAAAAAAACCACUGUAUUGUUUGUUAGCACUUUGAAAUCUCCCUAUUAUGAAAAAAUGAUAGAGAAUGUCACAAAGAAUUUCGCUGACAUGGUGAUUUUAGGCAAAAUCAUUGAGAAUGCCAUUAAAAAUGGCAAGCUAAAAAGGAGGAGAAACCAAGAAGGCACCCAAGAAGAAAGAGACUGAAGCUCAAGUUAUAGGCUUUGACAGAUAGUUCAAGGGAUAUCAACCCUAUCCACCCUUAGAUUACUCUCCAUAUUAUCCUACUGUGAACAAUACUUCAUCUUAUCCAUACCAACCAGCCCCACAACCACCUAAUUCAUCCAUAUACCAGCCCAUUUUUAUCCCCCAAGCUCCCAUAUACAACUUUAACAGUCAAACUCCUGCAAGAACCCAAAUUCGCCCUACUAACCCAGUAAGUGGUUCACGAGAACAACGAAUUACUCGAGAAAAACUUGUAUUUGAUCCAAUCCCCAUGACUUAUACCGAGUUAUAUCGAGAACUUUAUAAUAACCAUUUGAUUGCCCCCAACCAUGUGGAGCCACUUAAGCCACCCUAUCCUAAGUGGUAUGAUCCUACAGCCCACUACGACUACCACUAUAGAAUUACUAACCAUUCUACUAAAAAUUGCACUGCUUUAAAGCAUAAGGUGUAACGGUUGAUCAAUGAUGGAAUGGUAAUUUUUUAUCAAGGAAAAGAAACAACACCCGAUGUUAGUGCUCUGAGUGACAAUCAAGAAUACAUUGAUCAGAAAGGGUCCAGAGAGUCACAAUGAAUUGAGGGGCAAGAUGUCAAUAGAGAUUCUUCACCUGAUCGUAUAGGGGGACAAUUUUGGAGAAUAGAGAUAAGGCUGGUUGAAAGUUUUUUUUAUCAUUUUAGGAUUUCUUUUAGAGUAAUGUCAGGUUUCUUUUUUGCAAUAUGAUUUCACUUGUUAUCAUUUUAAUAAAGGCAAGUUAAUACAUUUCAUUACAUUUUCUCUUUCACUCGACCAUUACUCCAUGCUCUGUCAUCUUUCAUAAAUUCACAUUCCUAUUUUCAAAUUUCAGAUGAUGAAUAUUUAGACAAUGAUAACAAUAAUUCUAGGAUUUAAUUUUGAGAACUCAUCCACGUUAAUACGAGAAGAUAAUUUAAGCAAAAAAGUAAGCUGUUACCAAAGGUGAAAUAGAUAUGUCUUGAAGAUGUGUAAUCUUUUAUAUAGGUUUAUGAGCUUUGUUCAAUAGACAAUGUUCAAGAAAGGUAUUCACAAUUGAGAUGAAAAAUAGCCAUCUUUCUUUUACCAUUCGAAAAACCAUUUAUUGUUACCCCUUUGAGCCUAUUAUGAUUUCUUUUUCUAAAGAACCCCAACCAAGGAUCACCCUCUACACUGAGAGGUAAUUUUUGAAAAAAUGUCACGAAAGGUCUCCAAAAUGAAAAAAAAAAAGAAAAAAUAAAUGUCACACAUGACUUGGGGUAAAGUAAUGAGAAUCUUCUGUGUGAGGAAAGAAAAAAGUAGUGAAAUGAUGUGGGGGCAAAAUGCCAAGUUGCAUCAAAUGAUCCUUUGGUCUUGAACCUUUUUAAUACAUGUUUUGAGCCUAUUAUAUCCAUUUCUUUUAUGACCCUUCACCUUGACCUACAUUACAACCUUGAAAAGUCCAUUUGAAUCAAGUGUGAAUGCUCAAAUUGAAUGAUCAUAUAUUGGGUAAAGACAUGCUCAUGAUGAAACAAUGGAAUCAUGCUACAUUGCUCUAAAGCUUGAUGUGUGAAAGAUAUCAACAAUGGAUGAAAAAAAGAUGAAGAAAAAAAAAUAAAAAAAAAGAAAGAAGAAAAAAUGAGAAAAUGAAAAAAAAGAUUCAAAUUGAAAACCUGAAAGGGUGAUUUUGGUAGAAAAAGAUCCAGGUCAAAUGGUUCACAUGGAUGAAGAUCAAAACAUCUGAAGAUCCUCAAGACUGGGGCAAAGUUCACCAAGCUCAAGAUGACUUCAACAGUAAAUGGAAUGAGUUUUUGAAAAAGAAUCCUAGAUUAAUGUUAAAAAUUGUCUGAAUGUUCAUCAUUUGGAUAUACCAUUCAUCCCAAUGACAUGUAUCCAAUUUAUUUCAUUUCCUAUUUGUUUUGUACCAAAAUAGAUCUUCAUUGAUUAUCUUUACCAUAAUUCACCUUAUGUUCUCUUAUUGUUACACCUCUAAAGUGAAUUGAGAAAAUGCUUGAUUGCAUUGUAUUUGUCAAGAUUUGAAAUGAUAAUGAAUGAACGAAUAUGUGCUUAAAAGAGUCUUGCAUUCAUUUGAAAAGAAAUCUAAGAUGAUGGUGGUAACAAAAUGAAAAAAUAAUUUGAAAGGACAUAUGAUGUGACCAAAUAAAGAAUAUGACGAUGGAUUAGACAAUAAAAUGAAGAUGAGGCAAAUCUUAAAAAGUGGUAUAAUCAAAUGAUGAAUAUGGGGAUGUAUUGGUUGAUAUAACCUAUGAGUUAUGGUUAAGUGAUGAAAAUGAUAUGGAGCAAUAAACGAAACUGGUGCUGAAAAGCUUGUGAAUGAUGACCAAGGGAUGAGUACAAUGAUGAAUUAGUCAACAUGACUUGCAAGUUAUGAUUGAAUGAUGAAAAUAAUCAGUGGACAAAGUUUGUUUUGGAAUGGUUAAUGCUGAGACACCUAUGAGUAAUGACCCAGUGAUGGUGGAUGAAACUUGUUCUGAAAUUUGUUAUUGCUAAAAAAUCCAUGAAUGGUGGUCAAGUGAUGAUCGAUUGAUGAAACUUGUUCCAAAGUAUUGAGAAACUAAACAAAUGGUGGAGUUUUAAGAGCCAUAUUACCAUAAUUAUUUAGAAUUUUGUGACAUAGACAUCAGCAUUACAUGCAUCAUGGUAGCAUCAUUGCUUGAAUAGUACAUGCACAUAAUUUGAUGAAUUAAACUUUGUUUGGACAUGCAUAGCACUAUGAGAAUGUAGGUUACAGUAUUUACAUAAUUAAGAAGGCAUUUGCAUCUUUGAUCAUAACAUUCAUUCAUGCAAAUUUUUUAGUCACUUGAAAAAAUAUGAAUAUCUUGAUGAGAAUUUUUUAGAACUCAAAUGAGAAUCUUUGAGUUUCAAAAUGAGAAUCUUUGAGGAGUGAAACCCUAAAGUUCAUCAAAUGUGAAUCUUCGAACAAAUGAAAAGUUUUGGACUUUUGGAUGUGAAUCUCCAAAAUACAAAGCUUCAACCUUUUGGAUAUGAACUUCUAAUGUUUAAAUGAGAGCCUUUGAGCUUAGAUGUGAAACUCUAAGUUUUAUUGCAUGUGAGCCUUUGAACUCAAAUGAAAAGCUUUGAAUUUUUGGAUGUGAAUUUCUAAAAUUCAAAUAAAAAGCUUUAGAUUUUUGGAUAUGAAUUCUAAGUUUGCCAAAUGAGAACCUUUGAAAAGUCUUGAACUUUUGGAUGCGAGCCUCCAAAGUUCAAAUGAGGAUCUUUGAUGUGAGUCUUGCAAGUUGCAAAUGCAAAUCUUGAGAUCUUGUAAAUUUGAAUGAAACUGAAAUUUCAAGAAUCAAAUUUUAGUAAAUUCUUACGAAGUUGAAAGGUUUUUGCGAAUUUGAACCUCUGAAUAUUGAACUCAAAUUGUGAAUCCUUGAGUUCCCAUUACAAAAUUCCUUCAAUCAUGAUCUAUAACUCUUUUGGACAUGACUGUCAAUGAGCAAUUUAUUUUUUCCAAAGUUUCGUUGCCUCUGUUUAGAGGAGCAAUUUACUUUCAAAGUUGUUGUGCCUCUGUUUAGAGGAGUAAUUUACUUUCCAAAAGUUGAGGUACCUCUGUUUAAAGGAGCAAUUUACUUUUCAAAGUUGUGCUGCCUCUGUUUAGAGGAGCAAUUUACUUUCCAAAAGUUAUGGAGCCUCUGAUUAGAGGAGCCAUUUAUUCAUUUUCAAAGUCGUUGAACCUCUAUUUAGAGGAGCUAUUUAUUUUUCAAAAUCGUUGAGCCUCUGCUUAGAGGAGCUUUGAUCAAAUUAAAAAAAAAAACAAAAAAAAACAAAAAACAAAAAAAUAAAAAAAUAAAAAAAUUUGCCUCUGUUUAGGGGAGCUUUGUUUAUUUUUGAAAGUCGUUGAGCCUCUAAUUAGAGGAGCUUUAUUUAUUUUCCAAAGUCGUUGAGCCUCUGAUUAGAGGAGCUUUAUUUAUUUUUCAAAGUCGUUAGGCCUCUGAUUAGAAAAGCUUUAUUUAUUCUUCAAAGUCGUUGAGCCUUUGAUUAGAGGAGCUUUAUUUAUUCUUCAAAGUCAUUAAGCCUCUGAUUAAAGGAGCUUUAUUCAUCUUUAAAGUUGUUGAGCCUCUGAUUAGAAGAGCAUUGUUUAUGUUUUUCAAAGUCUUUGAGCCUCUGCUUAGAGGAGUUUUGAUCAAAUCUUAAAUACACAAAAAAAAAUGAAAAUGAAAAUGAAAAAAGAAGGUCGAGUUGAGUCAUGAAUGGGUGUCUACGUCUUUGCGCAAUUUCUGUUUCACAGAAAAUAUGCAAAGAGGGGCAGCUGUAAACACCCAAUUUGGUCCAAGCCCAGAUCAGUUGGGCCUGGUCCAAAUGGGUAGGUCCACCUUGUUUUUUUUUAUUUUUUAUUAUUAUUUUGUAUUUUAUAUUUUUUUAUUUUAUUUUUAUUUUAUAUAUAUUAUAUUUUAUGUAUUUAUUAUUCAUUUAUUUAUUAUUACUAUUUAUUAAUCUAUAUUUAUUUUAUUUUAUUAUUUUUAUUAUUUAUCUAUUGAUAUAUAUAUGUAUUAUUAGUUAUCUAUUUAUAUAUAUUAUUAUUUAUCUAUUAAUUAAUAUAUUAUCUUUGUUAUUAUCUUUUUUUUAUUAUUAUUUUAUUUUUAUUUUAUCAUUUUUUUCUUUUCUUUUCUUCUUUUCUUUACCUGAUUGAAGCUAGAUUAGGAUAGAAAUUUGAGUGCAGGAUUCAAUCAGAAUCUAGAUUGGAUUCAAAGACUGAAUCCUAAUCCAAAAGGGAAUAGGGAUUGACCAGAAACUCUUCUGAUCAAUCCCUAUCAAUAGAUCUACGGAUCAAAAGAUUGGGACAGGGAGAAAGAGUUACUGGCUGAGAGAAAAAGACAGACAAAAAAUAUUUGAAAGCUGAAAAAGGGUUUAGAGGCGUUAGAAUAGCUUUAGGAAUCGGUGGAAAAUUUUUGGAGAUUUUUCUGUGAAUUUUUUCAAGAAAAUUUCUAGAUUUUUGAUGAAAUUUUUUACGACAGUUGAAUUUUUCGACGACAAUUCCAGCCAAGUUUGAAGUUUCCAACCAGCUGCCCAGUUUUCGAUAAGAAUUUCUAGAAACCAACCAAUUUUUUUACGAACUUUCGACGAAAAACCAGAUUUCGACAAAUUUUCUAGAAUCUGGUGAAUAUUCAAUCGAAAUUUUUUGAGAAUUUUAGAGAGAAGAGAGAGAAAAAGAAGGAAGAGAGAGAGAGGGAAGGCUUGGCCUGCUGAAAAAAUGAAAGAAUUAGCCUUAUAUACCCUCUCAAAACGAUGUCGUUUCUGCGUUAAGUAACCUAGAGGAUCCGCGCGUUUCGUCAAAAUUCGACCUGACCCGAGCGUCGACCCGCACGUGACCCAUCUUUCCGAGCCGUUAGCCGAGCUGAACUGACACCCCGAGCCGCAUCUCCGAGCCAUUUUUCUUCUUUAAGCCGAGUUGAGCCAAGCCGUAAGCCAAGCCGUUCCUAGGUUUUUUUUUCAUUUUUUAUUAUUUUUAUUUAUUUAUUUAUUAUUAUUAUAUUAGGAUUGUUUAAUUUUUUCUUUUUUAUUUAUUUUCAUUUAUUUAUUUUUUAUUUUACUUUCUUUAAAUAAAAUUUUAAAAAACAAAAAAAUUUAUUUUUGAGGAAAAGUUGAAAGUAUCAAUUUUUCUAGAAAUUAAAAAUUUCAAAAAAUAUUUUUAGGGAAAAGUUGAAAGUAUCAAUUUUCCUUAAGAAUAAAUUUUCAAAAAAGGUUUUUUUUGAAGAAAAGUUGAAAGUAUCAAUUUUCCUCGAAAUUAAAGUUUCCAAAAAAGUAUUUUUGAGGAAAAGUCGAAAGUAUCAAUUUUCCUUAAAAAUAAAUUUUCAAAAAAAAUUUUUUUUUUGAGGAAAAGUUGAAAGUAUCAAUUUUUCUCAAAAUAUAAGUUUCCAAAAAAAAUAUUUUGGGGAAAAGUUAAAAGUAUCAAUUUUCCAUUGUACAAAAGCAAUCAUUUUUUUCUUUUUUUAUUUUUUAAAAAUUUUUUUUAAUGAUAAAUAAUCCGACAAUGGAGCCUCUACAAGUUAAACAGUAGUUUUCUUGCAUACUCUUGAGGUGAGGGGAUUUUCUCAAUUUUCUGCUAAAAGUAUUAGAGUCAAUUGAGAAUGAUUUUCAAUAAUUAAUUACUUGGUAAAUUUUUAAGGCUUAUUGGAUAACACAAAAUUAAGCUGGUACCAUCUUUUGAUGGGCGUUGUAAGGGUGCUAUAACCUUCUUCACACGUAAUCGAACUCCCGAACCCUGUUUUGAUUAGUAGACCCGAACUUAUUCUUUUAGGGACCCUUAAACUCAAGUGUUCCCUGGAAAGAUAGAUUCUUUAGGUGGCCAAUCGCACCUAGAUAAAAAAGAUUGGUGACGACUCCCUUAAGUCAAUGUCUAGCGAUAGAUCCCCGGAUCUAGACGUUAUGACAGAGAGUAUGAAGCAUCUUUCCCUAUCCACAAUCUUUUUGAAAUGUUAAAGCCAAAAGAAACUGAUGGUGAUCUAUUAAACAAAUAACAAGUUGUGUUGACUAAUUCAUCCUAUAAUGGCUUUGGUAAUUUUGCCAUCCUCAACACAUAUUUGAGUUUUUCUAUAAUGGUGCAGUUCAUCCUUUCAACUAUACCAUUAUGCUUUAAUAUUUUAGGUUCUGUUAUCUCAUGCUUUAAGUAAUAUUCUCCAAAGUCUUUGGAUGUGUAUUCUCUACCAUUAUCAAUCCGAAUACACUUUAAGGGCAACCUUGUCAUCUUUUUCACCAUAGUAUAAAAUUUUUGAAAAUACCGCAAUACCUGGCUUUUGUUUUUUAAUAUAUACACUCAAGUCUUACAUGAAACAUCAUCAAUAAAAAUAAUCAAAUACCUAUUACCACCCAAUGACUUAAUCUCAAUGAGACCAUAUACGUCAGAAUGAAUCAAUUUCAAUUUAUUUUCUUUUCUCUAAGAACUCUUAUGAAAAGAAAUUCUACGAUUUUUGCCAAACAAACAAUGAUCACAUGAACAGAGAGACAUACUUUUGUUCAAAAUAAUGAGAGAUUGUCUUGCCAAAACUUGUAACCCUUUCUCACUCAUGCGUGCCAGCCUUUUGUGCCACAAGUUUGCUGAAGCAUCAUCUUCAAUGGCAUUUAUCUAAUUGCCAUUUAAUUACAUCCAUGUCUUGUACAUUGUGCAACAUAAUUUUUCUCUUGCAAUUACUAUAGAUCUUUUGAGAAGCUUUCAUUGCUUAUUCUUUUGUCGACUUUGAUAUUCUUCUUUAUUAAGGACAUUAAUCGCAAGCAAGUUCAUUUCAUAUUUGAAAUAUGUCUAAUAUCCCUUAAAGUCAACAUGCAACCCAUACUAGUUUGUAUAAUGAUAUCACCAAUCCUAAUAAUCUGUGACACAUUCUUGUUUUUCAUCUUAGUGUAACCAAAAUUUUCUACUUUGUAAGUUAUAAACAAUUCUCUCUUAGGAAUAUAAUGAUAUACCACUCUUAUGUCAACUAUCCACUCAAUGUCGAGAUCACCAAUAUGAUUACAAUAACUAUGUGUACAAAUCAAAGUAAUUGAAUCACUAUCUGAAUUCACUGCUGCAACAUUGCCAUCAUCUGAACUUGUGUCUUUCUUAUCUUCUGCUCUUGCUUUAAAAUUUUGCAGUAUCAUUUUAUAUGGCAUGGUUUAUCAUAAUAGAAGUACUUCACUUUAUCUUUGGACUAAGAUCUAUGGUUAGACUUACUAUAACUUUUUGAGUUUUGACCUCUAUCGAUGUUUCUAUCCCUAUUAUCUAUGAUAAGAGCCUGAUUCUUAGGGUUUAAAUAUUUUCACCUUGCUUCUUUAUUAAACAUACUGUCCUUUAUCAUCUCCAAUAUCACUUUGUAAUUAUGAGCUAAAUUAAGAAUAAUCACAGCUAGAGUAUUUUAAUUGUCUGGCAAUAAACCUUAAAAAAAGAACGCCUUCAUUUUAUCAUCCAUCUUAAGCUCCAUAGUAGUCAUUUGAUUAAAUAUAUCUUGAAAAUCACUCAAGUACUCUGCAAUCAAUCAUCUAUCCUUGUACUGUAAAGUUACAAGUUUUUUAAUAAGCAUAACUUGAUUCAAGCCUAUUUUCUUCUCAAACAAUGCUGUUAAUUUUUUUCAAAUAAUCUGGGUGCCUGUCUCCUACGCUACAUGAUGAAAUACACUAAUAUCAAUCCAUUUUUUUAUUGUAGCCAAUGUUUUUCUACCUAACUUUUUUUCAACUUUUAUCUUUCGUAUAUGUUGGUUUAACUGAAUCCUCGAAUAUUGACUCAUACAAAUCUUUAUAGUAUAAAUGAUCUUUCAUUAUAGGCUUCCAAAUUGAAUAAUGUGAUGCUAUCAAUUUUGUCAUGGAGUAUAUAUCAUUCUCCAUAAUCUCAAAUAGAAUUUACUUCAAUCUUGGGUUGCUUGUGUGUCAAUGUCUCAAAAUAACUCUUGCUUUGAUACCACUUAUUGGCCUAAAGUAAUAAAUACAAUAACGUAGAAGUAAUAUAUUGCAAUAAAUCAAUAGCAAUAGACAACAAUCAAUAAUCCAACAAUACAUAAAAAAUAAAGCACACCAAAAUUUACGUGAAAAACCUUUAAGUGUAGAAGGAAAAAACUACAAACCACCAGAUUGUUUAAAUAAUUGAUAAACAAAGUUUUUCUCUAACUAAAACUAGUGCUAAUCAAUAACUAGAGAGACAAUUGGAGAAAUAUCACCAAAUGGAUGACUCAACAAAUACAUUGUAGAUUUGUUCCUAGAUAGUUUCAAACCUUAAUCUUUACCGUUCAAAAUAUAGAAUUAUGAAUUAGUAACUUGCUGACAAAAUUUCUACCAAUCUAACCAUAAAUCAACUUCCAUUUAACCAACUCUCCCUUUUCCCUUUUCUCUCUAUUUUCCUAGUUUCUUUUCUUUUUAUUUGACGCCACACUCUGUCAUUCCAUGCCAACAACAUAGCCCCCUCUUUUAUUGUUUAAGGCUUUAUUUUAGGUUAAAAGUUAAAAGCCCAUGACCUUUGAUUAGCUAAAACAAUUACAUGGGGCUGAACCCCAUAUAUUCCUAACAGAUUUGAGUCAUAAGAGUAGUUUUGCCAAUGCCUCCCAUUCCUUAUAAAUCGAUGAUUAUUGUUUGAUCUUCAUUGAGGUAGUUCCAAAUAGUAGUAAACAUAGACUUCAUGCGUACAGUUUGUUCACAAGACUUUAUAUCCCCUGGUGCUGGAGGUAGUGUUUCAGCCACCUUUUCAAAUUGGCCUUUCUUUAUAUGUCUUCUCACCUUUUUUAACGUCUUGGUAGCAUUUUUCCUAACUUGUAACUAGAACAACAAUUUUAGGGGCAACAAUAUCUAAGACAUUUUUUUUUCAUGAUCAAUUUUCUUUAUCAGAUAUCAACUUAUUCUUCCAACACCUCAACCCUUGAAAGCCACCAUUCAACUUGGUCAAGCUGCUUCAUAUGAUGCUUUUUUAUUCACAUCAUUUCUUAAUGCUUUUAGUUCUUCCAUUUUGGUUUCAAGAACACCCAUAUUUUUCCCUACUUUGUAGGCAUAACCUGUGUACUUUGCUAUGUGAUUGUAAAAAAGAGAUGGUAGUCUCAUUUGAAAUCAAGACAAAGCACAACCCUCUUUAGUACACAAAAAAAAUUGCCUAAAGGGUGAAAGAAACAGAUUUACCAAUCAACUUGUGUUGAAAAAAGAAUGAGAAAAUAAAAAAGAUUGAAGUUUGAAAAUGCUAAUUAGCAAUCCAGAAUGUUUGACUAUAAUUUGGCAUAGCAACACAAUGAGAAUUAUGAUUCAAUAUUUUUUGAAUAAAGUAUUGAUUUCGUCACUACUUCCAAGAUCCAGCCACUUUGAAAUGGAAAAGUGAAGAUAAACGUCAAAGUGGUUUUCAUAUUUCACAUUGAUGAAACGAAACAAGACAUAUAUAUAUAUAUAUAAAAUAAAAUUGAGUUAGAUUAAUAUUUUAUAAAGUUAAUUAAUGUGACUACCUCAAUGAAUUAAGCAAAAUAUAUUAAUUUUCUAUAUUUUCAAUUUGGUGGGUAGUUGAGUCAUACUAAAACAAGCAGUUUCAAUUUUUUUUUCUUCCUUCUAAUCCUCUUUCUGACUUUUCAAAGGGCCAAAUAUGUAAGAAUAAUAUCUUGUUGUUAAAUGAACUAGUUUCAAGAUUAACUUAUCUCCAAAGAGUUUUAGGAAGGAUUCUAUUUUAUACAUCUGCCAGUAAAAUGGUAUCAUUUUAUAUUUGUUAAGUAUUAAAUUUUUUGUGAUUUUAUAUUUAAGUUGAAUCUUUUCAUUUAUUAUAAAUUAAUUUUAGAUUUGAUGGUUGACAUUAUAUUAUAGUUCAAAUUUGUUGUUGCUUGUUAUCCAAGUUUUUUGCUUGGUAGACUAUUAUCUCCCUAUAUAUCUAAUGAGAUAAUGUUCCAUAUCGACUGCUUCUACGUUGAAUGUCUUGUUAUUUAUAAAAAUUUCAUUGAUCUUGUCACAAUGCUUAUCCUGAUAUUGAUUAAAAAUAUAUUUUUUAUUUUUUCCUUUAUUUUUUAAUUAAAUAAUUUUCUAAAAAAAGACAUUAAUUUAAUAAAAAUAUUACAUUUAUAUAUAAUUAAGAUGUUAUUUAUGUUAAAAAUUAUAUUUUUAUGAAAAUAAUACUAAAUUAAAAUUAUUGACUUAGUUUUGGGUCAAGUCAGGUCAGAUACAUGUUGCGCAUAUAUAUAUAUAUAUGGGGUCAGUGUCAGGUACAAAAAAUCUGAUGUCGAGUCAGAGUGAAGUUGGAUAGAAUUAUUAAAUAGUCGGAUCGAUCUCGAGAUGAGUUUAAACCCAUUUUGGCCCAAUCCAUUGUCAUCUCUAAUUGUAGUUGUUUACAUGGCAUUUCAAUUUGGCUUUUUUUUUUCCUCUUUUCCUCUUUUCCUAAUUUUUUUAGUUAUUUUAUUUUAUUUUUUAAUUAAAAUAAAUUUAACAAUGAUAAUUAAUUUGAUGAAUUUCAAUACUUUUAAACAAAUAUUACGCAAUAUGAUAACCUUAAAAUUUUUGAUGUAAUCAUGAUCAUUCUUCAACUUAUAUAAUAAAGAAAAUAAAAGGGGUAUAAAAUGUUUCUCCUAAUAAAAAAGUUGUGAUGCCUCAAUCCUAUAUCAAGAUAAUUGAAAGUUUUGCUAUGAUAAAUAUGUAAAGAUAUAAUCCCAAAUCUAUGAGGUACUUUUUAUAAGAUAAAACUAUGAGACCUUCGCGUCAAAGUAGAAAAUACUUUGUAGGUUGGGUGUGAAUCUUCAUCAAUGGUAUCAAAACAGUCACUAAUCAAAUGAAAGCUAAAUACUAUGCUGUAGGAGCCACCUCUAGAAUUCUACACGAGCUAAGUACUACACGGUGGGAACCAUCUCUAGAAUCCCAACAUCUGGUGUGAUCUAUGUGUGUUUUGUGUUAGGUUUACCCAAUGUUUGGUGUGAUUCAAUAGAUCUAUAUACUUUGUGUUGGGUUUAACGAGGAUGUCAAACUUUAACUGGGAGAGUUUGUGACGUUCUAAUUUUAUAUCAAGAUAAUUUGAAGUAUUACUAUAAUAUAUAUGUAAAGAUUUAGACUCAAACUUGUGCGAUGCCUUUUAUGGGACAAAACUAUGAAACAUUCAAGUCAAAGUAAACGAUACCUCGCAGGUUGGGUGCGAGUCUCGACAAAAGUUUUAUAUUGAUCCUAAAAAAUUUUGAAACCAUUAAAUUUGCAUAUUCUUCAUGAAAGCAUCAUAUAGCAUUAAUUUUAUGUUAUAUAAAGAAGAUAGAACUAUACAUAACGAUUCAAUCUUUCGUCUCAUUUUUUUUUCUCUGGAUAAUCUUCUAUUGGCAUUUUCAUCAAUUGAAUAUAAUUCUACAUUCUAACAAUUGAAAACUUAAUUUUUCUUUUAUUUAAAAAUUUUAUUAUAUAUAAAUUUUUAUUAUAUAAAAAUAUUACAAUAUAUAUAAUUUUAAAAAUUACAAUUAAAUAAAAAAUUUAAUUAAUUUCUCUUUUGAAUUAUUUCAAGGAAUUAAAAGGAUUUAAUUAUGUUAUCAAUUAUCAAAUGAUUAACUCAUAAUACAUACAAACAAUAAAAUCAUUAACAUACAUAUAUAUAGUUAGCAAAUCAAUUAAAACAAAAACUUGAAAGGAAAAAAAAAUUAAAGAAAAAGCAAAUAUACUUUAAUGAUUUAAUUAUAAAAAAUGAGUUUAAUAAUAAAAAAUUAAUUUAAAUUAAAAUUUAUAAAAAAAAAUUACUAUGGUACUUUAAUCAGCAUUUUUAAUAUUUUAGGAAUUAAAAAUUUAGUUAGUGUAUUUUAAUUAAUUACUUUUAGCACUUUUUUAGUAUUAUUAUAAAAAAUUUUAAUUAUAAAAAAUUAAUUAAAAUUUAUAAAAAAUUAACUAAGAAUAUUUUAGCAAAUCACUUUUAAUACUUUUAGAAUUAAAAUUCUAAAAUUUUAAGUAGUUUAAUUUCACAAAAAUUCUAUUUUAAAUUUUAGGUAAUUUAAAUUAAAUUUAAAUAUAUUAAUAAAAAUUAUAUAUAUUUAAAACUAAAUUUAUCAGUUUAAAAAUUUUAUUUAAGUCAAUCAUUUUUCAUAUUUUUGAAGUUCAAUAAAUAAUAAUUUAUAAUUAAAGAAACACAAAAAGAAUAUAAAUAGUUACGACUUACCACAGGCAUAGAGAAUGGAAUAGGCAAGGAUUACACAGGUUUAAAUCAAAAAAAAGUUGGUAGCAUAAAUAAAAUAAAACAAAUUGGGAUAUUUAGGUUGAAGCUAAAAUUAUUUACUCAGCAUUAAAAUGCAGCCUAUAUGUAAAUCCAUAUAAGCAAAAGAUUCACCAAUUUUAAUGUACAUGAUGCAAAUGAGAAAAUCAUCCACGAUUCUAGAACACAUUGCAACAGGUUCAAACACAAGAAUUAUAACAGAGACUAAAGGUAAAAGUAAUAUGUUUACUCUGCAAUUUCAGUCAAGAGACGUAAAACAGGGAAGAAAAUCGUUUAGAGCACAUUCAUCCUCCCAUUGAAGCUUUUUCCACCAUUCUUUCUUACCUCUAAUGCUGAUUUUGUUUUCCUUUGCACUGUUGGAGUUGAGUGGAAGUCUUUUCAGCUUUGGGCACCGAUGAACAUAAAUUUCUUUCAAACAUGAGAAGGGAAGUGUAUCCCAGUAAAUGCUCUUCAACUCUGGCAAAAUCCGUAAAUAAAGAUACUCGAGUUUUCCAAACAGGCUUAAAGUUUCUACCAGCUCAGCCACUUGACUCAGUUUUCUCUCAUUGAUUAUUUCUUCCAUGUUGCUGCAGCCUAUCACACGAACAUUUCUCAGGUUUGGAGCGACAAUUAGCCAUGUUAUAUCCUUCAAUUGUGAACAUUGCAUUAUAGAUACAUAGCGAAGGCUUUGGUAGCAAUGUUUGCUUACAAUCACAAAGGCUUCAAUGUGACUCUGUGCUUUUAUCAUUCUGCCUCCCCACUCCAUCUCCACUUCUUCCAAACUUUCACACUUCCUAAGGUCUAGAUAUACUAGACUCUUCAUAUUCGCUAAAGAUAAAAUAUUCAAUCGCUUCGAGUCCUUUAACAAUUGAAGCUGAAUAUAUAAAGUAAAGCUGCAUAACCUUUCAGUACUCAAAAGUCUAUCGAGACCGAAAGCACUUCUAAUAGUGACAGUCAACACAUUCAAAUGGUUCAAGCACUUCAAUUCUUCCACCAAACAUUCACUAUUAUCUUCCACUUCCUGGCCCAAAGAAUAAUCACAGCCAAACAUUCUCAAUACUUGCAGCUUUGAAAAAGCAGAUAUCAACUGUCUUGGAAUUCUUACGCCUGGACUAAGGCAUUCCAAGUUCACGCAUUUAAGCUUUUCUAAGGCCUUCAAUUCAGUUGGUAGCUGUCUUAUCCCUGUAUAGGAGAGAUCGAGACUUUCGAGAGACACCAAUUUCGAAAUUCCCACUGGCAAUUCUUCUAUACCUGUAUUGCUUGACAAGUUUAGAACUUUUAAGCCGCACAUAAAUUGGAAGAAGUCAUUAUUGAUCACCUUCAACUGAUUAUCGUUCAGAAACAAAGUUUGGAGAUCAGGACAGUUAGGUGCUUCUACUAGAUUUUCAAUCCUGUUCUUCAUCAAUGACAUCCUGCGUAUGCUUCCCCAAUUCUGAACUUCUGGUAACUUAGUUAAUUGAUAACCUGCCUCCACAAAAAACCCCCACUUUUCUUCUUCACACUUACAUGUUAACCACAAACUCAUGUCACGAAUCACAUCAUGCAUCUUUAUGCGAAAUUCAUCUAUUUCUUGCAAUAAACAUGCAUGAAGAAGAGAACCAAUGAUGUGGUGGCCUUGGUUUCGAGCUAAACUUGUAUCGCCAUGUCCAUCCAAAAACCCCUCCCCUAUCCAGAAAUCUACAAGCUUAUCUUUUAUAAUUUGGUAAUCCUCCGAGAACAAACUACAGUAUAAGAGGCAAGUUCGAGUCAUGUCAUUGGGAAGAGAAUCAUAACUGAAUUUUAGAAGUGGAUAUACCUCUUCAUCCAUGUCUGGAAAAACAGAGGUAGAUGAUCUCCGACACACUUCAAUUGCAUAUUUCCAUUCUUCAACCGUGUUCUUCCAAGCCAUGGCACGAGCAAUGGUGACAAGUGCGAGAGGCAGUCCUCCACACUCUUUGGCCAAUUCAUGAGCCAACUCACGAAUACAUGGAUUACCAUCAAGUGUUUCUUCACCAACUUUCUCUUGAAAUAACUCCCAAGCUUUUUCUUCUGGCAAACAUCGCACUUCAAUCUUCUUAUGAGCUUCCAUUUGGCCACACACCUUGAUAGAACGAGUUGUGAAAACUAGUUUGGAACCAUUUUCUUGAGUGGGGAGAGGUAUCCCAACCUUAGAUAGAUCAACUCGAUCCCAUAUAUCAUCUAACAAUAUAACAAAUUUCUUUACCUUUAAAAACCUGAAGAUGUUCAGAGCUUUUUCCUCUGGAGUUUUGUUCUGCCAUGUUCCACCAGCUAUUCCCACCCUUUCAGCAAUGUCAUCUUGGACCUUUCCGAUAUAAAACCCCUUAGAUACUACAAUCCAAAUAACUACAUCAAAUCGAUUUGGGGAUUCACAAAACUUGUUGUGGAUUUUGCUCAGGAGGGUUGUCUUGCCAACCCCUCCCAUGCCAUACAAGCCAACAAUUCCCACUUGUUCAGCUUCAAGGAUGUUCCAAGCCUUAUCGAAUGUGGAUUCCAAACCAACAGUAUGCUCAGUAGGUCGUUCAGUCACCAGAGGUGUUGGUUCCUCCUCAGCCACCUUGUCAAAAACUCCUUUGCUCUUAUGAUCCACAACACCUCGGAGCAUUUUGGCAAUUUGCUUCCCAGACUUUAGGUUGGACUUGGGACUCAUAGAACAACAACCUCCCAUACAUAAUUUCUUAAUUUCCUGAGGGCUUUGCACCGUCAACAAAUCAGCCUCAUUUAUCAGAGUUUCUGCCCUCGAAAGCCAGCCUUGAACUUGGUCUAGCCGUAUCAGCCGCUGCUGAUCUUCAGCUAUUUUCACUCUUCUGAUCACAUCAUUCCUUAGAUCCGUCAAUUCUGCUAUUGCAGUUUUUAAAGCUUCUACGUUUUCUUCAAGCUUGCAUACAAAAUGUGCUUGUCUGGCAACACAAUCACAGCAACGGGUAAUGACAGUGUCGCAUGAAGCAGAGAUUGAGAAGAUGUUACCCAUACUUGGCUUUGAUUUCAAAUAGGGAGUUGAACAAUUUCUGAAAAGGAGAAAAAUGAAUGAAAUCAAAGAUGCUUUUUGGAUUAUCAACCAAAGGGUGAAAAAAUGAAAGAAAGAUAUGCAGAAGUGCAGAGAAGGCAGAGAAUAUCUCCUGGAAGUUUUAUUUUUGCACGCUAAUUCUAACUUAACCAAGGGUGUUGGGAGUAGUUGUGGGAUUACUACUAUUUGGCACUUUCUACGUGUUUACUCCAUUAAAAAUUCUGUUUGCUAACCGAUUUAACAGGUAAUUAUACCACAACCUACAGAGAGAAACACAUCAGACAAUUUACAUGUAAUGAUUUGAUUUUUUUAAAUUUUUUGUAGGAUCAAAUAAUAAUUAUGUUAAAUUGGUUCUUGUAACAAUCAUGCAUGUAUUUUUGUCAAGCAAAAGAUGCCUUAGAUGUCAAUUUGCAAUAUCAUAUUCUUAUGCAAAUACAAGUUUUAAAAAUUACAAAUAUUUAAUACACAAAAUUUUCAUAAAUCAAAUAGCCUAAUUUAAUUAUAAGUUAUCAUUAAACAAAUUUAAUAGCCUAAUUUAAUGAAAAAUAUUUUAUUUUUUAAUUAAAUUAUGAAAAAGUAAAAAAAAAAAAAAGAGAGAAAAAAUAAGAAUAAACUAGAAUAAUUAAACUAAUGAGAAACUUAAAAAAAAAAAAAAAAAAGGUCUUGGGAGAAGUUGAUGUGGGAUUACUAGUAUUUGCAAUUUUCUACUAGUUUAUUCCAUUAAAAAUAUUUGGUUUGCUACCCAAUUUAACUGGUAAUUAUACCACAACCCACACAGAAAAACACAUUAGACAAUUACAAGUAGAUAUAAUCAUAUGAUUAUGUUUUUUCUAAAUAAAAAUCAUAGGAUCAAAUAAUAAUUAUAUUAAAUUAAAUUAAAGUUGGUUUAUUGUCACGCAUGUAUUUUUCUCAGCAAAAGAUGCCUUUUGGGGCCGAGAAGGCUUUUGGCACCUAUCCUUGCGGUAUUUUACGUUGGCCAGAGAAAAUAAAGAGGAAAGUGCACAAUAAAACAAAGCCUCAUACUUUGAUUGACAAGUAUUUUGGCAUCAACUAAUCAAUAAUGAGCUUACAAAGUUAAUAAUGUGGGGUUGGCUUUUCUGUUGUGGUCCAAUUUGGCGUGCACAUCCAUGACUAAUUGAACCAAGUCACUUUCCAACAAGAAUAUUGAUUAAAACUUUUUCUUUUUUCAAUGGACCUAAGGAAGACUCUUUAGUUGUCAAUUGCAAUAUCUUACAUCGAAAAAUAGUCAGCCAUUUUUAAGAAGAAAAAUAGUAAGAAUAAGCUUUUUAAAUUUUAACUUUUAAAUUUAAGUCUUUCUGCAUUUGAAUUUAGUUUAAUUUUAUUUUGAUUUAUUUAAUUUAUUUAUUUAUAAAUGUAUGAAAUAUGUUAACUUUUUUAAAUUAUUUGAUUGUAAUGAAAAAUUUUAAUUGUGAUUACAUUUAAUAAAAAAAAUCGUUUCUCUAAAUUCUAAAUUCAUCAAACCUUUGUUAUGAAAACUUUGCUUUGAUCAUUGAAUUUAAGCAUAGCAAUGGUGUUUUGAUCUAUGUGCACAUGAUUAUUCUCUCGCGGAGAUAUAAAAUUAGUCCAAUAAUCAAUUCAUUUGGGAAAAAAAUUUCACAUAUUCUACGUUUCUUGUAUGAAGGAAAAGAAUUUAACGUGAGAAGAGGUUUCGAGAUCUUUGCCAUGAAUUGGAUGUUGAGGCUGCCCUCAAAAUCUUCAUUUUGUAACUUCAAAACAUACAUUAUAUGUGUAAAAGGUGCGAAUGAAAUUAAAUUUGGCAUGCACAUCUACAAUUAAGUCAUUUUUAAAUCAUAUUUGAUGCAUAAAAUUAUUGGUAAGAUAAAAUAAUAAUUAUUUUAUAUUAUAUUUGAUUUGUAUUUAAAGAAAAGGAUUCAAUUUUCUUAAAAUGGAGAAUAUUAUUUUUAAUUUAUGAGAUUAAACUUAUAUGUGCAAAUAUACCUUUAAAAAUUUUAUCAAUAAUUUAAAUUGUAUAAACUAUAAGAAAAGAUAAUUUUGAUAAAUAAAUAAAUUAACCUUUUCUAAUUCUAAUAAAAUAAUAAUUUUUUUAUUUUUAUUUUAUUCAUAAUAUCAUUUUAUCUUAUCUUUUCAUAAUUUUAAUUAUCGAAUAUGAUUGUAAUUUCUUAUAACAAAAUUAUUUAAAUCUUAUUUUUUUGGGAAGAUUAAUUAGAUGUUAAUUGUAAUAUUUUUUUAUUGACAAAUGGUCAAUCAUUCUCCGGCCAAUCAAGCCUUAUCUCAAUCCUAAAGCUGCAUUUGGAAUCGAAUAGGGUCCAGUGGAGAUACUUUUUGUAUGAAAAAUUGUGCCAAAGGCAUCAUGCAUUUCUUAAACAAUAUUAGUGCAAUAGGAGUUGAGUUUCAAUGCGCCAUAUCCCCUUUAUUUCACUGGCCACUCCCCCCCUGCAAUGAAAAAUUCUCCUCCCCACCGCAACAUCCUUUCCUAUGAUGCCUUUACUUUCUUUCUUUUUAUCUUUUUUACCCCUCAAACAAUGGUGGAGGAACAAAAAUGUCCCUUAGCUUUUAGCUUUGUUUUUUUUAUUAUUUUUAUUAUUUGUUAUUUUGUACAAAAAUAUAAACAAAAAAUAAUAAAUUAUUAUUUGAUAUAAAAAUAAUUUUAAUAUUUUUUGGUUUAUUAAUGAAAAUAUUAUUUGAUAGAAAAUAAUUUUAAUAAUUUUUAAUUAUUUAUUAAUAUCACAAAUAUCAAAUAUAUUUUAUAAAUUUUAUUAUAUGUAAAUUUUAAUUUAAUAUCUUUAACGAUCAUUUUAUCUUUUUAUUAUAAUUUACAUCAUUGCCACCUCUGCAUUUGCAUCUAAAUAUAUAUUAUAUCAUUGAUUUUAAUAUUAUCGCUACAGUAAUCAAUCUUACUAUUAUAGUAACGAAUUUCAUCUUCACAACUAUUUUCAAUCUUAUCAAAAUCAAUCGCAUCGUUCAUCCAAAUCGAUCUUAAGAAUGAGCUUUUAAAAUCUUUAAGUUUCAAAUUUAAGUUUUAUUAUAGGUGAAUUUAAUUUAAUUUUGUGUUGAUUUAUUUAAUUAAUUUGUUUUUUUUUAUAUAAAUGUAUGUGUGUAAUAUGUGACAUAUGAAAUUCUUUCAUUACAAUAAAUUUUUAAUUGUAAUUACAAUCAAUAAAAAAAUAUGUUUAUAAUAAAUUCAUCAAUUACAUGAAAAGUUUGUUUUGAUAAGGUUAUUUAUGUUUUUAAAAUACAAAAGAUAAUGAAAAUAAAACCAAUGAAUUUAAAUAGAGUAUAUCUAUAUCAUAUUUUUAUCAUGUUAAACAUAUGUAAAACAUAAAAAAUUGUAGUAUAAAAUUCGUAUCAGCACCCACACAAAACCCUUUUUUUUUAUCAAAUCUAUAUAUAAUUUUUACCAAAAUCUUAAAUUGUAUCACUUUUAUAUUUUUUUUCAUAUCAUUUUUAUUUCAUAUUAAAAUUAUUAAAUCUAAAUCUCAACUUAGUAACAAUGUUUUGAUUGAUCUGCAUAGGAAUAAGCUCUCACAGAGAGAUGCCAUAAAAAAACAUACCAGUCAAGCACAUAAACAUUUCUAUUUUCUAAAUAUGAGAAUUAACCCAAAUGAUUCACUCUCUUUAAGCAAGAUAAACCAUAAGGUAAAAAUAUUAAUGAUAUUAUAUCAUGAUUAAAAUAAAAUUUCAGAAAAAAAAAUGUUAUUCUCAUGAAUUAUGAAAGAAAUAAAAUCAAAUCUAAGUUAUCUAAAGGUUUGGGAACAUGAAGCAAUAGUAAAAGUUUUCAAGAAAUUAAAGAUGAAUUAAGUGCAUUGGUUAUGCAUAAUUACAUACAAUAAAGUAUGUAGAUUCAUAUCAUACUAAAAGAAUAUAUAUUCAAUGUAAUCAAUCGAGUUAAAGAAAUUACUAUAAAAAAAUUCAUAUGAACUUGAAAUAAAAUUCUUCCAAAUUGAAGAAUAUAAAGAUCUUGUACAUUUUAAAACAAAGAGUUAAAAAAAUAAAUUAUGAUUUAAGUUUUUUAUUUAAAGAAUAAGAAUCAUAUGACUCAUAUUUCUUAAUGAUACUUGUUUAAAGAAAAAGUUGCAUAUAAACCUUGUUAUGAAAUCCGAUUUUGUAACAAAUGAAAUUCAAGGAAUAGCAUUCUCAAAAGAAAUUAUAAAUAAUGAUUAAUUGUUUUACAAUCAUGGUUAAUAAUAUAAUUUAUAUAUAUGUAUGUGUGUGUGUUAAUGAUUUAAUCUUAUUGUUGCAAACCAAUAAGUUGCUAUUGAAACUUAAUAAAAAAUAAAAGUUGAUAUAAUUCUGGACAAACACUGGAGCCAAAUAUUGUUAAGAGAAAUUACACAAAUAUAGAAUUUAUAUAUAUGCGUGUGUGUGUGUUAAUGACUUAAUCUUUUUGUUGCAAACCAAUAAGUUGCUAUUGAAACUUAAUAGAAAAUAAAAGUUGAUAUAAUUAUGGACAAACACUGGAGCCAAAUAUAGAAUGAUUAUUUUGAUAUAUAUGCACAAUAAAAAGAAUUAAUUAUUACAAAAAAAAUAUUUAUUGCAUUGAUGUUAAUUCACCAAAAGAAAUGAAAUUCACGUAUUUCUAAAAUGAUGAAUUAGACAAAAGGAUGUGUAUGAAAUAACUUUUUUCAAGACAAGAUUAUAAAAGCAUAUAAAUUAGUUAAGUUUUUAAUUAAAUUUAAUAAAUUCUUUAAAAAAGACAUAAAAAUUUGAUGGGUUAAUUUUGACUUAUAAUAUCAUAUAAUAAAAUAUACGAUUAAAUGUAUUUAUAAUAAGUUAAGAAAAUUUUCAUCAUUUGACUAUACAAAGAUGAUAUGUUUGGUAUCGAUUAAGAAUAAAUAAAUAUAUAGAAUUCUUGUUUAGUCAUUUUUUGGUAUGAAAAAUAAAGUAUUGUAAAAGUAAUUUGAAAAAUAAAAGUAUUUAAAAAUGACAAGUAAAUUUUUUCAAUUUUACUUUAUUAGCAAAAUUCUUAAAGAAAUAUAUAAUUAUACAACGGUACAACAUUAUCUAAUAAAGAAAUAUUGAUUGUACAAUAAAAUAUGUAAAAAUAAUUGAAUGUGUGAUGUAUAUUAAGAUAUAAAUAAAAUGAAACAUUAUUUUUGUGAUAAACAAAAGUUAGUGGAUAAAUGAAACGAAAUAAAUUGCAUUGAGAUAUGUUUUACACAACUGGUAACUGUACACAUUGAAAAACACAUCAGACAAUUACAUGUGAUUGCAAAAUUAUGUUUUCUUUUAAAAAAAAGUAUAGGAUCAAAUAAUAAUCAAAUCAAAGUUCGUUUCCUGUCACAAUCAUGCACUAAUUUUUAUGGCCAAAAGAUGCCUGUAAGGCUGGGGGCUGAGGUGAUAAAAAGGAAGGUGCACAAUAAAGCAAUGCAUUAUACCUUCGCGAACACAUUUUGGGCAUCAAUUGGUCAAUAACGAGCUUAAAAAUAAUUAAUUUUGUAGGGUCAGUUUUUCUGUUGUAUGGAAGAAGCACAAAAUUGGACCAAUUUGGCGGUCUCUUUAGUUUCCUACAGCAACAUUGUUUAAAUCUUAUUUUUUAGGAAGACUAAUUAGACGUCAAUUGCAAUAUUUUAUGUAGAAAAAUAGUCAGCCAAUCAAACCUUAUUGCGAUUAAAAUCUUUAAGUUUCAAAUGUUAGGCUUGUUGAAUGUGAAUUUAUUUAUUUAAUUAAUGUUUAUUAAUGUUUUUCAUAAAUUUAUGUAUGCAAUAUGUCAUAUAUAAGUGUUUGAUUAUAAUAAUAAUUUUUAAUUUAAUUACAACCAAUAAAAAAAAUAGUUUCUCCAAUUACUAAAUUCAUUAAUCACAUGAAAAUUUUGUUUUGAUCGAGUUAUUUUUUUAAAAUAAAAGAUAUUAAAAACAGAAACAAUGAAUUUAAGCAAAGUAUUUGAUUGUUUAUAUACCUUCACUUUGUAGGAAAAAAAUUAUGUUGAAAAAGAUAUAGUCAAAAGUCUUAGGCUAAUGGGCAUUAACUGUUGAACUAAUCUGUGCUCACCAAGACACUAAUUUAAGCUAAAACAGACAAUUAAACACUAACCUAUAAGUGGGUAAAGUUGAAGCACAAUGAACUGAAGGUGCCCGAGCCACUGUUGGAGGGAGGUGACUUCGUUGAUGCCACCUGAGUCACUAGUGGUUGCAGGCUUCAUGGUGGUCGAUGAUGCAUGUAAAGAGGUAGCUGUCUUUUCUAGUUGUUAGAAAGAGUGCUUCUGCCCUCUUUCCUUUCUUGAACUGAAAUUAGUUUCCUUAAUAGGCCAUGUAACUAUUUAUACAAGGAUGAGAGCAGGGAGCCUCUUGCUAGCAAAUAUCACCCUAUCGAAUAAUGAGUAUAUACAAAAAUAACUUGGUCACAUUUUGAUCAAAAUCAUACUAAUGCGAUUGGAUAUGUCAUGAUUUGGUUAGUCUAUCAACAUGAGAUUACUACAACACCAACUUGACAUAGCUUUGUCCCCAUGUUAGUAAGUUUUGGCACAUUGUUAAUGCUUAAUAUAGUUGCUUGUAGCUUUAGUAAAAUAUCAAGAAAGAAAAGCCUUGGAUCAUUCAGCUUGUUGUAGAAGCCAGAUUUCUUAGUAAAUUGUUCUAAAAUUUUUAUUUGGUCUAUUGGUUAAUAUGAUUAGUUUGUUGUACAAAAUGCCACCCAAAAUUUGUCUUUGAAGCACCUUGUGAGUGCAUCUUUCAUUUAUCUACAUCUUCUGUUUGAUGACAGAAAUCAAAUCAGCGAGUUCAAAGCUUACAUUAAUCGCAAAAGUAGUUCGGAAUGAAUAACCUCCCCUAGUAAAUGCUUAUGCGUCUUCUACCAAUCACUUAGGAUGUGUAGUAUGCUUUAUCAAACCCAAACCUAAAAGUUGGCUAAAGAGUUGGCAACUAGGUUUUAAAACAUGAUAACAAAUUUCUACAUAGCUUGACAAGUAAGUAAACCAAUUGAUAUGUCAAAAUUUAAGUAUCUGAACCUGAUCGGUUGACUUUGUUAGAUAGAGCUUAUGCAUUAAUUUGAAGAGGGAUUUUCACUAGAGCAUGCAGUAUUGGUGAUUGCCCUUUAAUUCAUAAAUGAAUUGAGCUUGGAUGAGAUGGUGUUAAGUUCAUAAUUUAUUGAAUGAAAAGGAAAUUGUGGUUUGAACAAAAAAAAAAAAAGAGAGAUUGUGCAGUAUUAGAGAUAGACAAUGUCGGCUGGUUUAUAACACAUUAAGGCUGUUGUCUUCAUUUUUUUGGUUAUUGCAUUAUAGAAGCUUCCUAGUGAGAGUACCUAUUGCACUUUUGAAACAAGCGUACAGAUAAUAAUUUGUGUUGUUUCUCCUAACAUGGAAUGUAGAAUUUAUGAUGUGUUCAACACUUUAAGUAUGUUUUAACAAGUCAGAUUUUAGUCUCAUGGUAUGUAUGUUUCACUUUAAUAUUUGUGUGUGUAUGUCUUCCACAAAAGAGAUAGAUAUCAGUCCAUGAAAGUUAAAGAUUAGACCUUGACUAUAACUAUUUUUUUUACUACUUUCUAAACUAUCUUAAAUAUUAAAUUUCAAGCCCUGUAUGACCUGAUGAUAAAUAAAGUUGCAUUAACAUAGAAAAUCUCUAAUCAUAUGGUUUAUUACAAUAUAAAUUCAAGUUCUGUGAGUUCAUUAAAGGUAUGAUUCUCUUACUAUAAAAAGAAAAAGGAGAACGAUGCAACAAACAUAUAGAUUUUUUGUUAUCAAGAAAAAGUAAUCAAUGAUGAAGAGAAGCAAUCAUCUGCAAAUCUCAUGAUUUUAGGCAUGAUUCUAGCAAUGUAAUAUGAAAGUUUCCAUGCUUGAAGGGAUGUUCCUAGCCUAUAUAUUUUCUAUUAUUCUUUGGUAAAAAGCAGAAUAGAGUUUUCUUUGUCCUUAAGCAAUCUUUUAGAUUGUUCUUUAAGUUCUGUAUCUCUUAGGUGAAUUUUCUAGAGUUGUGAACUUUUAUUAUUAUGUAUCAUUGAUUAGAAUUUUUAGGGUGGUAUUUUGUAUCCCUUAGUUUCUAGUAUUGGUUGUGAACUUUUAUCCUUUUUAAUCUAAUAAUACCAUUAUUCAAAAUCUUGUGAGUUAUCUUCUUUGUGACUUUUUUUUGUUUGUAGUUAAUCUCCACAUCUCAAACAUUAAUUUCCAACAUCAAAUUGGUAUCAGAGCUAUGGUAGGUUAUCAUCAUCAAGCACCAAUAGAAGAUGUUAAAGCCAACACCGAUGUUGUAGCAACUACCAAUGUUGACCUAAAGAAUGCCUUCAUUGAGGAGAUGUGACAACAGAUCCUUCAACUACAACGUAAGCUGCAUCUACAAAAAGAAAGAUCGAAGAUAAGGUGGCAACGAAGGAGGAACGAAAAAGGUAAAGGAUAAACUAAUCCAUAUCGUGGAAACAACAGUGAUUCUGAUGACAGUACCCUAUCUCACCCAUGACAAGUUAGAGACUAUCAUUGCAAAAACCAGCUUCAACCUAGCAUAUCCAAUCCAAAGAUAGAAAUUCUUAAGUUCGAGGGAAAGAUGCAACUUGAAGAAUUUUUAGAUUGGCUACAUAUGGUGGAACAUAUAUUUGAAUACCAUGAUGCCUUGAACAUUGCAAGGUGAAACUAGUGGCCAUCAAACUCAAGAAGCAUGCAUCUUUUUAAUGGGAAAAUCUAAAAAAGCAAAAGGAAAGUGAUAGCAGGAGAAAAAUUACAACAUGGGAGAAAAUGAAAAGAGAGUUGAAGAGAAAGUAUCUCUCAGAUAACUUUCGAUAAGAUUUUUCCUUAGGCUUCAUAACUUGAAGCAAAGGGAUAUUUCGGUAGAAGAAUGCAUUAAUAAGGGAAACAAAUCCAAGACCAGUGUUUCUACCAAACCUUCUUCAACUCUACCCUUAAAAAAGGAAAAAGCCAUUCCCAUCAAACCACAAUUUAGUACUAUCAACACUCAAACCCAAAGAGACUUCAAGAGCCAAGGAAUUAGGCAUACACAUUUUAAGUGUCCAAAUCUCAAGAUAAUUACAUUAGUUGAAAAUGAAAAACUUGAAGAUGUUGAUGGAAAACCUAUUAAAGUACCCUGGGAUCUUAAAGUAAAUGUCAAAAAGACAUAUGGUGAUCUUGAAUCCUCACUUGUUAUACAAUACAACUUGAGUGAUGUGUAUAUAGAGAAAGGAGACUGGUUGCACAAGAAUAAAUUUCACACUAAAAGCACUACUCAUAAUAAGGUAUGGGAUGUUAUAAUUGAUAGUGAAAGCUUUGAAAAUGUUGUUUCUACUUUUAUGAUGCAGAAAUUAGAUCUUAAAAUAGUAGAUUACCCCCAACUAUAUGAAUUGUCUUAGCUGUAAAAAAAGAAUGAAAUCAUGGUUAGCAAGAGCUGUUUGGAUCAUUUUUCCAUAAUGAAGAAUUACAAGGACAAAGUAUGGUGUGAUGCAGCUCCGAUAGAUGUUUGCCGUUUACUACUCAGAAGACCUUGACAUUAUGAUAGGAUGGUUAUUUAUAAUGGUUACAGCAACACUUACACAUUUGUGAAAGAUGUAUGCAAAAUCAUUAUAAGCCCUACCAAGCCCAUAGUGAUAUCCAAACCAACCAAAAGGUAAGGAAGUAGUUUAUUUACCAAGGCCAAUUACAGAAAGAAAAUUAAGAUGGGUGAUACUAUGUAUGUACUGGUGUUGAUUGAGAAGAAUAAAGAUAGUGAAGAGCCCCUUGUAGUGAUACAGCAAUUAUUGGCAGAAUUUCAAGAAGCUGUUCAGAAGGAGUUACCAGCUAGUCUACGACCAUUGAAGGAAAUUCAACAUUGCAUAAACCUUAUCCCAAGAACCGUUCUACUCAUUGUCAUAACAUCUAGAUCCGGGGAUCUAUCACUAAACAUUGACUUUAGGGAGUCGCCACCAAUCUUUUUUAUCUAAGUGCGAUUGGCCACCUAAGGAAUCUAUCCUUUUAGGGAACACCUAAAUUUAAGGGUCCCCAAAAGAAUAGGUUUAGGUCUACUAACCAGAACAGAGUUCGGGAGUUCGGUUACGUGUGAGGAAGGUUAUGGCACCCUCACAACGCCCAUCAAAAGAUGGUACCAGCUGAAAUUUGUGUUAUCCAAUGAGCCUCAAAAUUUUACCAAGUAAUUAAUUAUUAAAAAUUAUUCUCAAUUGACUCUAAUACUUUUAGCAAAAAAUUGAGAAAAUUCCCUCACCUCAAGAGUAUGCAAGAAGAACUACUGUUUCACUUGCAGAGGCUUCGUCGUCGGAUUAUUUAAAGGAAAAUCAAAAUCAAAAUCAAAAUAAAAAGGAAGAAAGGAAUGAUUUUCCUUGUGUAGGGAAAAUUGAUACUUUCAACUUUCCCCAAAAAUAUUCUUUUGAAACUUUAAUUUCGAGGAAAAUUGAUACUUUCAACUUUUCCUCAAAAAUUGAUUUUUUUUGAAAAGUUAUUUUUAAGAAAAAUUGAUACUUUCAACUUUUCCCAAAAAAUAUUUUUUGAAAAUUUUGAUUUUCAAGGAAAAUUGAUACUUUCAACUUUUCCUCAAAAACCCAUUUUUUGAAAAUUUAUUUUUAAGGAAAAUUGAUACUUUCAACUUUUUCUCAAAAAUAUUUUUUUAAAAAUCUUUUUUAUCUUCAAGAGUUAUUUAAAAGAUGCUCGACAAAUCAAAAUUUCUUGUGAAACAGUUUAAACUUACUUGGUAUCCAACACGAGAACAAAUGAACAUCUUCUUGCACCACCUUUGCUUACGAGAUGGUGAUUAAAUUAAGUGCAUCGAUUCUUGGCCCUUUAAGACACCGAUACAUGUAUGACGUUUCAACAAAGUCAACCAUCUCCUUCUCAAUAGCAAACCUAGUCACUUCAACCACUAGGCGAGGUGUAACAUGGACAGUCUCCUGACAACCUUAAUGAGUUAGUUUACAGGAGGACAUCCAAAGGAACCUCAUGUUAUAGUAGCGAUGCAAACCAGAAAACAAAGCUGCAUCCCCAAAUGGGCCAAGGCAUCCCAACAAGAAGUGAAGUUUUGUUGCUGUAUCUAAAUCCCUUAACAACUGCAGCAACUACCAUUGUUUUAAUAACAAUCACUAAUAUUACAGCUGCUAGCAAUAUAUCAACGUGAUUCCAAAGGAAAUGCACAUGAAUCAACAUCCCCAAUACUGGCCAGGAAGAGAGCAACAAAGCAAUUGCGAAUUUGCUCAACUUGUUCAAGUGUAUGCUGAUUCAACUCAGAGGUUGAUAUCAUCAUUCCAGCAACAAAUGAACCCAGCUCAUCACCAAACAGCAAGCAAGCAAAAAUGCUAUGGAUGUCAACUGAUAGAGCUCCUUAGUCAAUGAUUUAGUCGUGGAUAGUACUCCCUAAAGGACACCAGAACUGCCACCUAGAACUGAAGUAAAGCAAACAGCAAACCCACAGCACAGUCCUCCACAUAACUGCAAAAAGCAUAUAGCGAAAUUGUUAUAUCACACGAACAUGUGAAGAGAAAAUUUUGAAGAAAACCUCCAAGGACAGCAACUGCUCGAAUAACGCGAAGCUUUGUUGUUGAAAACUCCAAGCUUGAUGCGUGAAUCCUUGGCUGCAUAUUUUGGUGUAAUUGAUUGGGCUGCCGUUGCAAACCCAAUUGUUGUUGCAGCUGAGUAGUCUGUAAUUGCAUCUGUGAUAUCAGUUGCUGCCUUUCGCAUCAUCCAAUCUGUGCUCCCAAGGCGUUCAUGGAUGCUUUGCCGCAAGGAUUCCAAGCUCUGAGGUGCAAUUGCUCCCUCUUGUGAAAAACUCGCCACUACUGCCAAAAAGGAAGUCUUAGCCAUAAAAUUUUGAUUAUUCAACAGCUUGCAGAUCCUUAGACACAGCUUCUGAAAAGUAGCCAAAGGAGGAUCAGUUGCACAUUCCACCAUCUUUGCCAUACACGUUGCUCGACAUAACAAAGUGGAGCGCCUUUUCCAACGUGUUCUCCAAAACAGGUUCUACAGGUGAUCUUUCACCUCUUCUUUCGAAGCAAAGCCUUCCUUCAUGGAUUGUCGCCACGGCUCCUGAGUCCGAGACCGAGACAGCUGCGAUUGGGCUCAGCUUGCGCCUGUGCCAGCUUUUGUUGCUCAACGGACCUGCUCAUGCGCUCAAGCAAAAUUGGUAACGGGAUCAGGGGAAUUUUUUUUGUCAGUUUUUGAUCUUUGGAUCUUUCUUCCUGUUGCUGCUCCUUAGCUUCCUGUAAUUUUCUGCACAAGAGUGAUCAGCAAUGCAAGAGAAGAAACCAAAAGAUGAACCGAACACUGUUCACGGUUGCGUUUCAGUAAUAAAUCAGAUGCAGAAUUUAUUCAGUAUCCUCGUCAACAAGAUAUUCAAAUGACGAAGUAAACUGCAAGUCUCCUUUGGACCCUAGGGCCAGUGAUGAAGUCGUUCAAACACCGGCAAGAAUUAAGUGGAAGAGGCAGGAGUCCAACCAUAUACUGGCCAAUAAGCAAGAGCUGAUGCACCAAGUUGGCAGACGACUUCAAAACCAAGGACAGAAUCGGGGUAGGGAGAGGAUAAAUCAGCUGCCCAAGCUGCAAGCUUUGGGCUUACUUCUCCAUGCCAUCGUGACAAUGCCUUCCAGUUUUUUUUUCUCCUAUUCGGAUUCCUCCCCCUAUUCAGAUUCCUCCUCUAUCUUUUUCUCUGUUUUUUUUUCCUCUCCUAUUCGAAUUCUUCUUCUAUCUUUCCUCCCCCAUUUCCAGCUUGUAUAUUCAUUAUUGAUAUAUAGACCCAUGCUGAUAGAGUUUCAAUUCAACUCCAAUUAGUCACCCAAUGCUAAAGAUUAGCCAUUAAUACUUUCUGAUCAUCAUCCAACUUAAUCUCAAUCUUUCUUUUUUAAAAAAAAAAAAUAAUAAUCAGAUAAUAAAAAAAAUGAUAAAUAUGAAAUAAAAAAAAUCUAAAAUAAAAAUGAAUAAAAAUCCCUGUAACUGAGCUUGGAUUAGUCUCAAUUGACAAAGAAUCCCGGACAAAAUGGGGUGUCUACACUCAUUAGUUGCAGCCCUUUUGAAAUUGUUCUUGGUAAGAAUGCAAUAUGUCAUUUGGAUUUAAUUCAACUUUAUACUAGUCAAAAAUUUGAUAGAGAUGUAAAAGAAAUAGCCAAAGGUAUCAAAAUAUAAUUUUGCAAAAAAAUAAAAAAUGCAAAAGGGUAAUAAUCAAGCAUCGAAGACAUGUGAAGUUCAAAUAACAUGAUUUGGUGUGGAUUAACUUGUGAAAAGAAAGAUUUCCUCUAGGAAAGUUUGGCAAAUUACAACCUAAGGCAGAUGGUCCAUUUAGAGUUCUCUAACAAAUUGGAGAGAAUACCUAUAAGAUAGAUCUUUUUGACACUUGUGGAGUAUCUUCCACCUUCACUAUUACUAAUUUUUCACCCCACCAUGGCAAGAAUACUAGCUUAGACUUGAGGACAACUCUUUUCCAACUAAAAGAGAUUGAUAUCAGAGUGUUUGCACAUUAUACAACUUAGGCUAAGACUAAGGCAGACUUAUCCAAAAAUAAGAUGAGCUUAUCCUUGGUCCAAAUCCACACCUUGGUCAAAAUCCACACAUAAAUAAGGUGGGCUAGAAUAGGAAAAUUGCAUUAACACUAGCUGAAAAAUAAGAUCAUGAAUAUGAAUGGGAUUAUGGUUAGGUUCAAGAGUAAAUGAGCAGAUUAUGUUUACAUACAAAUCUCAUGAUUUUAGGCAUGAUUCUAGCAAUGUAAUUUGAAAGUUUUCAUGCUUUGAGAGAUGUUUCUAGCCUAUAUAUUUUCUAUUAUUCUUUGGUAAAAGAUAUAAUAGAGUUUUCUUUGUCAUUAAGCAAUAUUUAAGAUUGUUCAUCAAGUUUUGCAACUCUUAGGUGGAUUUCCUAGAGUGAUGAACUUUUAUUAUUCUAGUCUUGGUUGUGAACUUUUAUUCCUUUUAAUCCAAUAAUCAUCUUUUGCCAUUAUUUAAAUCCUUGUGAGUUAUCUUCUUUAUGAGUUUUUCUAUUUGCAAUUAAUUUUUACAUCUUAAACAUCAAUUUUCGGCGUCAUUCACCUCCAAAAUAAAUAAACUAAAACUACAUUUUUAUUUAUGCACUAAUGCAUUAUGCAUGUGUUGCGUGUUUAUGUAGAUUUCAUUUGCUAUACAUGUGCACAACUACUGUGCAUAAAUAGACGUAUACAGUAGUUAUUUACCAAACACUUACCGAAGACUUUGGAAAGAUUAGUCUAUAAAGCAAUUCAAGGGUAAAAUUUUACUAAAUCUAAAACAAGCAGAGUAACAUAAAAUAUAUGUGUUCGUGAGACUGCUAUAAUGUGAAAUGUAUUUCUUCAAGAAUCAGCACUAUUAUUGAGAGCACAAAAGUUCAUUAUGUCAACUCUUUAUAUCGACAUACCUUAUAGCACAAUUUUAUUUUGUAAUACACUAAUUUAAUAAAAAUACUUCAUUUAUAUAUAAUUAAAUGUUAUUUAUAUUUAAAAAUUAUAUUUUUAUAAAAAUUAUGUUAAAUUAAAAUUAUUAAAUUAAUUUUAGGUUAAGUCAAGUUAAAUGCAUACUGAACAUAUAUAGUUAGGAUUGGAGUCGAACAUCGUCGUAACGGUUUUGGGAUUGGUAGACGUAAAGUAUUUUAAAAUUGGAAAAAAUAAAAAGGGAGUUGCCACCAAUCUUUGUUAGGGUGUGAUUGGCCACUCAAAAAAUUAUCUUUUUAAUUAAACUAUAAAAGCAGGUUUAAAGUUUAUCAAAAAGAUAAAUGUUGGUCUACGAAAACCAGGUUGGAUCUAGGAGUUGGUUACGUGUGGGGAAGGAUUAGCACUCCCACAAUGUUCAUAAAUUUGUACCAUUUAAUCAUGCGCUAUUUUCGGUGUUGGAUAAAAUUGUUUUUACUUGAAAUUUAAUACUAAUUCCCUUCGUUUGAAAAAAUAUUUUUUUGCUAAAAUUCUUUAUUUAGAAAUAUUUAGAACUUAAGAUGACUCUUUUCACUUGAGAUUUAAUAUAAUAUCCCUUAAAAUAACACUCCUUACAAGAAAUGAUUAUUAGUGACUCUCAAACAUCUAAGCAGAGUAUCGAGAAUUAUUCCCUUCGAAUGUUAUUUUUAUUUUAUUUUAUAAUAUCACGAUUUUAAAAGUAAGUAAAUAAAAAAAAAGUUUUGUGCGAAAAAGUAAAUAAUGGUAUUAUCAAAUAACAAGUAAAAAUUUAUGAUGUGUUCAGCACUUUAAGUAUGUUUUAACAAGUCAGAUUUUAGUUUCAUGGCAUGUAUGUUUCACUUUAAUAUUUGUGUGUGUAUGUCUUCCACAAAAGAGAUAGAUGUCAGUCCAUGAAAGUUAAAGAUUAGACCUUGACUAUAACUAUUUUUUUUACUACUUUCUAAACUAUCUUAAAUAUUAAAUUUCAAGCCCUAUAUGACCUGAUGAUAAAUAAAGUUGUAUUAACAUAGAAAAUCUCUAAUCAUAUGGUUUAUUACAGCAUAAAUUCAAGUUCUGUGAGUUCAUUAAAGGUAUGAUUCUCUUACUAUAAAAAGAAAAAGGAGAACGAUGCAACAAACAUAUAGAUUUUUUGUUAUCAAGAAAAAGUAAUCAAUGAUGAAGAGAAGCAAUCAUCUGCAAUUCGAAGCUAUUCUGAUAAGUCAUUGUGCGGAGAUGUUUAGCGGCUUAGAUUUGAAACAGGAAGCGAAAGCAUUCCUAGUUGUCACAUCAUCCCAUUAUAAUUCUUUCCACCAAAAUUCCCAUCCAUGAAUGGCAAUGCCAUGUCUUUCACCAUUCUUUGCAUUGAAUGGAAGCUUCUUCAAUUUUGGACACCCAAAUAUGGAGAUUUUCUUGAAACUUAAAAAUGGAAGGGGUAAAUGCAUUUUAGUUCUGGUAGGUAAGACAAAUGGAGAACUUCAAGCUUUUUAAAUGGCUUAAUACUUCCUACUUUCUCUGGAAGUCCUGCAUAUUUGGCUGUGCAGAUUAUUUAUUUGAUUUGGAAGCAUCUUGAUAUGCAAACACUAGCAAGGUUUGGGGUAAACAUGAGCCAUGUCAAAUCCUCUAAUUGUAUACAGUUGUCUACACUUACUUUUUGAGGGCUGUCGAACCAUCUGUCCUUCAGAUGUUAGUUUUUUUCUUGGUUCUUGCAACCAAUCAUGCUUCAACUCUUCUAAACUCUUACAGUAUGAGAUAUCUAGCAUAUUAAGCUGCUUCACAUAUGUUAAACAUGAAAUAUUUAGAAUAUUUGAACCACUUAAAAACUGAAUGCAUAGGUCUUGAGUGCAGCUCAUGAACUUUUGGGAGCUUAAAAGUCUUUCAAGUGCAAAAAUGCUCCUUAUUGUGAGACUCAACAUACUCAAUUAUUUCAAACACUAUAAUUCCUUAACCCAUCACUCAUUUCCUCCAGAUAGAAUAUUACCUUGCACAAUCAGAUCAGAAGAACCGCAAUUAAGCAUUCUUAACACUAGUCAGAAUGGAAAGCUAGAUAUCAGUUGGCAUGGAAUUGUAUUUAGUACAACUGUAUCCUCUAAGUUCUAAUAUUUCAGCCUUUGCAGGGACUUAGCUCAGUUGGCAAUUGUCUUAUACUUGUCUUGGAUAGAUUGAGAUAUUGCAGGGAAAUAAGUUUUAAAAUUCCCUGGGCCAAUUCAGUUAUGCCACUGUUACAGGAUAGGUUUAACACUCUUAGAUUAGGCAUAGAUUGGAAAAAGUCAUUACUGAUUGUGUUUAAUGUGUUUUCAUUGAGAAACAAGGUUAGCAGGUUAGGACAUGAAGGUGUUUCGAUUAGACUCUCAAGGGAAUUUGCCAUUAGUGAUGUCCUUCUUACUGUUUCCCAUUUUGUAAUCUUUGGUGCUUCAUUUAAUCAAUCACCUGUUUGCACUAAAAUACCUUCCUUGAAAAUAUUGAACCCAUUGGCUAUCCGCAAAGCUAUAUCACAAAUCAAAUCGUGCAUUUUCACAUAAUGACCUUCUUCUUCCAACAAACAUGUAUAUACAAGUGUCCCAAUAAAGUCAUACCUUUGGUUUUGAGCUCCAUUUCUGCCAUUACAUUCAUUUAAAAGUCCCUCACAAAUCCUAUAAUCUAUUAAAUUAGUUUUGCGAAUGACAAAGUCUUUUGGAGAUAAAGUAUAAUAUAAGAAGCAAGAUCUCACUUUCUCAUUAGGUAAAUGAUCAAAGAACUUCAUAAGAGGAAAGACCUUAUCCCCCAUACCUGAAAAUUCUGAGGCAAAUUUUCUUAAAACCUCAAUUGCAUGAAUCCAUUCUUGUGGUGUCUUCUUGCAGGCCAUGGCUCGACCAAUGGUGAUAAGUGCUAGUGGCAUAGCAACACACUCUUUGGCCAUAAUUUCUAAUAGCAUAAGAAUAUCUGGAUGCAGGUUCAGAGUAUCAUUUCUUAUCUUCUUCUGAAACAAAUGCCAAUCACAAGGUGAUGGCAAGAACUUUACUUUGAAACUUUUAUGCGCUUCCAUGAGACUACAGACCUCUUUGGAAUGUUUAGUGAAAACUACUUUGGAGUUUUUUGUUGGUCUGGUAUAGGAACUCCAAUUUUUGUUAGAUUAAUUUGGUCCCAUAAAUCAUUCAACAGCAAAACAAAUUUCUUAGUACUUAGGACUUUGUAUAUGUCUAUAGCCUUUUGCUCAAUACUUUUAUUUCUCCACCUAUUGUCAAAGUAUCCUAUCUUUUCCCCAAUCUCUUCUUGACUAUUUUAGGUUUUAGGUUUUAGAAGCCACUGCCCAGAUCACAAAAUCAACAUUGCUAGGAUGGCUAAGGAGCAUCUUGUUGAUUGAGUCGUGAGAGUAGUUUUGCCAAUGCCUUUCAUUCCAUAAAAGGCAAUGAUUCUUGGUUGAUCUUCACUGAGGCAGUUCCAAAUGGUAGUAAACAUGGACUCCAUGCCCACAAUGUGUUCACAAGGCUUUAUAUCCCGUGGUAUUGAAAGUAGUGUUUUAGUCACAUUUUUAAAUUGGCCUUUCUUUAUGUGUCUUCUCACCUUUUUUAACAUCUUGGUAGCAUUUUUUCCUAGCUUGUAACUGGGUUAGCAAUUCUUAGGGCAGCAACAUCUACCGCAUUUUUUUUCAUGAUCAAUUUUCUUUAUCAGAUCAUCAACUUCUUCUUCCAAAACUUCAACCCUUGAAAGCCACCAUUCAACUUGGUUAGGCAGCUUCAUAUGCUGCCUUUCAGCAAUCUGAACUCUUCUCUUCACGUCAUUUCUUAAUGCUUUUAGUUUUUUCAUUUUGGUUUCAAGAACACUUAAAUGUUUCCCUGGUUGCAGGCAUAACUCGCGUGUGUUGCUGCAUGAUUGCAGCAAAAAGAGAUGGUAUUCUUAAUCGAAAUCGAGAUAGAGCACAACCCUUCUAUAGUACACAAAUAAAUUGUCUAAGAGGUGAAAAGAACAGAUUACCUAUCAACUUGUGUUGGAAAUAGAACAAGCAAACAGAAAGGAUUGAAGUUUGAAAAUGCUAAUUAGCAAUCUAGAAUGUUUGACUGUAAUUUGGCGUAGCAACACAAUGAGAUCCAUGAGUAAAUAUUUUUUGAUUAAAGUAUUGAUUUCAUCACUGCUUCCAGGCUCCAGCCACUUCUGAAUAGAAAAAUGGGCAUGAACAUCAAAGUGGUUUUCAGAUUUCACAUUUAUGAAACGAAACAAUAAAUAUAUAAAAAAUAAAAUCGAGUUAAAUUAAUGUUUUAUAAAGUUGAUUAAUGUAACUACGUUAAUGAAUUAAGCAAAAUAUAUUAAUUUUCUAUAUUAUCAAUUUGUUGGAUAGUUGGGUUAUAUUGAAACAAGCAGCUUCAAGUUUUUCUUCCUUUUAAUCCUCUUUUUGACCAUGCAAAGGGCCAAAUAUGUAAGAACAAGAAUCUUGUUGUUCGAGUGAACGGGUUUCAAUAUUAACUUAUCUUGAAAGAGUUUUAUGCAGGAUUCGGAUUUAUAUAUCUACCGUUAAAGAAUAAUCAUUUUGAAUUUUUUAAAUAUUAAAUUUUUAUAAUUUUAUAUUUAAAUUGAGUCUUUUUAUUUAUUAGCAAUUGAUUUUAAAUUUGAUAUUUCACCUUACAUUAAAGUUUUAUUUUGUUGUUUUCACACUUUGUCCAAAAUUUUCAUUUGAUUUUAGAUUGAAUGUUUUGUUAUUUAUAAGAAUUUCAUUGAUCUUGCACAUUACUUAUCCUUAUCAGGUCAAUCAAAUUCAUCUAUACAAUUAAUUUCAUUAAUUUUGACCAUUCUCAAGAUUUGCCACAUGUCAUCUUUUUCUUUUUUUAUUUUCUCAAUUUUUUAUAAAUAAUCUAUUUUUAUUCUUUUUAAAAUUUAAAGUGAGAUCAUAUGACAUUAUUGAUUAAAAAUUUUUUUUAUUUUUUUAUCCUUUAUUUUUUUUAUUUUUAAUUAAAUAAUUUUAUAAAAAAAUAUCAAGAGAUGUAUCCGCGUAACAUUCAAAUUUGACUUCUUUUUAUUUUUUUUCUCUUUAGGUCUUUCCUUUUUUAGUUUUUAUUUUUUUAUUUUUUAAAUUUAUAAAUUAAAUUUUAUUUUUUAGUAUAUUAAUUUAACAAAAAUGCUACAUUUAUAUAUAUUAAGAUGUUAUUUAUAUCAAAAAAUUAUAUUUUUAUAAAAAUUAUACUAAAUUAAAAUUAUUAAAUUAAUUUUUGAUAACUUAGGUCAAAUGCAUGUUACAUAUAUUUAUCGAGUUAGAGUUUGGUUUAAAAAAAAAAACCUAUUUGAUAAAAUUAUUACAAAAUCAGAUCAUCUCAAAACGAAUUUUAACUCGUUUCAAUUUGAUCCAUUGAAAUCUCUAAAUGAAAAUAUUUAUGUGGCAUCCAAAAUUGCUUUCUUCAGUUUCUUUUGCCCUUUUCAUAAUUUUUUUUUGGAUAAAAUAGGUCAACAAUCACUCAAUUAUAUAAAUUUUUUAAGAUUAUCACCCAAUUAUUAAUUUUUUUAGUUUAAACAUUAAUUUGAGUAUUUUUUGACCCUACCAUUAAUAUCUAACAGAACACGUACUGGGUAUGUCACAUCAGUUGCUAAAUUCACAUUUUUCUUUUCCUUUCUCUCUCCUGCCCAUCCUCGCGACCUUCUUUCUGUUUUUUCUCUUCAAAGCCCAACAACAAUCAGUGGAGCAAUUUGGAAAGAAACAAUUUGGAAAAAACGCAGUCCCCAAGAGAAGCAAUUUAAAUCUUCAAUGAUACAGCAGAUAGCCUCGACACAAAUAAAACUACAAUCGAUUGACCAUAAACAAACCAUUCAAAUACACAAUUUCUAUUAACAAUAAACAGAAAACAGCAAGCAUCAACAACAAAUUUUAGGCAUCAACUAUCAAUUCACCUAAAAAAUCUAAGGACAAUCAUAUACAGAAACAAGACCUAAUGACACAUUAUAGCCAUAAUAAACAACCCACAAACACAAUUUUCAGCAAUCAGGCUUCGUUCACAACAGAAUUCAUAAAAAUAUUUAAUAGCAAAUAUACAUAAAAUAAGGGAUUCUAAGGGUUUUGUUUUGAGGUUUUUUUUGAGAUUUUUUUUUAUUUGUAGUUUUGGGCUUUUUAAUUAACAGAAUACAGUGGAGUUGUGAUGGGUAUUAUGAAAUCUCAGCUUAGUUGUUUGAGUUUUCUUGCUAGGGUUUCUAGAUCAAAUAAAAGAAGUAGAAGAAGGAAGAGAAUUUGGGCAUUCGGAAAGGUGAUGGUGGUCUUGGCAUUGGGGAAUCUUUUUCUUUGGAUCUAGAUCUUAAACAUUUUGAGAGGAUUUUAAAAAAUCUAAGCUUACUAAAGUCUCAGAGAGGUGAAGAGGAAUCAAAAAGGAAAUUUUAUGGGUUUUCUAACUGCCACUGAACGGUGACGAUUAGUGAUGAAAGGUGGCGUUGGCAAUGGGAAGCACUAGAUUCUGGAAAAAAGAUGGUUGCUGAUUGAAAGGUUAGAGAAAGUUAGGGAGAAGGGAAAGAAGUAAUGUUUUUAAAGGGAGAAACAAAAAUAGAAACCGAAGGAAAUGAAAAUUUUGGUUUUUAUUCUUUAUAUAAAACAAUGAGUUUUAGAAAACAAAAAUAGGAAAGAAAGAAAUGAGAAAAGAAGAGAAAAAAAUAGGGGCAGUUAGCCCAAUGCAAUUUACGUAGACAUGCCACGUUGUUUCUGACACCAUGUAUGGCAUGUCUCGUCAGAAAUCUGUUAUUAAUGUUUCGAAGAUCCUAAAAACAUUCAUUCAAACGUUAAUAAUUAAAUUGAAAAUUAAAAAUUUGGACAUCAUUUUUAAAAUACUUACAUAAUUGAGUAACUAAUAGUGUAUUUUAUCCUAAUCUUUUUAGAUUUCAUUUAUUUCAUUUUUUAAUUAGAUAAAUUGUAUAAAAAAUGGGUCAAUAGAAAUAUGAAUAACAAAAUAAUUAGUAUGUGACAAGUUUUGACCCAACUUCAUCCAAUAAGAGAUUUUUUUUUUUUUAAAUUGGGAUUGAAUUGGGUCAAGAUGAUUUUUUAUUUUUUAAAAUCAAGAUCGAGUUGAAGAUAAGUUCAAGGUGGUUUGUCAUGAUCAUUUUCGGGAUAUAUAAAAAAUAUAUUUUUUAUUAUUUAUUUAAUUAUAAAUAUUUAUUAUAUUAAUAAUAAAAUUAUUAUUUAAAAACUUAAUUAAAUAAAAAUGCUACAUUUAUAUAUAAUUCAAAUACAACUUAUAUUAAAAAAAUAUUUUUAUGAACAUUAUACUAAAUUAAAAUUAUUAAAUUCAUUUCUGUUUAAAUUAAAUCGAAUGUAGUUAUACAUAUAUGUGUUUAGUUCGAGAUUGAAUAUUAAAACAAUAACUCAAUGUUUGGUCUGAGUUAGAUUCGGAUUAAAUUAUUAAAAAGUUGGGUCGAAGUUGAAGCUAGAAAAAGCUUGCCUUAACCUAACCUAUUAUCACCUAAACGAAGGCGUCCACAUAGCACCUCAAUUUGGUUCUUUUUUUUUUAGUUUUAUUUUGUUUUUUUAAUUUUUAAUUUUAUUUUUCUUAAUUAUAUUUGAAAAAAUAAAAUUAAAAGAGUGGAUUUUGAUUUGAUUUGUUAUAUAAAAUGUCAGAACAAAAUGCACACAUUAUAAAAAUUAAUUUAUAGAUUUUCACUUAUCAUUGCAUUUAUUAAAAAAAUUAUAAAUGAAACCAUACUCAUUGAUUUAGUAAAUUUAUCUUGAACAUUGUUUAUUACAAAUAAAAAAAGUUAACGUGCAGUAACGUACGAGAGUAUUUCUAGUUCAUGUUUAAUAAUAAAACAACAGUUUCAUUCCUAUACCCUGAGAUCAUGCAUUGUUGCUAUAGACCAUUAAAUAUUCUUUGUUGCCCAAAAGUAUGGUUUGCCUGAUCCCUCAUUAUAAAUCUUUCCAUCGUCUUUCACUCCCCAUAUCAUAAGUUUUGGAUCCUUUUAACUGUUGAAGUGGAAGUUUUACCACCAUGAAAAUAAAAAUAAAUUAGCCUAACAAAAAAGAGAGAAGUUGAGAAAGCUAUAUUUCCUCAUAACAGCUUCCAAAGAGCAUUUGCAACCACAAUUAAUAGAUUGUAUCAAUACUAACUUAAUAGAAAUUAGAAAUUUCUGAGUAAAUGAUAUAAAUUUGAAAUUUUUAGUAUCUUCUGCUCGUAUAAAUUACAAUACCUAUAGUGUAUUAAUUUUUGACAUAUGCGUAAUGUACAUGUCAUUUUUAUAUUUAAAAAAUUUAAUUAAAUAAAAUUUUUUUGGUUUUUAUAAUAAUAAUGAUAAAUAUGAACAACUUAAUUUUGAUUUUGAUAACUUUUUAUAUAUUUUGAUAACAUUCGUUAGAAGUUUGAUCACUUUUCAUAAAAUUUUGGUAUCUUUUAUACAAUUUUGUUAACUUUUAAUAUUUAAUAACUUAUUAUAUAAUUUUGGUAACAAUUGAUAUAAUUUUAAUAUUUUUUUAAUAAAAUUUUGUUAAUUUUUUGAUGUAAUUUUGAUAACCUUUAUGAUAUACUUUGGUUAAAUACUCAAUUUGAAAGAUGAAACGUUUAUAUGAUUACUCAAUUUAAAAUUAAAUAUUUUAUUUUAUAUGAAUAAAAAUUAAAUGCUAUCGACUUAAAAGUUCUAGUAUUUUUUUCACAAUCAUUAAAUUUUCAAUUAUUCAAUAUUAAUCUACAAAAAAAAAAAAAAAAUCACCACUCCAUACUAUAAUACUCAUGAAAUUCAAAACCCAAAACUAAACCAUAUAAAUUUUUGUUCGUCUAGAAAUUUUGAAUUAAAACAUGUAUGAAAGAGACAAAAAACUGAAACCAAUGAUCUAACGUCAUCCCAAUUAUAGAGCUCAAGGAUCAUAAACCCCUUGAAAAAUCAUCAAAUCCAAGGAAUAUCCCAUGAUCCGAACUGUAAUUACCUGAACCCAUUGUCAAAAGAUCUAGAAACGACCCGUCUUUAGGCAAUUCACUGUUCAACUGUACUGUUCCGUCUAAAAUCAAGCGUGAUGGGGACUCCACUUGAAACCCAAUGGUGGAUUGCUCCGAAUGGGUCCUGGGAGGCUCUGAGUUUGCAAACUGGGCAACAACUGCUUGGAUUUCGAACAUACACUUCCCCCAUUUUCACUUUCGAACACCCUUGAAUUGCAAAAUGCUUUUCUCAGCUGCAGGUUUCUCGCUUAUGUGUUUCACUAUAUUCUUUUCCUUUUCAAAUAUCUAGGAUUGUCUUGAGUUCUCUUUCUCGGUUCUGUCUUUAAACUUAUUAGGCACACCUCAUAACCCUCACCUCCCCUUGAUUCACUUCUUCGAGACACCUUUUCCAUCUCCAACUUCUUAAUUAUAAAAUUACAAAAAGAGAUUCAUUGAUUAGGUGUUUGUUAAUCUGGUUUUCUUCCAAAUUUUCAAAUUUGGCAAAGAUUGAGCAUGCACAACCUUUUAACGGCUCAACAAGGCAAGGUUUAAAAUUUCUAGUUUUUUUAUAUUGUAAAUAAAGGAGUUACAGCUAAAGAGAGAAAGUAAACACUAAGAGAAAGUAGUUGAAUAGAGAAAAAAUUGAAUGAAAUAAUAAAAAAAAAAGGAUAGCCCUUUGCAAGAACAGAACAAUGGGAGGCUUUGUAGAGAAACAAGAGUUGAAAGGAGAAAAUUUUGAAGUUAAGAUAGAAAGAAAAAAAAUUUGGAAAGAAAGAAGAAAGAAAUGUUGUUGUGUUCUUAUAAAACUGAUGUUUUUAUUAUCUUUUAAUUUUUUUGGGGUUUUAGGGAAUAAGUUAGUAUAAUACACAACUAAACAAUGCAAUUAAACCACAUGGAGAAGACACGCACAAUCUGUCUUCUAAAUAUAUCCUUAAUUGUAAACGUUCAAUAAUGUUUAAUCCUUAUUUAUAUUCUUAAUUGUAAUCGUUUAAUCUUAAAUUGAGUAUUUAACCUAUUUUUUUGAUAAUUAUUGAUAAAAUUUGCGCCAUCAUAUAUUAAAUAUUGGAUUCCUGCAAUAAAGUGUAGGCUUCAUGUUAGUAUAAGAUAAUUUUCUUUUUUAUAAAAUAACAUUAUUGCUUCAUUUAAAUUUAGAUUUUCUUUACUAAUUUUUUUAUUAAAUAAGCUCAUGGUAGAUUUAUCCUAGCCUCUUAAGAUAAAAGUUCUAGUUUCGUUUUUAGUAGUAACCAAGGUUCAAUACCUGACAACUUUGAAUAUAAAAAAAUUAUCAAAUAUUGACAAUUAAGUUAUCAUUAUGUUAUCAAUGAUUUACUAUUAAGUUAUUAAUAAUUUAUUACUAAAAUAACAUUAAUUUACAACUAAUUUCUAAAUGAUUUAUCACUAAAUUAUAAAUGAUUUACCAUUAAAUUAUUGAUAAUUUAUCACUAAAUUACUAAAAAUUUAUUAUAAAGUUAUAACUGAUUUACUACUAAGUUAUCGAUUAUUUAUUACAAACUUAUCAAUUAUUAACUAAUUUAUUGCUAAAUUAUCUCUAAUCUACAACUAAAUUAUCACUAAUUUAUAACUAUGUUAUUAGUGAUUUAUUACUAAAUCCCCAAUGAUUUACUAUUAUACUAUUGUGCAUUUAUUACAUGUUAUCAUUGAUUUAAUACGUAGUUUUCGAUUAUUUACUAUGAAAUUAUUAUAAUUUAUUAUUAAAUUAAUCAUGAUUCACCAUCAAGUUAUCACUUAUUUAUAUUAAAUUAUCCAUGAUUUACUAUAAUAUUACUAGUGGUUAACUAUUAAGUUAUAGAUUAUUCAAAAAAAAAUUAAGCUAUUGAUAAUUUAUUACCAAGUUAUACUGAUUUACUUUCAAGUUUUUAAUAAUUAACUACUUAAUUAUUAUUGAUACUAUUAAGUUAUUUAUGAUUUAAUACUAAAUUUAUCAUUGGGAUAAUGUUACAAAUGACUCUUGAAUUAUAGUGAAAUGUUCAAUGUGGUAUUUAAAUUUUAAAAAUCUUUAAUGCGAUACCUGAACUAUAAAUUUGUUAAUUAAUAUGGUACUUAUCCCUAACAUAAUUAGUUUCAAAUGAUGAUACAUGGCGUACAAGCAACUUUUCAAGUACUGCAUUAGUUAAUAAUUUUAUAGUUCAGGUACCACAUUAUAUAUUUCACUAUAGUUUAAGAGUCAUUCAUAAGAUUAACCACUUAUCAAUUAAUUACUAUUAAAGCAAAAUUGAUUUACUGUUAAGUUAUCAUUGAUUUAUUGUUAAGAUAUAUAUGAUUAACUACUAAGUUACUAUUUAUUUUUUAUUAACAUAUCCUUGAUUUAUUAAUAUGCUACUAUAUAUUUACAAUUAUGAAAUAUGGAAUUUAAAAAGUUACUAACAAUAUAUAAGAUAAUUUUAUUUUUAUACGAUAAUAUUAUUAUUUUAUUCAAAUUUAAAAAUUUUUUUACUAAAUUUUUUAUUGAAUAGAUUUGUGAUAGGUUUAUUCUAACCCCUAAGAUGAAAGUUUUUUAUUCAUUUCUGCCAUGAACCAGGUUCAAUCCCUAAUAAUAAAAAAAAUUAUCAAUGAUUACUAAUUAAAUUAUUAUUUAUUUACUAUUAUGUUAUUAAUCAUUUAUUACUAAGCUACCAAUAAUUUACUACUAAAUUAUCAAUAAUUUAUUACAUAUUUAUAAAUGAUUUAUCCUUAAAUUAUGAAUUAUUUAUCACUAAGUUACUGAUAAUUUAUUAUAAAGUUAUAACUUUUUUAUUAUUAAUUUAUGAAUGAUUUAUUAUAAAAUUAUCAAUGAUUAACUAAUUUACUGCUAUAUUGUUACUCAUUUGUAGUUAAGUUAUUCAUAAUUUAUUACUACGUUAUUGAUGAUUUACUACUAAAUUAUCAAUGAUUUAUUAUUAUAUUAUUAUAUAUUUACUAUUAUGUCAUAAUUGAUUUACAAUUUAAUUUUCGAUUAUAUACUACAAAAUUAUUAUUAAUUUAGUAUUAAAUUAUCCAUGAUUCAUUACCAAGUUAUCAUUAAUUUAUAUUACAUUAUCCAAAUUUACUAUUAAUUUAUCAUUGAUUAACAAUUAAGUUAUUGAUGAUUUACUAUUAAAUUAUAUUAAUUUACUUUUAACGUAAUGAGUAAAUAUUAAAUUAUCAAUUAUUUAAUAUUAAGUUAUUAUUCACAAUAUAAAAAAAGUUAUUUAUAAUUCACUACUAUUAAUUAAUUACUAUUAAAAUAAAAUUGAUUUAUUAUUAAAUUAUCACUAGUUUACUAUUAAGUUAUUUUUAAUUUAUUAUUAAGUUAUCAAUGAUUAACUAUUAAGUUGUCACUUAUUUUUCAUUAAAUUAUUCUUGAUUUACUACUCUCUUAUUAUGCAUUUACAAUUAUAUUACAAUUAAUUUAUUACUAAAUUAUUAUGCAUUUACUAUUAUAUUAUUAUUGAUUUAUUACUAAGUUAUCAAUUAUUGACUAUUAAAUUAUUAUUCAUAUAUUGAUGUAUGCAUGAUUUAUUAUUAAGUUAUUAUUAAUUAAUUAUUAAGUUAUCAAUAAUUACUACUAAGUUAUACUGAUUACUUUUAGCUUUCAUUGAUUAAUUACCAAAUUAGCAAUCAUAUACUAUUAUGUUGUCAUUAAUUUGCAUACAUUCAAAAAGAAAGCAACCGCAAUGAAUGCUAAAUGAUGUAAUUUAUAAGAUAGAGAAAGAAGUAAGAAAAUGUUUAAACGUAGAUGACUUGAAAAACAAUAAGUAAAUGCUCUUAAUUUGCUAUUUGUAGUUUAGCAUAUAAUAAUAAGUUAAAAUCAUAACUUUUUAUACUAAUGUAAGUAUCAAAGCAAAGUUAAAUUAAUGUACAAUAUAUAUUAAGUUAAUAUUUUUAAAAUAUUCUUUAAAUUUUUUAAUUCAUUGUAAAAUAGUACAUAUUAAGAUAAGUUUUGUUAAUAAUUUGAUUGAAUGAUUUGUUAUAUAUUUUUAUACUUGUUAGCGAAGUACAAUUUCUUAUAAAAGAUUGAAAAAAUUGAAGUAUUAUGCCAACAAUGAAAAUAAUAAACUUUUCCUUAUGUUUCUAUCUUUAAGUAUAUAAUUUUUGGUAAAAUUUAAUUAUGUAAAAGCAAUGAGAAAAAAUUUACUAAAUAAAAUUUAUAAAAAAUAAAUAGAUAAUAAAUUUUAAAAAUAUUAAGUUUAUAAUAAUUACUUUCACAUUCUCUUUCAAAAAUUUCUUUUAUUAAAUGAAAAGAUAGUAUAUUUCUAAUUGUUAUUUCAUUUUUAUUACUACCAUUCAAAAUGCAUUUUUUUUUAUAUAUAUUUUGAUGUCAACCAACUUUUUCAUUUGAAAAGAAUAAAGAUUAUAAGGGGUCAUAACGGCUCAAAUAAUAUUUAACUGUAUGUUAUCUUCCUAAAUAAGUUUGAACUAUAAUAUCUAUUUCAAAUGAAAUGUUUAAGUUGUUUCCUUCAAUCUAUAUCACAGCAACUUGAUUAACAAGACUUGGGCAUAAGAAUUUCAAAAUCCUUAAAAGAAGAUAUAUCAUUUAAUCUUUGCACAAUUUGGGUAUAUGAAUUUCCUUCUAGAAUUAUCAUUAAUAUUUCCAUAACUUUUGCACUUAAAUUUUUUUUUUUCAUUCUAUUUUGAAAUUUAAUACCAGUGUCAUAAAAGUAUAAUUAAAAAUAAUAUGAAUUAAUUAACUCAAACUUGAAAUAAUUCAAGACUCAUAUUGAGUAUACAUAAAAUUUUUACACUUUUUGAAUUUUAAUAUAAUUAAAAAUAAUAUAAUACACAUAAUUAUAAAAAUAAACAAUUUUCACUCGAUUCAAUUGAUUUUAAACAAUCAAAACCUUAGUGGUUAUUUAAAAUAUGAAAUCACUGAACCCAAAAUUUGAAUUGACAUAGCAAUACAAUCAAAAUCCAACAAUUUUUAUUUUAUUUGAAUUUAAGUUGAUUUUAAAUCCGGCUUUUUAAAGAACGAAAAGUUUGCAUCAAUUAUUAUGUCAAAUUUAUUCAAGUGAUAAGUGAAUAAUUAAGUAUACAAUGAAUAGAAGCAAAUAAAACUUAACUCAACCUAAUUGAUAUUGAUUCUAAAAUUAAAAGCCAACUUGAAAUUAUGAUUAGUCAAAAUUCAAAAUAAUUGAAAUACUAGAUACACAAUUAAAUAAUUUAUCGAAAGAAUUUUCUUAAUUAAUGCUUUUAAAUCACAUUUAAGUUUAGUUAAAUUAUAAUGUAUAAUCAUAUUUUUAUAUUAAAUGUAAUAGUGAUAAUUAAUUUGAUGAAUUUCAAUACUUUUGAAUAAAUAUUACCCAACAUAGUAACCUUAAAAAUUUUUAUAUAAUCAUGAACAUUCUUUAACUUAUAUAAUGAAAAGAAAAAUGAAAGCUAUACAAUGUUUUUCCUAAAAAAAGAAUUUUAUAUUGAUCCUAAAAAAAUUUGAAAUCAUUAAAAUUAUAUAUUUUUCAUUGAAACAUCAUAUAACACUAACCUUAUUGAUAUGAAUAAGAUAGAACUAUGUAUAAUCAGUCAAAUUUUUCUCUCAUUUUUUUGCUUUGGAAAUUCUUUUAUUGGUGCUUCCAUCAAUUAAAUGUAAUUCUACAUUCUACCAAUUAAAAACAUAAAAUUUUUUUAUUUAAAAAUUUUAUUAUACAUAAAUUUUGAUUAUAUAAAAAUAUCACAAUACAUAAUUUUAAAAAUAACAAUGAAAUAAAAAAGAUUUAAUUAAUUUCUCUUUUGAAUUAUUUCAAGCGACUAAAAAUAUUUAAUUAUAUAAAUUAUCAACUCAUAAAAUAUACAAAUAAUAAAAUUAUUAACAUACAUAUAUAGCUAGCAAAUCAAUUAAAAUAAAAACCUGAAAGGAAAAAAAUUAGAAAUAAAAAAAAAUAUGCUUUAAUGAUUUGGGAGUCUAAUAAUGAAAAGAAACUUCAUUUAAGUUAAAACUUAUAAAAGUCUUAUUAUGGUACUUUAAUCAAUCAUUUUUAACAUUUUAGGAAUUAAAAAUUUAAUAAAGAUAUUUUAAUCAAUCACUUUUAAUAUUUUUUUAGCGUAAUUAUAAAAAAUUUAAUAAUAAAAAAGAAAAUUAAUUUAAAUUAAAAGUUAUAAAAAAUUUACUAAGAAUAUUUUAGUGAAUCAUUUUUAAUCCUUUUGGAAUUAAAAUUUCAAAAUUUUAAGCAGUUUAAUUUCCCAAAAAAUCUAUUUUUAAUUUUAGUUGAUUUAAAUUAAAUUUAAAUAAAUUAAUAAAAAUUAUAUAUUUAAAAAUAAAUUUGCUAAUUUAAAAAUUUAUAAAAAUAUUAAAGUCAAUCACUUUUAACACUAUUAAAAUUCACACUUUUAUACAUAGAUAAUAGUUUAUAAUUAAAGAAAGACGAGAAGAAUAUAAAUAACUACUGCACGGGUUUAAAUCAAGAAAAAAUUGGUAGCAUAACAUGUUAGCUGACCAUAAAUAAAAUCAAACAAAUUGAGAUAUUUAGGUUGAAGCUAAAAUUAUUUACUCAGCAUUAAAAUGCAGCCUAUAUUUAAAUCCAUAUAACCAAAAGAUUCACCAUUAACUUAGUCAAUUUAAUGAGCAUCAUACAAAUGAGAAGAUCAUCCACGAUUUUAGAACACACCGCAACAGCUUCAAACACAACAAUUAUAACAGAGACUUAAGGUAAAAGUAAUAUGUUUACUUUGCACUUUCAGUCAAAAGACGUAAAGUAGGGAAGAAAAUCGUUUAGAGCUCAUUCAUCCUCCCAUUGAAGCUGUUUCCACCAUUCUUCCUCACCGUCAAUGCUGAUUUUGUUUUCCUUUGCACUGCUGGAGUUGAGUGGAAGUCUUUUCAGCUUUGGGCAUCCACGAACAAAAAUUUCUUCCAAACAUGAGAAGGGAAGUGUAUCCCAGUAAAUGCUCUUCAACUCUGGCAACUGCUCUAACGAAAGAGACUCGAGUUUUCCAAAUAGGUUUAAAGUUUCUACUAGCUCAGCCACUUGACCCAGUUUUCUCUCAUUGAUUAUUUCUUCCAUAUUGUAGCACAACAACACAAUAAGAUGCCUCAGGUUUGGAGCUAGAAUUAGCCAUGUUAUGUCCUUCAAUUUUGAACAAUCGACUAUAAAUAUAUAGCGAAGGCUUUGGAAGCAAUGUUUGCCUGCAAUCAGAGAGGUUUGAAUGUGGCUCUGUGUUUUCAUCAUUCUGCCUUCCCCUCCCCACUCCAUCUCCACUUCUUCCAAAC
rnacentral:lncRNA from 1 species